rnacentral:lncRNA from 1 species
AACAAAGAAAUUAACAAGAAAAGGAAAUGGCAUGGCAUUGGUUAUAACAUGAGGAGGUGACAGAGCAAAGUGAGAACCUCUGUUGAUGGUGUUUUGGAAGACUAAAAGAGAUGUUAAAGAGUUAUCUUGAGAAAUAUCCAUGAUGGAGAGGAGACCAUGAUUAUUAAAGAAGCAGCAUAAAACAGAAAUAUAGUUAUUACUAUUAGGUAGAUUGAAUUGAAGAAGGCAAAAGAACUGAGUGUCUACAACAAGUUUGCAUGAUCUUUUUUAAGUUGGUGUCACCUCCAGCUGCAGCUCUAGCUCCAGCCUACCCAAAUAAAUACACAUUCUCUCUCUCUCUCUCUCUCUCUCUCUCUCUCUCUAGUUUUUUUAUUUUUCUUCCCAAUAUAUUUAAACAUUGCCUAACAGAAAACAAAAAGACCCAUGUUUAUAUUUUAGAUAAUUGUAGCCAUUGAUAUAAACCCAGCAGAGGAAUUCAAGUUCCAAAACUGUUGUAUAAAGCUCACUAUCUUUUUUUAUAUGUGCGCCAUCAAAUUUUCUGUACGAAAAAGAAAAGCAUGAACUUGCUUUCUGACAGUUUCUCACAUACGGAAUUGCAAAUGAAUUUAUUAUAUUAGUCUAAUCAUUCAAUCUCACAUGCAUAAAGGAUUAAGAGUUAGAAUAUUAAUCAUUUUUUUUCUAUGGCUAUGCAGAUUGCAUUUUGGCAUUUGUUUUGUGAUGGUGGCAACUGCAAUUAGCAUUCUGAAAUGAACUGAAUAUUAACAUCUUAAUUGAUUAGAUUAUUAAUCAAUGAAACAAAAUUAUAACUGGGCACAAUCCUGUAAAGAAACAAAAAUGAAGAAGUAAAUCAUUAGGACAGAGAGUCAAUUAGUUUGAGUUAGGUGUUGAAGAGAAUCCGAGGUUCUUAACUUCUUGUCUGCUCCUAGUUUAAAGCUCAUGCAAACUAUCACUCUAUUCCUUUGGACUCUACUUAAAUUUUUUUAUUUUUUUAUUUUUUUUUUUAACAAUUUGACUAACAACCUCUCAACUAUAUUACCAAUUUUGUCACAGAUGAUGUUUUUUUACCAAAAUAUCCUUAUUUAACCACCUAAAGAAACAUAGGCAAGAUGAAAAGAAAAACCAAUCCAACUAAACUAACCGAAAAAAUUAUAAUGUUAAUUAUUAAAAAAUUAGUUUCAGUUCAAUUUUAAUUAGAAAAAUUGUUAGUGUAAUAAAUUAAUGGAAUGGUAUAUAAUUAAAAAAUCGACCACUAAUCAAUUAAAUCAAUUAUUUAUUUUAUUACUAAUUUAAUUUUAUUUAUUUAUUUAUUUUGUGUAUGGCGAGGGAAGCUCACCCCUAUCAGAAAAAGGAAGUACAAAAUCAGAAUAUUGGAUAACAAAAAUAAAAGCGGUAAAUGGGUAAGAAAAAGGAUGGGUGUAGGCCUGACGAAAGCCUCACCAACAACAAGAAGAAGAAGAACAACCUUAGGUCUGCAUGGAUGAGAAGUGUCAAAAGAGGUUAAGGAAAAAAAAUCAAAAGCAAACAUUAAGAAAUAUUUACAUUCAACAAUGUCAUGCCAUUAGAGUGUCUCGAUAAGGGAGCUUGGACCGUUGGGACCGUUGCUCUUUUACUGCCUACACUUUUUAAAAGCUUUCGUCUGAUUGCAUAGCAUUAACCAGAUUGUUGUUGACGAACUUAAAACAGGCUUUUAAGCCAUUAAAUAAGAACCCUACACUAUUGAUUGCAACCCCAUAACAUAAUAUGAUGGCAUAACCCAGAUUUUAUUUUAUUUUGUAAAAAUACAUAAUUAUUCCUCUCAAUUUUAAUCAUUUAGUUAUUUUUAUUUUUUAAUUUUCAUUUUAAUUUAAUAGACAUAUAAAUUUUCUUUUUGUAAUAUUUUAAUAUUUUUUAUAUAUUGUAGAGAAAUGCUUAAAUUUUACCAAAAAAAUAAAUUUAAAAAAGAUUUUACUCUCUUAUUAAUCUGUCAUAGUUACUAGUAAACUGCCUCUAUGUUGAAAAACGUUCGAUGGUGGGCUCAUUUUCAUGCAUUUGAUGUUCAUAAUUAUGUCGAUCAAACAUAUUCAUUUUAAAUUCUUAAAUAAUAUUAGAAGACUAAAUGAGAUGAAAAUGGAAUCCUAUCGAUUUGUUUUGAUUAAUAAAAAUAAAAUAUCCAACAAGUAUUAUCCCUCUCUAGAAAAACAAGCGAACCUUUGUUACAAUUUCACUCCAAUCGCUAGUCUUUUGCCUUUUGGUGUUUCCCUCUUUGCGGUAAAGGAAAGUCUUCGGCCAUGAUCAAGUAAGUCCCUUGCAAUUUUUUAUUGUUUUAUUUUUCCAUGUUAUGAAAAUCAGUUUUUCUAUAAAAUAAAAUAAAAUAAUAAGAACUAAUAGUUUAUUAAUAAUGUUGAUUUAAAAACCGAAUAACAAAAAUAAGUAAGACAGAAACUUGGUACCGGACAGACUUGGCCAGCGACAAGCUUCCAUCUCCGGCAAACUUGAUUAGAGCUUCCAGUUUUGCAUUUUUCAUUAUAAAAUGUAUUAGUAUCAUCACAUUUAACCAAAAUCUCAUGACACUGGCAUAAGCAAAUAAAGAUUAGAGCCUACCAUGUCAUUCAUAAACAAAUCAAACCAAUUCUAUAGUGACAUGUGGUAUUAUUUAUCAAUUGUUAUAUUUACGCCGAUUCACUUUGUAAGUCCCAAAUCCACUUUCUUAUAUUUUACAACAAAAAACUGUUACUUGGGUGGUGCAAUUGAAUAACUUAAAAAAGUGAAUGGUAACAUUUGGAGUCUCUCAUCCAAAUUAAGGAAAUGAAUUUAGCAAUGUCAAAUUGUUGCAGAGAAAUGCUUUACCAUUACAGGCAAAGAGCAAAAUCCAGGAAAGCACCUCUUAACUCUCUAAGGCGACCCCAGCAUCAUGCUCAGAGCUCUCAGGUGACUUCGUCUCUGGGAAGAACUCUUCGUUUGGAUACAUCUUCUGAAAAAGCUGUGAAGUAUAUGCACCAGCAUCAGAUUCUUGUUAGCAACAUAAAUAUUUUACAUGUCUAUCAAACAAUCUUAUAGUUUAACCAAAACAGCAUCCAGUUGUUUAUUCACUCAUUUACAUCCACUUUUCUUCUCGAACAGAAUGUUAAAAAUGAAGAAAAUCACAGGGAUCUUGAUGGGAAUAUAUUAAUGUCAUAAAAUAUGCAAACAACGAUUUGUGUAUAGUGAAACCUUAAGCAUCAGAAAAAUGAAAUACCUUCUUAGCUGAAUCUAAAACAUCAUUGUAGUCCAGAUUUCCAUCAGGCAUGGAUGUGGAGCUGAUAGAAUCAAAUUGACCCUGAAAAAUCAUCAAGUCAAGACCAUGUCAACUUCAAUGUUCAUAUAUGUCCAAACUCAAUAUAUUAUUCAGACAGGAUGAUUCUCUAGUUGAAUCAGUGAGAUAUCAUGUACUGUGUAAAGCUUUCCAGUUUCUAUGUUGACCCUCAAAUUGAAUAAUUAUAAUCAAUAUAUAAGAGUUGAUUGAAUCCCAAACCUAGUAGAGGUACCAAGCAGUCAGACACCCACCCACCACGGAAUAAAAGAAAGAAACCAACCCAAAAGAAAAGGGAGAAAAGGACAGCCUAGGAUGAUAAACUAGGAACCAGCAACAGACCUACUAUAAACAUGCUUCAUAUAUUCUCAAGCAGUGGUUAAACGAAUUUCAAUCCAACCAAAAGUUAUGACCUUAACAUCAUAGAACAAGCCAAAGCUAAAAUGUCACGCUUGCUAGCAGCUGUUCUUAUAAAUACAUAACACAAUUAUCAAAAAGCACCUUAGAACAACAUACAACAUGCCAGAGAUAAAAUCUGACCCUCAAUUGAAGCAUCAGAGAAAUUCUUUUUCAGGAAGAUUAAGCUACAUAUUAAAGAGGUAUAGCAACUGAUAAUUGACUUAGCGGACAAGUCAGCACCUCUGGAAGCUUUGACAGAUUCCAACUAUGAGCAUCAAAGCAAGAUAGAAUGAUCACAAGAAAAGCUGCAAAUGAAUUUAAGAUGUCUGAGAGGCCAAUCUAAACUUGAAACUUAAGGUCUAUAACCAAGUAGGGCAAUGCAAGCUACAGAUUAUACAAAGGUACAGCAGCUGAUAAUUGAUUCAGCAGACCUGUCAGCAGCUAAGACAAUUUCGACAGCCUCCAACUAUGCAGACCUGUUCAAUUUGUGAACCCGGGUAUUUUAGGCCCAAAUCCAAAAAUUCAUGGCUGUAAUUUUGGCCAAGCCUAGCCUAAUUGCAUAAAAAUGUAUGAGCAUCAUGGAUCACUCCCUAAAUGCAAGUUUAGAAUAAGUUCAACUUGACUACCAACAGAUAAAACAGAAUUACAAGCUCUAGAGAAACAAUAUUGACCAAAAUCCUCCCGACUGAGUUCCUCAACUAACAGAGGGCUAAUAGAGUAUAGCAGAAUCAUGUUAACUAUGAAGCUUUGUGCCAUAAUCACCUAUAUCUAAGAAAAGCAUGUUCAAUAUAUAGCAAAUCAAAAUCUAAUCAUAGAAAAGUCAAGAUAAUAAGCACCACCGUAGUCAGCUCCUGAAUAUACAAUGCACUCCAAAGUAACAUGCUUUGAACUUCUGUAUUCUCAGUUUGACCUGUGGAGCAGCUUUCAGGAUUUUCAGAAUCGGUAGAAGACAGAAGAGCAUUCAUGGCUGUAUUUAGUAACUUCUUUCCUUGAUGGACAUCAUCACAUAAAGCUGAAAGAUAAAGAAUAAACCUAAAAGGAAAGAAAAAAAGAGCUUUAAGAAAGGACAGAAGAUCGCCAAUAAUAGAAUUACAAAAUUCACAGUUUUCAUAUAAACAUGAGAGUGCGUGAGAGGGAAUAGCUUAUAGCAAAACAAACAGUGAAUCUCAGAAAUGAACCUGUAGUCAGUUCUUAUCAUAUUACCUUAGGUGAAAUAAAAAUAACAAAUAAUUAUUUCAUCUACAAAAAAGUGUAACUACCAUUCCCAUAUCAUGGCCUAAUGUUGGUCUUACUAGGAGACUGAAAAGAUGAGCUAAGCAAAUCUAAGAAUUCAACAAUGUUUUGGAUUAGUAGGCGGCUCGGCAAACUCAAAGUAGAACCCCCAAAUCAGAACAAACUUAUGAAAUAAAAAUAAAAAAGAUCAACUUUAAUGCAUAACCCAUCCUUUCCAGUUGAAAUUUAAAUCUCACAGUUAAAAACAAUUGUAAACAAAUCAAGGCUUCAGGACUUUUGUCUUUUUCUCAAAGAAGUCCAUCAGUUAUAAAUGCUAGGAAUUACAUAAUUCAAUUAGUUCAUUAGUAAGAAAUUUUCUUGCUUCAUUCAUUUGAUAGUUAUAAUUGCUUUGAAUUGCAGAUUUCUACUUGGGUGGGAGCUUAGCUUUCAGAUUAUGAUGCUAAAUUUCCCCCAGCAUAUUUAACUGUACUAUAUUCAGCCACAUAAAGAGAAAGUCAAAGGAAAAGCAAGAAAAUUGAUAAACACAUACAGUAAUAGUGCAUUUUCUCCAAAAACAUAUAGAAACUUACAUGUUUGUAGGACAAACAGCUAAACUGCCACCCAUCUGAAGAGCUCGAAUGGAUGUACUCUGCUCAGGGUACAAGGCUAAAUAGAGAGGGGGUUAUUCUUCCACUUAAUUCUAUUAAAUUAAAACAGCAAACCUAGAAAUUGAUCUUACAUCGAGGAGGAUAUACAGCCAGAAAAUUUGAUGUGUCCGGCUUUAGGGAACAUUUGGUAAUGCAUAUUGCCCUAGCCACCUUUUGUUUAACAUCUCUCACACUCAAAAAGCAAAAGCUUUCAUGUAGAGGAUCCGAUGGGGAGGAUGGAACUGUAAAGGAGGGAUCCAGAACUAGCUUCUGACUAUAUAUUUCCUGCCCAGAAGCCAACCUUAUACCUUUGUAAUUGCCAUUAUUCUGAAAAAUAGUUCGAAGAAAAAAGUAAGAUUUACACCUCAAAAGUAGCAAUUAAUAUAAUAAACAAAUUGUAAGCAUAUUUCAGCACCUUGUCCAUUAGCAGAGCAACCACGGGCAUUCGCAAAACCUGUAUGACAGAAGUUUCAAAUACAGAUAAACAUAUUACAUUUAAUAAGAAAAAACUGUACAUUUUCACUGUAUAAGAAAAAUGCCUAUUUUAGGUUAGCUAUGCAAUUUCAUUGCUUUCCCCUUUACCAGAGGAUGGAAGAUGGUUAUCAGGGCUCUACAUAUCCUUAAAUCCAGACACACGUAGAAGCCCAGAGAUCUAUACAACCCUAAGAUGAAAGAAAGUAAAAUAUUCUUUUAAUUGCAAAAAGAAGGCACUAUUAGUUAACCAAACUUAAGAGUCCAUAUUUCACCAAGAAGAGAAAAAAGUUCAUAGCACCAUUAGGUGCAACUUACGUAAAUACAGCCUUUCACUGCAGCACGACGGCAAAAGGCUGGUGGCAGUUCUCCUUGACCAUAUAUAGGAUAAAUAAAAGCUCCAAGUGCAUUUGUAAACCUGGAAGAAAUAACAACAAUAAUGAAAGAGUACAGGCAAUUGGUUCUAACUUGGUUAGAUAAUAUAAGAACCGUAAUGCACAUUUCCUCAUCCUACGCUUCUAUUUGAAUUCACCGUAUGGAGUAAAAUGAUGCGAUCAGCAUUUAUGAAUUUAUAACCAUACCAGUAGCACAGCUGUAUAAGAAGAAUGGAGUAGCAUUAUCAACCUGCCAAUAGAUGACUGAUACAGAGCCAAUCGAUCAAUUCCAUCUUUCGUCUUAAGUAAAUCUUUAUUUGCCCCUCCGGUGUUCUCUUGAUCACAAUCUGCCAUGACUAUUGCGUACAGUAUAAUCCUGAAGAGAGCAAGCAGAUAAUAGAAGUACAAGUCACCAAACUAAAUAAUGCUGCUUAUAAGGUACUCUGCAGACGGCCAAAAAAGCUAAAAACAUGAGCUGUGUGAUUUAAUUACACGUCUUCCUAUGAUGAUCAUUACUACUAAUUCAAAACUUGAAAGCACUAGAGUAACUUGUUUCAAGACUUUCUAGGAUGCAGAAAAUAAAAUGCAAUGCUGCUAGUAGCAUUCACAUAAAAUAAUGAAUUCAAUUGCAUAAGACUAGAGUUAAAGAAAAUGAAAACGAAAAUUUUCUCAUCAAACUUUUUAUGACUGAAAGCAUCAAAAUAAUCAAAUAGGAAAUUACUAAUUCAAUAUACUUGAAACCAUAAAAAUCAGAACUUUUAUCCUUGAUAUACUUGAAACCAUCAAAAACCAGAUUUUCACCCAAUCAACCACUUGAAGAGUAUGAAAACCCAAAAUUGAUAAUAAAAAGAACUGUGACUAACAGAUAGACAUCAGUGUGUACGAUUUAAUCUUUGAAGACAGCUUCAUUUUAUUUAAGAAGUCCACAAACGGACUCUCCAAAUCCUGCUCCGAGAUCCUCACAUCUUCUUCUUCUUGCUGUUCUUGAUUCUCAUUAGUGGCAAUUUGUGAUUGCACGAGCUUAAAAAAUCGCAUUAACCUAUUCUUCUCCAUCAAGCUCAAGCUCUUAUCUUUAAAUAUAGCAGCCCUAGAAUCUGGAACAUUCCAUAAUUUCCCAUUCUCAUCACCAACAAAACUCGCAUCUAUACUCUUAAAUUCAACAUAUUGAUUAGCUCCUGUUUUGAUCAUAAGAUCAAUAGAGUUAUCAGCACAAUAUAAGACCCUUGGUCCAGAUAUAUCCAGACUAAACUUACUACAAUUUUGUUCUAUGAGCUCAUUACUAAAAGAGGAAAUCUCUACGUUUGAAUAGAGAGAUUGCGUUGUGAGAUUUACGACAGUAAAAUCGGGGUGUGGUGUUUGUGGCGGUGGCGGUGACGGUGUAGGGACUGAAUUAGAAUUAAGGAAAGAGGUGAGAUCUGGGAUUGAGAGGGAGGAGAAGUGAGAGCCAUAGAAUUUGUUCUGGUCGAUGUGGAGUACGGAUUUUCCCGAAGCGCUAGCUGCAGCAGCGAUUAUUGACUCGGAUAAGCCUGUUCCGAUGAGAAUUAAGUCGAAAGUUGUUGGAUCUAUUGAUGGAUAUGACGGUGGCUCUGUCAUCGCAGCGGCGCGUGAGAAUUAGAUAACCGUGUGCGUGUAUUUAGAUUCUACACUAAUCAACAGGCAGAGCAGCGUGUUAGUAAGACUUGCUAAUGCUGUCUACUCUAGUCUAUGGUAAAAGUCUUAAGAAUGUCAUUAUGGCUUAAUUACCUAAAAAACCUUAAAUUUUUCAAGAGAUUCUACCUCGUAUUAUUAAGUGUUUCUAGUUUAUUCAAAAAUUAAAAUAUAUUGAUUUCGAUUUUAAUAUAUUUCUACUACAUGAUAUUUUUAAGCAAAUUUUAUAAAAAAAAAAUCGAUAAACUAAAUUGUUGAUUCUCAUAUUAAAUAAAAUGGCACCAUUUGUUUUAGUGUUUAAAUAAGUUUUAUUUUUUAAAAUUGUGAGAUCUUAUUAGCGGAGUGAAUAGAUAAUUUAAUUGCUGAAUCAUAUUUUAAUUUUUAAUUUUAUCAAAAAAUAAUAUUAUAUCAGUAAAUUUCAAAUAUAAAACUCGUCAAAUAAAUUAAAAAGUUUAAACAUUAUAUCUAUUAUUAUUAUGUUUGCAUUUCACACGAAUAAAAAUAAAAAAAUCUAAGAAGAGUAUAUUCAAUUAAAAAUUUUAAAAAUAUUUAUAGAUUUUUUUAAGUGAAUGGCUUUUGCAGAGUUUAUAGACUUUUAUAGAGUUUAUGAAUUUAUUAAUGACUUUAUAGACAUUAUUUUGGAAGACUUUUAUAGAGUUUAUGAAUUUGUUAAUGAUUUUUAUAGACUUUAUUUUAAAAAGCUUUUAUAUGCAUUUAUGACUUUUAUAGACGUUGAAAUUUUUUUAUUGAUUUUAUUUUGAUGUAAGUAAAUUAAAUUUUAUCAUAUGAUAAAAUAAAAAUUUUAGAAUAUUCAAUAAAAAUAGAUGUCUUUAAUUAAAAAAAUCUAACUAUCUUUAUGUAACAAAACUUAAAAUAAUAUUUUUUUUAAAUCAAUGUUCAUUAUUAUCCACUUGCUCAACAUCAUUUCACAUAUUAGUAGUUAUAGCAGGUCUUCAUUCAUUAGUAGUAUCUUUUUUGUUGCUAUUGUGUCUUAAUAAAUAAUUCAAAUUUCUCUUCUUGAUUAACUGCUAUAGUUGGAGAUGAUAAAAUUUCAUUAUCUAGUUUAACCAAAUAUUUAUUUGAAUGAUACUCUUUUCAAAGAAAAUUGUGCAAUCUUGUACAUACCAAUACUAGCUCUGCUUGUGUGUUAUAUGAAAAUGGAAGAGCUAUUUUAAAAAUUGUAAACCGCGAUUUAAAGAUACCAAAUAAUUUCUCAACUGUAUUUCUCAAAGAAACAUGACAAAGAUUAAAUAACUCAUUUAUAUUUUCAAGAUGACGACCUUGACCGUGAAAAUCUUGAAGAUGAUAACGAACACCUCCAAAAGGAGUUAAAAACUAAAGUCGAUUUGGGAAUCCACAAUCCACCAAAAAAUAUUUACCUAACAUAUAUAUAAUAAAAAAUAAGAUAAAAAAAUUAAAUAUUAAAAGUGAAAAUAAAUUAAAAUUGCAAUAAGUAUAUUAAAAGUACCUUGUGACAUUUUAAGUACAAGACUCUUUGACAGAGCAUCAUUUAUACUUUUGAAUCAUGUGCAGUUCCUUCCCGCCCAUUAAGCACAUAUAUGAAUUCUAAAUUAAAGUUACAAGCUGCUAAAAUAUUUUAUGAAAUUAUUUUAUGAUGGUUGCGAUAGCUACUAAUGUCACUUCCAGUAACCAUUGCAAGAAUAUCAGUACCAUCAAUAGCUCCAAUGCAAUCCUGAACUAAUAGAAGAAAAAUAUUUAAUUAGAACAACAUAAUAUUAAUAAAAUAUUUACUAUAAUAAGUAGUAGAAGUGGCAAUAAUAAUAAUAAAGUAUUAUUAAGAAUUGAUAACGUGCUUACUUUAAAGUAAUAAUAGAAUCUUGUACUUUCUCUAAUUUUUUCUAGAACGAAGAAACUGGGUUUAGCCAUCAUAUCUACUGCGAUUUUUUUCUAAUGCUCUCAAAAUUUUAUUUUAAAAUUUUAGCUAGCACUGAAACAUAAAUGGUCAAAUAUUUUGUGAACUAAGCAAUAUCUAGAGCUUUGACCGACAGUGAGUAAAAAGGCUGCAAGCAUUUCUUCGAUGCAAUUAUAUAUUGUAUCCUGUAAGGAUGUCUUUUCUCUAAUAAUCCUGCAUAGUUUGAAAAACACGCUAAGAUACAUUCUAUAUACUUGUCGAAAUUCUUAUGGAUCUUUAUUUAAAAUUUUAUGUAUAUAAUCGUAUCUGUUUGAAGUUUUUGGCCACCUGGAUAAAGGAUGUUGGAUAUGAUUUUAGGACAUACUAGUUAUAAGCUCAUUAUACAAUUGCUUGAAUUUUUGCCAACAAAUGCUUAAAAGUUUCAUACCAUUCUUCUUCCAUUUCUUCUUUUUCGAUUUCUUCGUCUUCUUCUAUUAUUUGAUUUUCUACUUCACCAUCUCCAUUCAUGUUUAAGAUGUAUAAAUAGAAUCAUAUGAGAAAAAUAAUAAAUCUAUAUGUGAAUAUAUUAAUUAUUAGAAAGUUAUAUGACACUAGUUCUAAAGCACUUUAAUUAUUCAUUCAUAAAAAUUAAUAUAAAAGUAAAUACAUUAAUGGACAUCCCAAAAUAAUAUAAUUUGUCACUUACAUGAAUAACAAAAUAGCAAAAUACAUUACUAAUUAAAAUUAAAAAAUAAAAAUAAAAAUCUAAAAUUAAAUAAUUUCAUCUUUUAUUGCUCCAACUUAUAAGUUAUCCAUUUAUAAUGCUCUUCAAGAGUUAUUUUCAAGAACUUAAUCUUCUUUGCUCUAGUAUUGAGCAACUUAAGUGCCUUGAAACGUGCACACUUAUCUAAAUUUGGUAUUUUUUUUUAUAAUGUUCAAACAAUUGUGUUCACUGCUAUUUGAAUUAAUAGCUUUAGCCAACUUGUCAACGGAAUGAAUGAAUUUGUUUAUAAUAUAUGUUGAUUAUGAUUAGACUCAGAAGAAGUAGUUUUUUCUUCAAACUCACUUCUAUUACAUUUUUUGCGUCCUUGAGGAACAUCUAGAUUAAUGGUAUCAGAGGGUAGCAGUAAAAUGGAGUAUCCAUAAGAUGAAGAUUGAUACAAGAAAUCUUGCACAUUAUUAUGUAUGAAUGUCCAAAUAUUAGUAUCAUAAAUCAACUCAUCUAAAGCAGAACCUCUAUUUCCCUCUUCCUCAAGUGUUCUUGCAUCAGUAGCUUCCUCUAAUCUGAUUGUAUUUUUUCCAAUUGUAGUUUCAUUUCCAAUUGCGAUUCUUAAAUCUUCAUAGUCUGUAAAAAUGUUUGUGCGAUAGCUUCUAUGGAUGGGAUGAGACUGAUCAAGAUAAAAAAAUAUUAGUAUAUGACUUUAUGCAUAUUAAAAUAAUACACAAAACAAAAAAGAAAACAUAGAUUCCUUCAAAUUAAACAAAAGCAAAUAACAACAAAUAAAUUAAAAGGACUAAUGUAUAUGUAUUUUUGAAUAAAAGAAUUACCUUAAAGUAAUCCUUCCAUACUUCAUCCCGAAUAGUAGCCUUUUUGGGCAUAGGGUUCCAUCCAAAUUAAGAGCUAUAACUUAAAAGAUUGCAAUAAUUGUUGUAUCUUUAUUUAAACCAUUUCAAACGGCUUAAAUAUUGAGAAUAAUUAUUAUCACAUCCAAUUUUUUCAUUCAAAGCAAGGAGUAUCCUUUUUUCAACAAUUCCUUCACCAAACAAGCCACUGCUAUCGCGCCAAUCCUGAUUCACAGCAUCAACCAUGAGUUUCAUUAACUCGUUAGUUUCUUCAAUUGUCCAAGUUUUAUAUUUCUCACCAACUCUUCUUUUAACUUUGUCAUUUCAUUGAUAUGUAUCUCUCAUUAUAAUAUUACUUUAUUAUACAUGCAAUAUAUAAUAAACAAAUAUAAAUAGCAUAAAAGAAAUAUAAUUGAGUAAAUAAACUAAUAAAAAUUCGUAUGCUAUUAAAAGACUAAUGACAUUUAAAUGCUUUAAAAGUAUUUCAUAGGUACUAUAUUAUAACAACAAUAAACUAACGAAAUUUUUAUUGGUGGGUGUGUGAAAAUAUUUUUUUGCCACCAAAUUAAGAGCAGAAAGUAUAUUGCAAGAGUUGCCAAUAGUGGAAUUGUUAUUGCAUUUCAUCAUAUCAUGUAUUGACACAGUUCUUAAUAAACAAUAACAAAACUAAAUAAAUAAAAGCAUUAACAUGGUCAAAUCAUGCAUGUGGACAAAGUAAGUUCAGAAGAAUGGUAGCAUGAUAGUGCCAUGUUAAGUAAGGAAAAUGGAGGUCAAAUAUGGAUUUACAUCCUUUUGGCUUUUGAGUAAAUUGUUUUAUUUCCUUUUAGGUAUUGUCAUUAUAAAUAUAAUUGACAUGUAUAGUAAAAGCCUUACAAGUUAUAGUAGCAUAUGGACUAGAAGCAUAUAAGAACAAUAAUGAGAACAAGAACAAAUAUUAGAAGAGAUCUCCAACUUGAAUUAUGUCCUAGAUUUUUCUUGAGUAAAAUCAAAACUUUUUUUAUUCCUAAGCACUGUAACAGUGAUGAAUUUUGUUUCUUCUAGAUUAAUGCUACAAGUGAAUGCACAAUACAUAUAAUUUUCAACAAUUGUAUUAAAAAAUUCCUAAAUAUGCACACAAAAAUAAUAAAAAGUCACAUAAUAAUCUUAUAAUUGUUAAAGAGAAUCAAUAUAAUUAUGCAAUAGUGAGAUCAAAAAGAAGAAAUACCUGUUAUUUUUUUCUUUUGCUUUCUUUUCAGCAAUGAACAACUUCUGUACUUGGAAAAAGUCUGCUCAAAUCUUGAGGUAGGAUGAAAUAAAAAAAUUUAGGUUUUCUAUAUAUACUAACCUAUAAAAAGUCAUUCAAAGUGUACAAAAUUCUAUUAUCUAUAAAAGUUCAUGACUUUUUAAAUAUGGAUUUACUUGUAUUAACUAUUUAGAAGUCUUAAUUGAAUAUCUCUUAACUUUUAUAGACUUUUUUUAAGUUUAUAAAAGUCAUUAUUAAAUACACUCUAACUUUUAAAGAGUCUUUAAAAGUUAGGAUUGAAUGCUCCGUGACUUUUAAAAUCUAUCAAAGUAUUAUACGUCCUAAUUGAAUACACCCCCUAAGUUUGUAUUUUUCUUUUUAAGUGGCAAAACUCGAUGUUAAAUACUAUUUACCCUAUGCGAUUUAGUUUAAUAUACGAAUCAGUUUCUGUAUUUUUUAUUAUAUUAACAUUCUCUUGAAUUUUAAUAAAACUAAUCAAUAUCUCAUUCCGUGUUAAUCGAAUGACUAAACUGCUAAUUUAAAAUUACAAUUUUAUUCAUGAACUUAUUAUAAAGUAUCAAACUCGUUCUAAAAUUAAUCUUAUUAUCAAAUUAGAGUAAAAUCUUAUUUUUAGCACAAGUUAAUUUAGUAUCUAAUUAAAAUAAUAAAUUUGAUAUUCUUUUUCUUUCUCUGAUUUUUUAUUUUUAAUACAAUUUAAUUCAAAUAAAUUUUAAAAUUUUAAAACUAUUUAUAUUUACAACAAUAUUGUUAAAUUAUUAUAUAAUUUAAUUUUAGUUAUUANNNNNNNNNNNNNNNNNNNNNNNNNNNNNNNNNNNNNNNNNNNNNNNNNNNNNNNNNNNNNNNACUACUCAAAUGAGAUUAAUAGAAGUAAAAUAUUCAUUUGUAAUGUAGUUUUAGUAUAUAAUAAAAAUAAUAAAUUUUAUCUAUUUAUUUUAUUUAAAAUUUUAAAAAUGAACUAUAUAAUAUUUUAAUGAUAUUAAAAAAAUUAUUUUUAAUACGUUUCAAUUUCUUUAAAAUUAAAUUAUGCUAAAAAAAGAAAAGAAAGAAACAAGUAAAAGAGUAUUAUUAUUUUAAUUAGAUGCUAAAACUAAUUUAUGCUAAAAAUAAAUUUACUCUACUUUGAUAAUAUAAUUAAUUUUAGACGAGUUUGAUAAUUGAUAAUACAUCCAAAGAUCAAAUUGUAAUAUUAAAUAACCAAUUUAGUCAUCCGAUUAACCAGGAGUAAUAAUUAAUUUUAUUAAAACUCAAAAAGAUUUUAAUAUAAUAAAAAAAAAAACCAACUUAUAUAUUAUACUAAACCUCAAACCUCAAAGGCAAAUAGUAAUUAAUCCUAAAUCUUUUGUGUUUUAUUGUUGUUGAGUACAUGCCAAUAAUGAAGUGAUUCCAUUACCGCUCAGACAAAAAGACAUCGUUGCUUGUCAUUAUUGUUAUUAGAUGAACUAGUUAUCAAUUUAUAAAAUGCUAGUCUAAUAUAUUUCAAAAAAGAAAAGAAAAAAAAAAAUUUGAUCCCAUUUAGGAUAAGUGUAAGAUUUAAACUUAAGCAGCAUACAGAAUCGGUUGUUUAAAUUAAUUAAAAACAGAAAAAUAUUUAAGUGAAAUUGGGUCGAGAAGUUCAACAAUUUUCUGCUGAAGAAACCUGAAGAACAAGCGCAAAGAAAUCUUUAGCAAUGUUGUAACUACAUCCGCAAAAAGUCGGACCAAAAGAGAAAUGUGACAACAACUUCCCCACCAAUGGGCGAUUAUAGUGGCCUGUACUGUACAGUUAGUGUUGCAAGCACAUACAAUGCGGCUGCAGUUACUUUCAUUUAAUAACCUACCUGCCUUGGGAAGUUAGGAUUCAUAAAUCUGUUCAGCCAAACAAAUCUUACUAUGAUUAUUAGCAAUCUAAAAGUUUCAUGUUCCUGCUAAGAGGGUAUAGAUUGAUUCCUAUAUUAAGACUAGCAAACUGUACCUUGCAUGAAAAGGUAGGUAUGCAUGAACAUAAACCCAUAAUAAAAGCUCAAGCCCAACAUAAUCCCAGAACCAUUCUAAAGCAUACAACCUAGAAAUCAGUACAUUUUAGCAUCACAGCUGAUUCUUGUAAAGACGGGAAUCAAACCAUAGCUGGCUGGAAUUUUAACAAUAAUAAAGCAAAAGUCAGCACUAAAUUUCUCAGCAACUUAUCACACUUCACUGCCUUGAUCUUGACUCAGCUCUUCUAGCUUCGUCGGGUGUUGAUGGAAACAACUCCACGUACCUUGACCCAAUUGUCAUCUUAUCCUUGCUCAUAGCUCUUUUAGCUUCAUCAGCAGAAGCAAACUCUACAUAGGCCUCUCCAGUAGCUUUCCCAUCUGGCCGGCAUGCAAUGUGUAUUCUAUCUUCAACCAGCUCGAAUUCUUUAAAAAAUUCAAUUAUUUCAGGUUUUUUCGCAGAGAAGGGGAGACCUCGCAUCUUCAAAAUCUCAGUGUAUUCUAAUUGAUCCUUAUCACUGAACCUCUUUGCUUUAGAUGGUGGAGGGCUUCCAUGGUAGUCAGUGUCAUAAAUUCCUUCAUAAUUCACCUCUGCAGCAACAGCAUUAUAAUAAUCCUGCCUCUUGCACCUAAAGACUUCCACAUAUCUGCGUCCCAUGUUCUGUCGGUCUCUCUGUAAAGCAAACUCAACCUGCAUGGCUCCUGCAAAGACCACAAAAGCCUCUCCUGUAAACCGUCCAUUCUUAUUGACCAGCAGCACAUCCACAAUGUCAAGUCCAGCAAAGAACUUGAAGAUGUCGAUGUCAGUGCAGUUGAAAGGAAGACCCCUCAGACGAACGACGGGAAAGGGAGCUGACUGAAAUCCUCCACCAUAGCCAUAGGGUUGAAAGCCACUCGAUCCACCGCUCACUGCGAAGUAGGGAUUUGAUUCCAUCAUUCUUGGUCUCUUUGAGCCGACCUCGUACCCAUCCGAAACCCCCCCGCUUCCCAACAUUGCCCUUCAAUUAUCCAUACCCAAAAAAGAAAGAAAAAUCCCCACUCAACCUGUUAAUAAAACCAAACCCAACCCACACUUCCCUGACACCUAACAUUCCUACAGUUUUCUUCUAAAAAACAAGCAGGCAUCAUACUUAACAGCCCUCCUAAAAUAAAACUACAGAUACACUCCAAAAGCAAAGCAUGACAAAAAGCAUAGCAUAUAAUCACCAAUGGCAGCAACAAGUACUCAAGUAUGCAACUAGAGAAGAUUUGGCAAAUAGUAUAUUUUCCAUAUGCCAUUAGCUCGCACAUAUUUUAGACCCAUGGUACAUCAUAUAUACACUCUUUGCAUACAAAAAAUCACAAACCCAACAACAUCACAGAAUCAUAACACCAACAAAAUUAUAGCCCUGAACCUAUUUGCAAAAUUAGUUUUGUUUCUGUCUUCCACAUGUUCAUUAACCCAGAAUAUGCACAAUAUUUUGAAAACCCUAACUACAAGAACGAGAUAAACAAAAAGAAAGAAAUCAAAUUUCACAGACACCAACCAAAAAAAAAAAUGGAUCUUUGGUUUACAGAAUAUAGCAAAUCAAACGGCAGUGACGGCAGCAAAAUCAUAUAAUGAAAGGCACACAUGAAGCGAAGUUAGUUAUACAUACCCUCUUGAUCCGUACAUGGUGUGGUGUGGCUUUGAAAUCUUUAAGCAGCGUUUGUUAAAUUCUUCGAAGAAAUUAGAGAGAUUUGAAUCUUAUUUUUUUUAUUGGAAAUUCAAAAGAUUCAAAACCCUAACUGAUAACAAAUCUGGCUCGGCUACAAUAGAAGACAAGAAGAACCCUAGACUGGAGAGACGCAGAGAGAGAGAGAGCACUUGGGUCCAAUUCAAAACUUAAUUGACCCUCAAAAUUUUCUAGACUUUAUUUCUCUAUUUUCUUUUUUCAAGCUAGCCAGCCUAGGCUUGGCCAUGUGUCUGGACCAGUCCGGAACCGGCUCUAAUUUAUUGAUUUUAAAUUGUGUUUAGAGAUUAAAUGUUGAACCGGCUUGUAUGUAAAAAAGUUUCGGUUCAUAGUUAAAUGUAGGACCGUUCAAGGUCCAUUUACAAUUUCGAUUCCUUACGGUCUCAAGCCAACUUACUAAAAGUACCUUUGCCUGAAGAAAUUUUAGAUAAACAUCUAAGAUUAAUAAAAAGAGAAAAUACUAAAUAUUACUUUUAAGACCAAUCAAAUUUCAAUUUAAUGUCUUUCUAAUUUAUAUUAAACUAUUUAUUUAUUUGUAUAUUACCGAUUUUCUUAUAUAAAUUAAUAUUAUUAUUUUUUAAAAUUAUAAAUUAUUAUAUAAUUACAAAAUUAAUUUAUAAAUAAAUAUAAUAUCAAAAUUAUUAUUUAAAAUAUUAUUUUCAAUCAUUAUAUAAUUGAAAAACUAGUUUAUUAGUUAAUAUAAUAUUAAAGAUAUAAUUAAUAUAUUAUUUUUAUGAUAAAAUUAAAAUUAUUAUCUAAUUAAAAAAUUAUUUUAUUAAUUAAUAUAAAACUAAAAUAUACUUAAAAUGCUAUUUUUUAUGAUCAAUAUUUAAUUAGAAAUAUAACUUAUUAAUAAAAAUUAUAAAAUUAUAUAAAAAUUUAAAUUUUAUGUGUCAAAAAUAAAUACACAUGUCAAAAUAAAAAUUUAUGUGCCAAAACAUAAACAGACAUGUCAAAAAUAUUUAUGUGCUAGAUAUUAAAAUAUUAUAUAUAUAUAUAUAUUAUUAAUUAUAAUUUGCUAUUACUCUUUUGAGUAUUAGAAAAGGGCUAGAAAGAUUACUAUUAAAAAGUAUGAAAUUACUUCUUUCUCCUUUACUUUUUAUUAUUUUCAUCAGUUUCACAUAUGCAUCAAUACUUGAUUUUCUAAAUACCUUGAAAAACACAUCAAUAUGAUAUAAUUAUUUCAAAACUACAUUAUCUAAGAGAGAUAUUAGCAACAAUAUUUAGUUGACAGAUUCUUCAUUUGGGUUGAUCAGAUUUCACCAAUAGGAUUCAAGGGAAAAGAUAGAUUUCUUAUUCGGGUUGAUCAAAUUUUGCCAUUUUUAACACAUUUUUAAAAGAAAAAUCUAAUUUAAUCGAAUACAUAUAUAUUAAAAUAAAACAAAAAUACUGAUUUAACCACAACUUGCUACUAGAAUAUAUUUUAGAAUUAUUAAAAUAUGAAAUUUCUUAUUUUUUUAUAAAAAUUUAUAAAUGGUAAUUCGAGUAGAAUAUAUUUUAGAAUUAUUAAAAUAUGAAAUUUCUUAUUUUUUUAUAAAAAUUUAUAAAUGGUAAUUUCUUUCUCUUGUAAUCUGUAAUUGUAUUAACAACUUUUUAAAUUUAAAUUUCUAUCUAUACUUAUUUUGUUAUAAUUUUAAUUAACAAGUUUAUUUUAUUGAUUUUUUAUAUAGUAUCUUUUGCAAUAUUACAAAAUCUUACUUUAAACUUAAUUAUUUAUUUGAUAUUUUUAUUUCUAUUUUUUUAUUUACUAAUUUGAGUUCAGUAAUGGAUUUUAUGUUCUUUUUUUUUUCUAUAGUUUAGUUAUUUUUAUUUUUUACUUUUACUCAUUUAAAUUUAAGAUUUGCAUUAAUUUAUAGCUUUUAUUUAUUAAUUGUAGAAAAAAACAUAAAUAUGACAUAAUUUUACAAUAUUUAUGAUUUAUACCUACAAACACCUUAAAGAAGAAAAGAAGAAGUUAUAUUUUAAUAAAAAAAAUAUUGAAGCAAUUUAAUUUUUUGCUUAAAUCACACAAAAUUCUCUUUUUUUCUCUCUUUAUAUUUUUACACUUCAAUUUUAUUUUAUUUUAUAUUACUAAAAUUUAAAUAGUAAUAAAUAAUUAAUUAUAUUUGUUCGUGCAUAUUUUAUAUUAUCAAUAAAAUCAGAGCUUAAGUAUAAUUUCUUUUAUAUAUAUAUAUAUAUAUAUAUAUAUAUAUAUAUAUAUAUAUAUAUAUAUAUAUAUUUAUAUUAUUUAUUUUAAUUUUUAAUAUUCAAAUCAAUAAUUUAUAAAUUAAGUAAAUAGAACCGGAUUGCUCAAAACAAACUGGAAUCGACUCAAAAUCAAAAUACCGAUUCAAAAUAGUUUUUCCUUAAUUGAAAUCAAAACUAUCAGUGCCAAUUCUAAGUCGUAAAAUAAAAUAAUUUAUUUUAAUUAAUUAUUUUAUUUUUUAAAAAUUGGUUAGACUUAGAACUAAAACUGUGAACCAGAACUUACCGACUCCACUGCAACUGCUUGUGUUUUUAUAUAUAAGAAUAGUUAUUAUUUUUAUAUUUGACAUACAAACUAUGAAAUAUUUAACAUAUAUAUUCUAUUAAUUAUUUAACAUAAAAAAUAUAUAAGAUAUAAUAAAUUUAAUUAUAAAAUAUGAAUAUAAAAUUAAUUUAUAAAUAAAAUAUACAUAAUUUACCAAUAAAAUAUUAAUUAAUUUCCGUACAAAAGGCAUGUAUACUACUCAUCAAAUUCAAGAGAAGGGACGGAUUCAUCAUUAGGGUAGAUCGGAAUUUGCCAUCUCUAACACAUUUUUGAUAGCUCAAGUAUAACCUUGUCCAAUCUAUGUCAAGGCCAUUUCACCACCAUGUCAUCGCUAUUCCAUAGACAAUAAUACAAAGGUUGCCAUGUUAACUGUUAAUGGGAACAUAUAUAGGCCAGUCAAGUACGAAUAUGCAUCAUACCUGCAAAGGCCCCUUCUACGAAUUCAGAUCAGAUCAAACAAUCAGCAAAGACCUCUGCUCAGUCCUUAGUUGGAGAAAAUGGACACCAACCCAACCCUAUUAUAUGUAUCAGUUGAAAACCUAGAAUAGGAAGAGUUAAGAGCAAAACGCAGGUGCACAAGAUUUUACUCCAAUAAAAGAUCCAAUGAACAGAUUAUAGACAGAAUGUUGAUGUCAGCUGCUUACAGCAACAAUAACCAUCUGUCACAUGUCCACUGCACAUCUUUUUUCUUUUUUUUUUUUGCUUUUCUAGAUCAAAGCUCCAGAUGUACAGAGAAUGCGUUACAAGAGGUAAUUAAUUUUCCACUCACUACAACAAAAUUGAGUGUAUACACCAAAUAAACAGAAGUUCUUUAGAAUGUAGAUGAAGAUUGGGAAAAAAAAUGCUGCCAAGGCCACAAGUGACAAGUGGUCUCUAUUUGACUAUAAAUCGAAGCACAUAUGUGUUUCGUUCUCAAAAAGAUUUCAUAUCAUUUACAUUCUUCAUUCUACUGGAUGACUCGACAUACAAAUUUGCUCACCCUGGUAGAUAAUAUCAACCAUGGAAUAAUUCCAACCUGCAGUUACAUCAAAAGAGUAAACAGAAAUAUAGAAAGACUUCAAUGUCCCAUCUCAUGAAUUGCUUGAAAUCCUAUUUAUUCUCAACCAAGGUCUGACUCAGGAAAGUGCUGGUUGCUAAUGGGCCAGAAGAGAUCAUUUAAUCCCCAAAAUACAGAAGUAGGUGUGUUAGAUUUCUCUGGCAUAUUAUCACUGGAAAUCUUUUAAUAUAGUCUAACAAGAAAUUUAGUUACCCUUCUCCAGAAUUAACGCUAUGGCUAAACAGAAGAAAAAGAUGAAAAAGGAUAGGAGUUGGUAAGUCUCCUUGUGCAGGUUCAAACUAAACAAGAUUCCUCUGCAGAACUUGGAAUUUGAGCGAUAGACUUCAUUUGCAGACAUUUGGAAGUCCAGCAAUAAAACUCUUCAAUAUGUUGCAUCUGCAGUUUUUCGGACUUCAAAGUAUAUGAUUUUACCUUUUAGUUAUCCAUGGUGGAGUAGCUAUCAUUUAGGAGACUUAUAGCUGCUAUUUUUCUCUUAAUGCUCAGUAGUUACCAUAUGGUAUGUGAAACCUCUAUAGAUAUCUAUGCGGUGGUUUGGAGGGCCUUUGUUUAUGCUUAGUCGUUGUCAUGUCACAUGAAUGAACUAUAGUUAAUCAGCAGUCUGAUUCAGAAAAAUCCUAUAAUGGUCCAAUGGUUUUCUCUAGAAUAUGGUCAAGAACAAAACCCAAAUAAAUGGAAAUCAAAAUUAUUACCAAUACAUUGUCAUUAAAAAGACCUCCGGCACCCCAAGAUAGCAUCCUUCCUGUAAAUAGUAAAACAGGUUGAGUCAACAAAAAGAAAUAUACAAUUAUUGAAACACUGCGUAUAAUUUCCUCUUUUAUGAUUAUUCCACUCCAGUUACCUACUAAUUGUAUUAUCUUUCUCACUGCCCAUCUACCCAUAGUCUUAUCAAUUAAAAAAAGAUAAGCAUCAAAAUGAUGAAUCAGAAAAAUAAAAUGGGGAUAAGUGGAUAAAACUCAACAUGAUGUAGAAAUUAAUGAAUGUAAUGUAUUACCAAAAGGCUGCACCAGUUGCUGAGAUAUUGCAGCAACAGGAGUCCUCCAAAACCAGCAAAUCAUCACAAAGUAUGUCACAAUCUGUAUGCCAAAUAAAUUCGUUCAGGCCUCAUGAAGGAGAAAAAAAAAGUUCAAUAAACAAAAUACAACAGAAGUUCUAGACAACUUUGAACAUUCACUAAACCUUUGAGAGAAAUAUGAUUUUAAGGUACAAAUCAUAGGACAGCUUCAUCUCCUUGUUGUGCAUCUCUUGAACUGGAUGGAAAAUAUAGGCAUUAGAAGCUCUUAUUAUUAUGGGAUGAUAUGGAGCUUAAAACUAACAUGUUUAAAAUGUGGAAGAGGUCAUUACAGAGGAGACAUAACAAUUAAGAAAACCUCUGGAAGAAUCAGUCUAUCUCUUCCUCUCUCUCUCACUUCAAUUCAUGGGGAUGAAUGUGCACAUAGCAAAGGGUAACAAAAGGACAAAAUCUCUGGAAUAGAUAACUCAGGAUUUUGAAUUGCCACAAUUCAAUGUUCACUUAAUCCCAAGCUUAAACAAAAAGUUUGAAAUAGCUUCAAACAAAUUUUGGAAAAUCAAGUUUCAAAGUGAAGACAAUAAUAGGUACUUAGAAAGGGAAAAAAAGACGUAGAAGAUGAAUGGGCAGCAGUUUUAAAGAAGGCCAUGACAUAAACUUGGUCGGAAAGUAUCAGAAUACUACACCAUCAAAUCAAUAUAAAACAAGCAAUUUGCAACGGCUAUCAACAGGCUUAUUUUGGAAUUUCAGGAAUAGUUUAUGGUGUCGGAUGGGUCUACACAAACACAAAGCCUCCAAUAGAUAUAUCUACUUGCUGGCAUAUACACACACACACACAUAGAUAGAUAGAUAGAUAGAUAGAUAGAUAGAGAGAGAGAGAGAGAGAGAGAGAUAACAUUAACUCCAUGAUUCUGCCAAUCUGUUAUUAAUUGUUCAAUGGAUUUACGCAACACAAGCAAGUACAUCGCUUGAGAAAGUAUGAUUAAAUAGAUUCACACAAUAUCUAUAUCAAGUCAUCUAUAGAGGAAAAUCAAUGACUGCAAUAGCAAAGAGACCUACGAUUUGCUAGUUCCUUCUCCUUUGCAGCUGCCAACCUCCUAAGUUUCGCUGCCUGAGCAAAUGUUGAUGGCCUGUGACCAAUAGAAAUGUCAAUCAUACAAAAGAACAACACACUUCCUACAAAAUAGUGACCCACUUCAACAAAUAAAAACUGCCAAUUCCUUGUAAUUUUAGAACUCAACAUAAUUCCCACGUACUUAAAAAUAGGCUCUCGAGCAAUUCACAGAGCUUGACAUAAUUGUAUAUGCAAUUUGGCACCCAUUUGACAUGAUUGUAAAAAGGCUAUUUCUAUCUGAUGCAGAAAAUGGCCAAUAGAAACAUUAGUGAAAAAAGUCACUCACUGUGAGUAGGAGCUCGCCUCUUUCAAUAGCUGCUUAAUUUCUGUACGCAGCUGAACUUCUGUAGAAGUCUUAGCUGCUCUCUGAAAAAAAAAAAAAAAAAAAAAAAGUACAAUUCCUUGAGAAAAUACAUCUAAAAUAGGAAACUUUAUUGGAAAAAUAAGGGCUAAACGUGUCAUGAGAAAAAAUACCAUCAUUUAUUAAUUUAGUUUAAGAAUCCAGAGAGUAAGUUCUUCAAUUUUUGGUAGGAAAGAUUGGUGGCUUUAUUAUUUCAUUAAAUGUAUUCUAUGCAUGUGACUAAUCACGACUGAGUUCAUGUAAAGGGAGAUAAAGCCCCUGUAUCAGGUUCAUGACUGAGUAAUAUAAGAAUCAGUUUCCACUUAGAAUUCUCUUCAUCUCUCCCUCCACUACAUCUCCUCGAUCUCUAUAUUUCUCGAUUAUUGUUCACAAUUGGAACGGAUUAAUACUGCCAAGUAGAUGCAUAGAAGAAUUACUUGAACCAAACAUGUAUAACCAUCGAUCCUCAUGCAUUGUACUGAACUUGUUUGGAAAAAUAAAAUCAUUUAGAAGAAUUCGAGUUCAAUAGAAUUAAAUUCUUAUGAAAUCAUGUCAUCAAUUCUUUGAAAUUGCCCUUAAUUCUAGCAACUACCCAGAAAUCAGAAUCGGGUGAUUAAGAAAAAAGAAAAAGUAUUGGUAAUCAACAGUUCCACUUGAAAUCAUCGAAAUUUAACGUAUGAAUAUCAAAUUCUACAAAGCGAGAAUUGUAAAGGAAAUGGCCAGAUCCUUUUGCCAUAGCUGCAGCAUGUAAAUAAAUAAAAUCUAGCAAUUUGAAGCACAAAUCAAAAUAAUUUUAAAAAGAAUAAUUACCUUCUUUAAUUGUUCGAGGUAUGUGGAGACCAACUGAAAGAAAACGACAACAAGAAAUAUUAAAGGAGCAGCGAGAGACCUUCCCUGACCUUCUCCUCCUAGGGUUUCUUCUUCUCCCAUUCUCAAAAAUUCCUUUUUUUUUUUUCUGUCUAUGUCAAGAAAUUAAUUCAAUGAUAUCAAUCAAGAUUCUAUAUCAAUCUAAGUUCUGCAUCUUCUUUUUCUUCUUCUUCUUCUUCUUCCUUAUUUAUUUAGUUAUAUCUUUGUGGUGAUCUCUCUGUAUUUUAAUUUCAAUAGGAUUACGGGAGCAGAUCGUUUUACAAAGAGAAAUGCUACGUAACCCGCAUCAAGCUGCACCGUCUUUUCCAAUCUGACGUGGCAUUUCAUUAAAUUUAGAAAAUUAUUUCUUUUCCUUAUUUUAUUUUGAUUAUUUCGGUAAAAUUGUAUAAAUUAUAUAAAUAUAUAUUAAUUUUUGAAAUAUAGAAUUUUCUUAAUAUAAAUUUAUUAUUUUGAUAUAUAUAAUUUUUAUCUCAUAUCUAUUUAUUUCUAAGAUAUUUAGAAAUUAUAUAAUUUUAUAAUUUUUAUUAAAUAAUAAUAAAUUAUAUUUAAAAUUAAAUAACAAUUCUAACUCUAAAAAAUUGUAUUUCAAUUUUAUUAUUAUAUUAAAAUGGUGCAUUUAGUUUUGUUUGAUCACUCGAAUCUUUUAUUAUCUUAAUAGAAAAUAGUCUCCAUUGGUUUUGAAAAUUGGUCCACGAAUUGGAUGUAAUUGAGAAAAAGUUGAAAGUUUGGAUAAAAAUAAGUCACUAGGCGUAUAUAUGGGGAGUGUUGUGGUUGUGUAAACUAUUCACAAACGACAUGCAGUAUGCACCGAGCUGAUGGUUGAGUUCAGGAAUUAGUCUCUCUGUUAGGCUGCAUUGAGUUGGAGGGAAAUGGCAGCUCCUGGAAAAUGCUUGCUGGUCUCUGGCCCUCCUGUGAGUUUAAUAUCAAUCUCAGUUUCUCUGUUCUUGUUUCGUUUUAUUGUAUUCACGUUUUCCUUUGAAUUCUCAAAUUCUCUGUAACCUUAAAUUAAUGCAGGGCGUGGGUAAAACUACGCUGAUUAUGAGGGUCUUUGAGAGCCUCAAAAUCUCAUACCCUAAUUUAAAGAUUCAGGGUUUCUACACUAGUAUGCUCUCUCUUUCAUUUAGUUACAGAUUAAAUUUUUUAUUUUUGUAAAUGAAUCUGUGUGCACAUAUGUAUACUUGGUGUUAGAAUUAUUGAUGAUGGAGGUUGGUUUUAAUUACUGAAUUCAGGUGAGAUCAGAGAAGGAAGUGAAAGGGUUGGCUUUGAAGUUGUCACUUUGGAUGGUAGAAAAGCUCCACUUGCCUCCACCACCAUUUCCACGUAUUACUACUCUCUGUUCUCUUCUUUUAUUUAGUUUCUAUGUAUUUUCAAUCUUUAAUUAAUUUAGGCAGAUAAAUAUUAGUUUCAUGUUAAAUUUUAGUUGGUUUUCUGGUAGAUGUUAAGGAAAUUGCAUCAAGUGAUCAAAAUAUUAUUAUACUGGAAUGCUUUUACAGCAAUUGAUAUUGAGAUUAAUAUGGGUAUUGAAUUUGAGAAUUUUAAUGCAUUGUUUGCUAAAUGCACCUCUUGUGUGGUUUACACAUGGUAUCAUUCUAAUUUGUUCAAUGUCCAUGUUUGCACCGAUAACAAGGAAAAUCUAACUUCAUUAUUUAGCUGACUCAAAUGUUGAUAAUUGAUCUUUAGAGCAUUUUAGUGAAUCUGAAGGAUGAUCAUUUUCAAUUUAUUUUUAAUGUGUAUUAAGAAUUGCACUCAGUGAGGAAUACAUCAUCAGUGUUUUUCCUCAGUUUGAUGAUGUCAAUUUAGUUCCGAUGAUGCAAAACCAAGAUGUAUAUUCAUAUAGUUGUCCUGUUGUUUUUUGUUUAAAAAACCUUGAGCUAUAAUUUAUGCUUGGUGUUCAAUUUGGUAUUUGCUGUUGCAUUUGUUUCUUGUUGGUUUUGUUCAAACAGGAUGAUCUAUCGCUUCUGAAUUUUAAUUAUCUACAACUAAAAUAUCUCUCCUAAUUGCAGCCCAGAGUCAUUCAGAUGGCCUACUAUUGGGAAAUAUAAAGUAGAUUUAGCAUCAUUUGAGUCACUAGCAUUGCCCGAGUUGCAGGUCAGCCAGCUACUGAAGAUGAUUUUCUUUCUCCACUCAUAACCAAGAUGUUUAAUAAUCUUGGUUCCUCUAUUAGUUUGUUAGCAGCAAAGAGCAAACAUAAUGGAGAUAUUAUCUCGUUCGGAAGUAUUAGAUUGCUGAUUAGGUUGGAAGUAAUCUUUAAGUCAAUGGCACUCAGAUAAUGCUUAUAGAACAAGUCAUUACCUCAUUACAAUCCCACUAUAAUAAGGUCAUGGAAAGGAAACUCCAAAGAUACUCGUAUGCUUUCUACAUGCUUUCUAAAUAAAGCUGCAGUUCAUAGGUCCUAUGUCGUCUUGCUUUUUAACCAUGUUAUGAAUGCAUAUCCAGUGGCAUUAACACGUUUUUCUUUAUGUCGUUAGGUCAAAGAAGAUACUGAUCUAUUCAUCAUUGAUGAAGUAGGAAAAAUGGAGUUGUAUAGUUCAUCGUUUUUCCCUGCUGUUCUAAAAGUUCUGGAAUCAAAUAUCCCAGUUUUGGCUUCUGUCCCUAUUCCAAAAUUUGGUCGUGAUAUACCCGGAGGUAAUUUUCUAAUAUAAUUUCCUUGCACCAUUAGCAUAGUUGUUAGUAUCCUUAAUUUGGUAGUAACAAUGCUUAUUUAACAAGAGAAUUAGGAAGUCUGGAGUAAACAGAAAACAUUGGAUGAACAAAUGCUUGAAGAUGAAAUUACGGUUGUCAAAACUUCAAAAGUGGUUUAAUAUCUAAUUAAGCUUGAAAUCAGGGUACAAUGCAAGUUUCAGACUGAACUUUGGAUUUUAGCUGUAGGGUACUGGUCCUUUUGUAUUAUUUAUAAUGGAUUUGUAUGUAAGCAAGGUUUAUGCAUUGCUGCAGUUGCAAGGGUGAAGAAUCAUCCAGGGGCUACCAUUUUCACCUUGAGCCCAAGUAACAGGGAUGUUUUGAAAGAACAGAUCUACUCCCAAUUGGUAGGUUCACUGGGUAGACAUUAGACACCGCAACACUUAUAUAACGUUGAAGCUCAGCCCGUCUAUCUGCUUCCUGCAAGUGUGAUCUUCCGAAUCAGACUUCGUCUCAGUGAGUAUUCCUCCUUUUCAUGCACGAGGUGUAAAAAAGCAUCCACCGCAAUAAUCGCCCUUACAAAAGUUUAGUUGGAGGCUUGUAUAACUGAACUUUUGAGGUUGAGGUUGUUUUCCUUAUAGGGUUUAUUUCUUUCUACACCUUGAUUUUUGUCAUCUCAUGUUUGCACAACCUUGCUUGAUGGAGCUGAAGAGCUUAAAUUCCAUCUUUUGUCCAGUGAUUUUGGUGCAAGUAUUUUACAAAGAGGCCAUAAAACUUAAUCAUCGUGUACGUGCUUGCUAUAAUGUAGUUUUCACUGUUAUAUUGUGUUUGGUUAAAAUUCAUUUGCAAAUUUGAAAUUUGUGCUUUAAAUGAAGUGAAAGUUAAUUUAAAACUCUAAAUAAUCAAAUUUGUGUGGAAUUAAAUAUAGCUAAUUAAAUUUUAACAAAAUAGAUAGAAUUUUCAAAUGAAUUAUACAUUAGGAAGUCAAUAUAUUUCAUGAUACUAAAAUACCUCUUUCAACUUUAUCAUUUCCAUUUAAUUUUUUCUUUCAUGUAUUUUUCUCAAAUAUAAUAAAUUUUCUAGUGAAUGUUAACCUAACAUGGCAUUAAGCAAUAAAGAGGCUAAUGUAAUGGAUGUUGAAAUUGCAGCCAUCUAUUUUGGGUGAAAUUUGACAUAGAUUACUGAUUUUGCCAGUUGAGAUUGUGGAAAAUGAUGCAGCAAAAUUUAUGGCAGAGAGAAUACUACAAGUGUUGCAAACAAUGAAGGAAAGAUGACAAGGAAGUUGCAGAAUUGGAGUGCUUAGAACAUUCGUUUACAGUGUGCCACUAUGCUCCAAAAAGUUGCUUCCUUGAAUUAGUUUUUCUUGUGGCUUAACAUUAGUGUGGCUCCUAUGAAAAUUCUUAAGAGAAAAAUAACAAACAAACAAACUAACCUGAUAGUACAUUUUUCCAUGGCAGAAAUGUUUAGAUAAAAGAGACCAGGAGAGGAAAAACUCAAUCCACAUUACUGUUUAAAAUGUGCAUACAGACCCUUCCCCAGUUAUAAACAACUGAUUUUGUAAUGUCAGACCAAAUCAAAAUGAAUAUACAUGAAAAAGACUUUGUGAAAAGAAUUAAGCAAUGAACACUUCAACUAGUCUAUACAGGCUUACGAUGAGGUAUCUUUAUCCUUUUCUGCAGUUUUUAGCAACUCUCUUGCCAUGGCAGAGAAUGACCUGGCUGUAUCUUGCAUCUCUGUUGCUCUUUGGUUAAUCCCCUGUCCCCAAUUGUGUAAUUAACCCAAUAAUUAUUGCAUUGCAAAAGAAGAGAAAAUCUGAAGAUAAGCAUAUGAAUUUCAAACAGAAAUGAACCUCAUAACUGGUUACAUAUGAAACUGAGAGGAUAGUGUCUAAUAGGAUACCUGCAACUUCUUUACGUUCUCAUGCAACUUGCUUUCAGCCAUUUUAGCUGCGGUUGAUUCCUGCAGCCAAAAACGAAAGAAUGAUGCUAUAGCACUAUGUUAUUGAAAGAUGCUGUGUGAAUUCAAAACAUCGUACAAGGACCAUAGCAGCAAACGUGUUGGAUUUUAGAGCAAAGGGGGGAAAAAGAAAAAGGAAAGUGAGAAUUCACUAGCACUCUCUUCUGGAGCAGAUUUCAUACAAAAGAGUUACGAGCCUGUAUAGAACUACUACAUAACGCUGAAUCAGUGUUUUAAACCAUAACCUGAACCACUAUACUUCAUACAGAAAGUUUACUACUAUGGUAGCAAUAAACAUGUCAUGAAGUGUACGCUUGAAUAUACUUACAGUGGAUGAAGAAAACCCAUAUUUCUUCUUGAUUUGAUCAACUCCACCUGCCUUUUCAUCCAGUUGCUCUUCUUUGCUGAUCUUUUUCUCAUUCUUAACCUUCAACUGUUUUAUUUUACCUGAGAUUUUCAAUUUCAAAUGAAUGAGCCAACACGUAUAGUUAAAUGUUCUGCGCAGCAUCUAGAAGGACCAGUAAUUCUAUCAGAGGUCUGCCAUAAUUUCCUCCCAAACCCAUUCACAAGCACUCCUACUUCUGUAAGAUUGAUGAAAAUAAAAAAGAAAAAAGAAAACCUAUCCGAAGAUGUUUAAAACUAAACAACCUCAUGCAAGCUAUUUGCAUUACAAGUUCUGAUGCACCACAUUUUCAUGUUUGAUUUCCGAUGCUUCAAGAAUGCAAUUUUUUUUGGUUCCGUCUAAUGAAAUUUGACAUUUAAGUAAUUUCAUUUGGCUAUCAAUGCAUGUGACUUGAAACUGCCUGCAUGCAUAUUCUGGAAGGAAUUUAUCAGCAAAACAAACAAAAGUUACAAAGUAAAAAACAAAAAAAUUAAGAAGCUUGCACCAUUAUAUUCGGACGAAGGUAUUCAAGAGCUUACAGAAAGACUGAUAAUAGCAGUUAUCUACAUGUACAACCAUUUCAAUGCAUAAUGGAAGCUCUUUUUUUUUUUGGCUCUCUCUGAGCAUCUUGGUUAUUUGGUUUACUGUUUGUUGAUUGAGCUUGCUAGACACAAAAAAUACUCUCACAAAAUGUUCUUUCCAAUUUUGUCUUUACAUCCAUUCAAAAAGAUAAAUUAAAAGCUAGACAGCACCAGGUUUUCCAAAGCAGGUUUGAACAUUCACUUUUUGCUAUGCAGAACAUUUUACAUAAAAGGUGAAGCGGAAAUAUCUGUAAUUAUAUCAAAGCAUUCACAAGUUUGAAAUAGAUGUGAUAGAAAAUGUUUCUAGAAAAAUACAAUGGAACUUCAAAAAUUUCAGGCAGCCUUCCACUAGUUAUUGCUUCAGACAUUCAAAAUUGAGGUUACUAGGGAGGAGUUGCAGUCAAUGACUUAAUUGAUCUAAUCAACUAUGAUAUCAUUAUUACAGUUACUUUUUAUCGUUCCUAUUUUUCCAGUACCUAAUGGAUCCUGAUUUCGUUAUUAUAUGAUCUUAAUCAAUGCAGUACUUGACUUAUCCACACAAUUUCAACUUUAUUCAACAACAAAAUUUGCAUCAACCCAAGCAAAUAAUAAAGUAAAAUCUGUGACUUCUAGCAUAUAUGGGAAAAGAAAAUAUCAUCUUGAACUGACCUGUAAAAGCCUGAAAUUUGCUUGCCAAUUUCUGCUUAUUAGGAGCUGCCAAGAUGUUAUGAUCUUUGGGUUUCUCUUCAGCAUCAUCGAGGUCAAUAUCAUCUUUACAGGACAGAAAUGAAAAGAGCAUGUAAUUAAUUAUCCCAACGGAGUCCAUUAUAAAAGAGAUUAUAAAAAGAAAAGAGAAAGUACAAUGAAACUUGAGAGUAAUCAUUUAUUUUAAAAUUAAACUUCUUACCUUACAAGAAUCAGCAUAGCAUAGAUCUUUAAUUUCAUAAAUAGAAGGCAGUGAUCAAUCAUCAUCUUAAGAGUGAUUUGCAUGGGCAAAAAUAAGUAGAUAAAAUAUCCCCCUGAAGAAUAUUUUUGAUAUAACAGGAUGUACAUACCUAUGUCCAAAUCAAUCCCAUCUGUAUCCACAGCCAUGUUAUUGCUAUCUUCAACAUCACAUGCAAAGUUGGCUGUUGCAAAGAUCGCUGGAAGUUCCUCAAUACUUUCUCUUGUAUCUUCUGUUUCCAACUCAGAAACUUGCUUUGGCUUACUUCCUUUUAUAUCCUUCAUCAUAGAGCUAAAGAUACCCUAUGAUACCAAGAAACAAUAGAUCCAUAACUACUGAGUUACAGGCUGAAUUGCACUCUCCAAACCCACAAAAUACCUUUUUCUUUUCCUUUUGGACAAUGGUCCCCGAGGCAAGCCCUUCUUGUGAUGGCAUAAAAUCUUUUGUGUAAACUUGGCUGACAGAGUCCAAAAGCCUGAAAGGAAGUCAUGCCCAUUGCAUACAGAUCAACAUGCUUGAAUGAAGGAUCCAAAACAGUUUCGUCUACAGUAAUUUUUGUCUUUAACAAAAAGAUUAGAAGUUAACAAAUAUCCAAUAUGAUUUACAAUGGGGGAGAGAGAAAAGUUCCUUGUAACAUAAUGAAUAAGCUAACAAAAUCCAUUUUUUCUUACCAGAGAAUGCAAGGGUCGGGAUAAAUUUCAUUAUGUAAUCAUGAUAAUGUCCAUAUUAAACCUCUAAUGUGAACCAAUUCAAUCAAUGUCAAGCAUUUUCAUUGCACAAGUUCAGAUUUUCAUUCUUUUGUUCAAUGUACAGAUAACACACAGCUAGGAGAAAAGCAAUGGCCUUUUACAGAAAUAGUUAGGUCUUUUUCCUCCUUUUUCUUAGGUUUCCAUCAGUUGUUAUGGAUCACAAAAAUUUUCUAAUAAUCAGGCAUAAAUUUAUAUACCUGAAGUGUUCCUUUUGAAGCAAAACUGACACAAUAAGCAUUUCCUGAUCACCAUUCACCUGCAGAAAGAAAGCAAACAUAGCAAUUAUUGUAAGGAUUUCUUUCGUCAAACAACAAUUAGAAGGAAGAGUUCAGGCUGCUUUACCAUAACAAGUUCUCCAUCUCGGGAACAGCACACUGAACUGUCUGAUAAGGAGUUCAACCUUGGCGCAGAAUAAGUAAAACCUCUAAUUGAGGAUUCCUUUAUCAAUGAUAAUUCUGGCAAAGACCUGACAUUUCACAAGUAAUUCGUAGUUAUAUGCAUUAGUUCACGUUUAAGUACAGUUAUAAGUAUCUCAGACAAAAGUAAGGAAAUACAAUUGUUGAAGUUCAGCUAAAAUAUGAACUAUGAAGCAUAUCUUGCUUAUUUUCUACUGAAAACUCAAAAUCUUCUUGUAAAUAAGAACUUCUAAAACUAGCCUAGGAUAUAGUUUCUCAUAGUGCCAUUGCUAUAUCUACCAUAAUCUUCCCCAAAAGGUGCAUUGUGUUGUUAUGUUCCCGUGUGAAAUGAAAUUUUCACAAACCUAAACAACUUCAAUCAUCAUAUCAUUUUUCCAAUGAAAAUGCAGUUUUUAUAUUCAGCAGAAGCAAAUUGCAAGUGUCAAGACGAGGUGGCUAGUACAAUAGAACCAGCCAUGCUAGUAAGCAAGAUCCAGUUAAAAAAUAGCAUCAUUAGACCUGAACUAGACAUGGCAAAGUGGCCAUCCUCAAACUUAUAAUUAAAUAUAAUUUCCAUAGCAGGAGUGGUCCUAUUGUCCAUAUGAAGGUUAACGGUGUCUAAUUAGCAUGAAAAUCAUUAAAGGCCACUGACCUAAGCAAUAUUUUUUAUGAAUGAAAGCUAAGGAAAUAGGGACACACAAUCACCACCUUAUUUCAAUUUUUCCAGUGGUGAAAAGGAGCACAAGGCCAACAUCCGAUGAACCACACAAUACUGAAGCCCAGCAACAAGAAGAGGAAUGAAACUUCUUUUUGUAGUAAACCUUCUUAAUCCCCUGAUUACAAAAUAAUGAANNNNNNNNNNNNNNNNNNNNNNNNNNNNNNNNNNNNNNNNNNNNNNNNNNNNNNNNNNNNNNNNNNNNNNNNNNNNNNNNNNNNNNNNNNNNNNNNNNNNNNNNNNNNNNNNNNNNNNNNNNNNNNNNNNNNNNNNNNNNNNNNNNNNNNNNNNNNNNNNNNNNNNNNNNNNNNNNNNNNNNNNNNNNNNNNNNNNNNNNNNNNNNNNNNNNNNNNNNNNNNNNNNNNNNNNNNNNNNNNNNNUCUACACUAUUGACACAUUUGAUCCUCUAACAUGUCACGCCCAUCUGUAAAACAUGAAACAGCAAUUUUUUAUUCUAAUUCUUAGAUGGUCUAAGAAGUAGUUUGAGUAGUUCUCAAAGAGGUCAUAUUUUACGUUUCCCACAUGCAUAAAUUUACCAUUCUUCGAAGCAAAAGAAAAAAAUAAAAAGAAGUGAAGAAGCUAGCCCCUACCCAGAAUCUGCAUAAAUAAAGCUUUAGAUGGUUUCUUGGGUUGCACUGUGCUAGUGCUCAGCGUGUUUCCAGUAUCAACAUCAACAGCCAAAACUGAUGAAUCCUUAGUUGCAACCACUAAAACAUUCUUCUCAAAACCAUGCAGAUUGCAGGUAUCAAACUGCAGAGAGGUGAUGCCAGUGGAAAUUUCACUUGCAAUAUGUUGUUGAUACAGUAGUGUCGGUCCUUUUAUAUCAAUUAGUGAAACCUGUAAAUUCAUUAUAACAAUUAGUUGCUCCUAAGUCCUGACACAAUAAUAAAAUAGACAAAAUCUAUCUCCCUACUUUCAACUGUACGACGAUGUUUUGAGCAUACCCAAUUUUAAUUAUUACUUAAUAUAAUAUGUACCCACAGCAUGACGAUUAUGGAAUUGGAGCUCAUAUAUGGUACCUUCUUACAACUAUAGUUUAUGAAAAGAUAUUCAUGCUAUAUGGAAAACUUUGGACUUGUUGGCAUUCUCAGUUUAACCAAAGGUAAAAAUUGAGAACUUAAUAUUGAAAUAAAAAUACUCUAAUGGCAGACGCACAAAAGAAGAAAUGAACCACAGAGAACAGUAAAUAUCUUACAUAUCCUUGAUCAGUCCCAACUGCAAGAUGCCCUGAAUUAUGGCUGACAUUCAUAGAAAGUACAGAACCAUUCACCUUCAUGAGUUUGAUACUCUGAAUGAUGUGGUUAUUUCCUCUUUUGGAAGUUCCUGAGAAGAACUCAGAAAAACUGAUAGUUACAGUUCAUGAUAUGAAAUAUAUGCAUGAAAAAUACUCUAGAUCCACCCAAUGGAUGAUAUAUUGAAUAAAAAGAAUCCAGGGAAAAUUCAUGCUGAUGGAAGGCCUAAAAGUAAAAAAGAAAGCAACUAUAUGAAGUGAUCACUUUAAUCACCAGUAGACUAUAAUACAAGUUUGAUUUAGCUUGCAACAUGUCUCUAAGAUUGAGAUGUUACAUUUCACAGUUAUAACAGACAAUGACGGGAUAGACUUGAGAACAUAUCUUCUCAAGAGGUUAAAUUAAACAGGAAUUCAACUCAAAGACAAGAGAUGCAAUAUUGCCAAUUAGAAGAUUAACUCCACAUAUAGAAACUUCCUGCUGAUACAUUAAGGCAACAUUCAUAACAGGUUUGUAGGAUGAAUAUGCUUAGUAAUACCUGAAAAAGACAUAAAACUGCUCUCUGUGGCAUAUGGCUCGGGUUUAAAUUUAAAGAUGCGAACCUGCAAUCAUGUAUAGGAUAUAGAAUAAAAAUACAAGACAAUAUUCCAAAGAAAAAAAGAUUAUGAAAAUACACACGUUAUCAAAUGAAUGUUUUAAGUGUUUAGUAUGCGUGGAAUCCAAAAACUAUGAUAUUUCACCAUUCCACUCUGAUCCCCUGAAACAAGAAGCCGUGAAUUGCCAUCAAAAUCCAAUGCUGUCAGUGCUAUACCACUUAAAGAAAUAUCAUCUUCACUCUGCACAGAAUAUUUAAACAGUAAAGUAAGAAACAAAGUAAAAAUCAUUGAAAGAAAGGAAAGAAGGAAAAAAUAAAAGAACAAUCAUUAAUUGCCAAAUUUGAAAAUUUUCUUCGAAGUAUUUAUCUACAUCUCUUGAAAGAAAUAAACAAAUAUAGUGAUUUAGAAGAAUGAACGGAUUUUUAUUUUUUUCUGAAGUCAGUUCAGAUAGCUCUCCCUUUCUUCAUUUUUUCAUACACCUAUUCUGUCUGAUGGCAAAAAGGAACUGGGUUAAGACUCAAAGAGCCCAAAUCAAGUUAACAGGCAGAAAUAAAGCUUAGACAAUGUUAAAUUCAUAAAUCAUGGAAUCAGCAACUGAGAAUUAACCAGUUUCAGAAACGGUGCUACUUAUAAAGCAUAGCAUCCAAGGGCUUCUGAAACUUACCUGCUGCUUUAAGGAUAAAAGUGGGAUAAAAAUUGGACAAGACGCAUCCCAAAAAUUAAUGGCUCCAUCACUGUGUCCACUUAUGUACAAGUUCUUAAUCUUGGAAAACCCACUGAAGGGGACAGGAUUCAUGUAAGUUCCAUGCUUAGGCUUCACCUCAAAAGGAAAAAGUGAAGGAACGCUUUGGGAAAACAGAAGGUAAUCCUACAACACCAAAAACAUCAUAUAGAAACAUUACUUGACUAUCAAGAAUAAAGCAUAAUAUUUACAAGAAUAAUGUUGAUAUUUGCAUGUUAAAGCUAUAUCAUUAUAUUACCUCAUCUCCAAAACUUAACAUGGGCGAGAUAUCUGUGAUGAACUUUGCUAUAGUGAUGCUUGAGUCAGCAUAUGGCAACUUCAUCAUGACCUCCUUUGGCAAUGAAGGAGAACCCCUAGAUUGUGACUGUAAAAGAUACUUUUCAAUCUGACAAUCGUCCCAUACAUAUAUGUGCCCUGAUUUUCCAAGCAGGAGAAAGGAACUCUGUAUAUGUGUGCUUGGAUCAAAAGAACUUGAUGUAAUCUCCAUGUCAAUGCAAGAUUCAGAUAAAUGAAGUCCUAACUUGAUUGUUCGAGUUUCAGUAUGUUCAUUUAAUAAGAUCACCUGCCAAACCAAAACCAAACUAGCGUGACUUCUCUCAAAAGCAAAUCCUUGGCAAAAAGCUUAAAGUUUGUUAAUCUUAAACAAAUCGUUCUCAACGAGGUGAAAAUAUAUCCAAUUAGGAAUGACAAGAUAUAAGAAUGACAAACAAUUAAUCAGGGAGACUUGAAACAAAAACUAAGCAUAUUUGCAUCAUUCACUUGGAUGUCACAAAAUCAAGUUACCUGCAACAAGUUGGUAGAUGCAGAAUCAGAGGCACCCAUAACAUAGAGUCGACUUGCCUUCCCAUCAGCAUGAAGCCAUUUCAGUGAUGCUAUGGGUAUUUUGUCCAAUUUAUAUCCCAGAUUGAGCUUAUAAAUGGGAGCAGCCCGAGUCCCAGAGUCUGAUGCAACAGCAGUUCUUAAAUUGGGGAUAGAAUGAAUGCUCCAUAUGAAAAUAUCUCCACUACUGUACCCAACAGCAACUUUACUUCCAACAGGGCAUGCCCAGCAUGCAGAAGUCACUUUCUUUGUUUCAUUAUUUUGUGAGUGCAGCAAGCUUCCACCUGUUGUAAAAAUACAUUUGCUCUCUCGAAUUUCCCACAAUGUGAUUAGGCCAUCUCUGAAUACUAUAACAACCCUGCAUUGUGGCAAUGACAAUUAAAUAAAUGAACUCACAGUGAAUAAUGCCAUAGAAGGAACAUCGCCAAAGUAGUUUAUUAUGCAGAUGUGGAAAAUAAGGUCUGAGUUGGUGUAACCAAAGGCACUAUUCAGUUGUUUGCAAACAGACUGAUCAAAUGGAAAAUGUAAUUGCUCGGAUAAUCGUCAGUACCAGUGACAAUUCUAGGGAACAGGAAACGAUGCAAAAAAGGAUUGCAGGUCCUUAUGCUAUUUUUCUAGACUAGUAAAUACAUACUUAUAAUGAUUUUGUACCAGUAGAAGUACAAAAAUAACUCAAACAAAGUCAGACAUAAAUAACAUAAUUAACUUCUAAAACUAAGCCAACAUACAGCUGAAAAGAAGGCAUUGACAUUUGAUUAUAACAUAGUGCAACAUUGAUAGGGUAAAUUGAUUACUAUCCUUCAUUGCAGGUAAUUAAGCAGAAAAUCAAUUAGGGAAGAAAGCUACCUCUUACUCUCAGCUGUUGGUUGAGGCAGUAUGUGCAAUACAGUUGUAUCAGCUGAAACUUCAGUUUGAUUCCCUACGUGCAACGAAUAAUCAGGUUAAUUAUCAGAGCUGGUGGUUUUUUGUUCAGGUAGAUAAAUUAGGCAAUAGGAAUACUCAAAUUUAAAGAAUAUUGAAGAAAAUCAGAGCAUUUAAUGUUUCUUCUCAAGAAAGCAACAGAUACAUCAAUCAAAUAAGCAUUUGCUUCGCACUUGAGAAUUAGGUUACUGAAAAGGAUAACCGGAUAGCAUUUCCUUCUCUUAAUUUAAAUGAGAACCUAAGAAUCACGUCCAAGUUAAGGGACAUCAUAUUGUGCAAUUUAGAACCUUGCAAAGGCUCUUUAAAACAGAGACAUCUAGAAUUCUCAUUCAAUAGGAAAAAAACAGCAUACAAGUAGAAAUUUUAGAAUGCAAGCAACGAUUUAUGAUUGCUGUACAUGCUAAAUUAAGCAAAUUUAACAUGAAAAGAAAAUGAUGUUCACAAACACACAAGCAAUCUCUAAGAAGCUUGAUUGGCACCAAUGCAUAAAAAGGUGAGAAAAGAAAAGAAGAAAAAUGAAUAGCAAUAGCAACUAAGAGAGACAUUAGAACUUCUCACCAUGAGAAGCAGAGAAGGGUAUAGUGUAUUUCAUCUGUUCUAAACUAGAUGUUUCUUGAUCAAGCUUUAAAACUGAUACAUCUCCGACAGAAUCUCCAACAUACCUGCCGGUAUUUAUCUUACAACCAGAAGUUAGACGAAAAGAAUUCAAGCAAAUAACUUCUUCUGAUCGUGUAAUAUUAAGAGGAAUCACUUACAUGUGGAAACAAUGUUGCAUGAUCGUAAAUGAGGUAAUCUCUUCUUUAAAAACAUGCACAUGAGAAAGCAACUUCUUGUCCACGUCCCAAACCUAGGUUAUAAUUUUACUUUCAAAAAUCAGAAGUUCACAUGACUGUCAAACCUACAAUAAGAACAUACAAACAGGCAUAUGCACUCAAGCUUAAACAGAAACAAGCAGGAAAAUUUUUGAAACCAGAGUGAAUUUUGAGUAACUUGCCUCAAUGUGGUUCUUGGAAGUCACAUUUAUAAGGAUGCCUUUGUUCUGAAUGAACUGAAAGUUUAGAAUAACAAACCAUAAACUUAUAUUAGAAUAGUAAUAGAUUCUUGAGUCUUUACAGCUUGAUUACUCACUGAAAUCAUGUACAAUAUGUAGCUGUAAUGCAAGCAAAACUGGAAGAGAAUAUUAAUUAAACCUGUAAGAACUUGCUUGGUACUGCCUCAGGACAUUCGAGCAAAAGUUGAGUGUUAUCUUUUCCAAAUAAUUUAAUUCUUCCAUCACUAAAAGUGGAAUACGGCACAUAUUAACAAAAUAACAAAACCAAGUACAUAUAAACGUUUAUCAAAUGACUAAUAAGUUAAAGGAGACUGACCGAGUAGAAAUGGCAAGAAUCUUUUGAAUAGAGUCAUAAGCGAACAUGUUUGCUCCAGACGGUAUUCCAUAAUGAAAUGCUAACCGUGGCUCUACUUCGCUAGAUUUCAAACGUUCCAAAUUACCUCCAGGCUACAAGCAAAAAAAUCUUACAAAUCAGAGUUAAAUAAUUAUACAUGCAAAAAUCUGUUCCUUAGUAAUAAGUUGUAUAAAUUUUCCAUUUUCAUACUCUUUUUUUCCUUAUUUAUUCAAAAAUCUCUUUUUAAAUCUUCAUAUAAAUUCCACCAAAUGAAUGGUGUGCAAGAAAACUUGAACCAUUUGCAGAUUUACACUGUGAAAGUACCAAUCAAAUUAUUAAAGGUUUAUACAUUUGAAAUAACUUUUUUAUAUACGUACAACCAAUAAAAAGUAAGAAAUCAAUUUAAAGGAAACGAAACAAUAAAAAAAAUUAAAAAGAGAGAAAAUGUGUGCUCCUAUGAGCCCCGGAAGAAGGGGAUCACAACGGGUAAGUGAUGGCAACGUAACCAGGCCAGAACGGCACUACCAGUAGGCCCGUGUGCCUGUAACAUAGGUUAAGUCCAUUGAAUUUGAUGGGCCCGUACAAUGUCCUAGCAAUAAAAUCCCCACCGCCCAUCACAUGAUACGCUUAUUGUUUCAUUUAUUUAAAAAUUAUCCUGUAAUUUGUAAUAGCAGAUCAGAUAGUUGAGAUUCCAACCUCUAUAAUAGAACCUUAAUUUAAGACCUCUGAUUCUGAACACACACGCACAAAAAAAAAGUUUAAGACCUCUGAGUUGACAAUUGUGAUUGGGAAUUAUGACGAUUUUUACUCAAACAGUCACCAGGACCAAUUAUUUUAAAUUAGUCAAAAGUUGAAAAAUAUAUAAUUGCACAAAUUAUCUAAGAUUUUAUGUUUAUCUGGAUUAAAACAGGUCCCCUUUCUUAUCUGAGGUACACGUAGCAUCUAUUUGAAGUUGAUAUGGCGGUGCUAAAUAAUAAUCUUACUUUUUUUAAUUAAAGCUAGAAUGGGAUCCAGGUUUAGUAAAAGAUAAAACCUAGGAAAUAUUCACAAAUAUGCAGGACUAUUCAUCCAAGUAAAAUGGCAAUAUAAUAUAUUGAGUCCCAAUUUAGUACAAAGAUGGAAUUAUUUUAAAAGCGUUCAAAACUCAUAUAUAAUAAUAAUAAAAACUCAAUUCAAAAAUCAUGGGAAGAAGAUUUUAAAUCAAUUGAAUCCAAAUAACUCAUUAUUAAAUUAUCUAUAUUUUAAUAUUUUAACUAUUGAAUGGAAUUCAAUUAAUACCGAAAUUAUUUUUAAAAGUGUAAAUUCUCAAAUUCAAAUCUAGUGGAAGCUAAUUUAUAAAGAAAUUCAUACUUUAAGCUAAGUAAUUAAAAUAAAAAGAAAAAGUUUUUUAAGAUCAAAAAAGUUUUUUAAGAUCAAAUUUUUUUAAACUUCAUCAAUCCUUGUGAAGCUGUAAAAUAUUAAAAUAUAUACGUUUAGGAAGGAAAUGCACAAUGCCAAUUGAUUUAUUAUGCCUAUUGAUUUAUUAUUUUCCUUUUCUGAUGAAUAGAAUAAUGCCUAUUAAUUAUUCAAAUCUCUAGCCGUGGAGUGUCUUCCACUUCUUCUUCUUCUACUAAUUCAUAAUCAGACAACUCGAUCAAUUCAUCAUAGAAUUUAUAGCAAGUUAACAAAAACUUUUCCAGCUCAGACAAAAACUGUGCACUAAAUGAUCAUUACCAUCCCAUCAGAAGCAAAUCAACUUGCAAAUUUCCAUUUAAACGCCUAUUUUUUGAAAAGAGAUACAUAAUCAGUGAACUACUUUUGCAGUUUAAUUUGAAGGAGGAGCACAUACACACACACACAAAGAAAACAUAAACAUAUAUAAUAACAGAGGUUUAAAUUACAGAUAAAAUCCAACUAAAAAAUGCAGAAUAUCUCAUUAACUUCACACGAAAUUAUGAAUGAAUCAGUUGAGAUCAAAAAGUGCAGAAAGCAAUGGAACUUGAAACUAAUCAUUACCUUCUUGGACCUUGAAGCCUUCUCCACAAGCUGCUUGACGAACAUACCUCUCCAAAAAUGUAAUCAGAUGCUUGAAUUGGAUUAUUAUUAUUAUUACUAUUCAGAGAAAAAUUAAAGCCAAAAAGACAAAAUACUUGCUUCGUUAUAACAGAGGAAAAGAGAGAGAGAGAGAGAGAGAGAGAGAGAGAGAGAGAGAGAGAGAAAGUGAAGUGAAGUGAAGAAGGAAGGGACGGUUGGUUUGUUUCAUCAGUUUUUCUUAAAAGAACGACAAAAAAGAGAUUUAGCGGUUUUUUCUUUCAUUCUUUCUUUUUUCUUUUUCUCCUUUUAAAUAGAAAAAAAAAAUAAGGGCUGAGAUUGUGUAUUGGUGACACGUGGAGAUUGAUUAGGUGAAUUUUAAUAAGAAAAAGAUAAAAGGAAUAGUUUUGACAAAUCUCUGAUUUGGUCUCCCACACUUAUAAAAAGACAAAAAUAGCCUGGCAGUGGUAAUCCAUCCAAGGGCUCAAUUGCCUAUUUAAUUAUUGAUCAGAUAGACAUGAUAAAAUUUAUUAAUUCUUUUAAUUUUAAAUAAAUUGGUACAAUUAGUCUAAUUCAGUAAAUUGAUAAGCUCACUUAAACGUAUUCCUAAUAAAUUAAUAAAUUAUACUCUUUUAUUAUCAUAAGAGGCAAUACUAAAAAAAAAAAAUAAGAUUCUAAUAAAUCUUUAAAUACAUUGUAUUUUUCUUAGUUUUAUAAAAUUGCAUUUUUCUUUUAAAAUUUUAAUAAAAAAUAAUUUUUAAAAAUAUUUUAUUAUUUUUAAUAGUUAUUGUCUCUCUUUAUAUUUUUUUUUUGUUAAUAAAAUUAAACAAAAAGUAAAAUAAAAAAUUUAUUAGAACAAACUUAUAAUUUAAAAUAAAUUAGAAGAGAUAUUAAUUAUAUAUAACUCGAUAGAAAUACGUAGAAAGGAUUGCAAAUGCUCCAAUUAAUAUUAAUUUAAUUUAAUUAGUUUAACCAAUGAAUCUGGUCCAUUUUCAAAAGGUAAUGGGAAAAAUAUUGUAUUAGUGCAGUUAAAGCACAGAGUUUUGCAUCAAAUCAUAUGACUAACUGACUAAUGGUUUCCUGACACGUAUAGUGACCGUUAUAUCACCGACGCCCCUGAUUUUAGGGAGGAAUGCUUUUGAACAAACAUUUGUAUCCGUACAUCUAAAGCUCUUGUCUAGCCGUCUGAUUUUGUGACAAUCAAGGUUCUUCACACGUGGCGUGACAGUGCUUAAGUGGGACCGGCGAUGAUGAGAGGGAAAUUUGGUUAGUACGUGGCGGAACCGAAAGCAGGUUGCUUCUUUUCUUUGCUUACGUUAUAUAAUCUUAAGAAUUUUUGCUGUCUUUCUCAAUCUAUUUAUUUAUAACUAAAUAUUUGUCCUCUUAAUUAGUAUUUACUAAAUUGAGUCAAAGUAAACAUAUAAUUCCACCUUAUCAAGGAUUUGGUACAUUAAAUUUAAUUUUUAUGCACCUAAAAGCUGCUGUUACUUUCAUAUCUGAUUACCAAAAAAUAAAAGAAAAAUAAAAGGUAAUUACACUAAAUCAUAAUCUGAUUACCAAAAAUAUAAAAGAAAAAGAAAAGGUAAUUACACUAAAUCAUAAUCCGAAUGGCCAUUCAAGUCACCUUUUAGUUUUAUACUUUAUUGAGAUUUUUUUCUUCUUUAUGAAUCUCUUAAUGUAUAAAGGCUUUAGCGAAAUUAGCAAAUGAAUAUCAUAUUGCUUAUAAUACUAUUAAAAUUUUUAAAAUAAUUGUAUAAAUCAAUAUUUUAGUUUAGUAUAUUAAGUAUAUUUUUUAAGAGUGAGAAGUCGUAAAUCUAAAUUUCAUUUUUAGUACUAAAUUAGUUUUUGUUAUUAUAACGAGUAUAAAAAAAUAGUUAUUUUAUGUCGUGUAAUUUAUAGUCCAUUAAAUUUUUUUAUAAACGGAGAUAAUAUAUAAAAGAUGAGCAUUAGAAUUUGAUGUUAUCAAAUUACUAAAAGAAAUAUUUCUUUUCAAAUCUAUAAUGUUUCAAUAUAGUUUUUCUCUUUUCUAGAUGGAAUUUUCUAUGUUCUUUUAAUUAUUUUUUUUAAUUUAGGUGUAAUGUUGUAAGGAAAUUUCUCUUAACUUAACUUCUUCUCUUCUUUUUUCCUUAAUACUCUUUUUUUUCUAUGAAUUUUGAAAUAUUUUCUUACAUCUUAAUAAACUAUAUUAUUACAAAAGACAUAUAAGUAAAUAAAUUAAACAUCAUUAAUUAUAAUCUAUUUUUUAAUUAGAUAUUCAAUGAUUUAAAUCAAAUUGGUAAGUUACAAAUUUUUUUUUUAUGUAUAAUCUGAAUCCUUUAAUAAUAGUAAGUUUAAUAGUCUAAUUGAGACUUCAAUAAUGAUGAAAUAAGAUUAUUUUUAGAUUUUUAAAUUUUUUAAAAGACACAAUUAAUGAAUUGAAAAAAUUUGUGACUCGCAAGUUAAAACAUAUCUAAUUUUUUUUUCUUUUUCCUAAUUAGCAUUUAAUUAUAUAAUAUAUUAAAUUUCUUCAUUCUUAUGGGGUGUCAUUUGUACCAUAUGGACUAUGAAAGUUUUAUUUAAUACAUAGAAAAAUAAACAUAGAUAUCCUUGAAGUUACUUUAGCAAUGGAUAAAAACAUGCAAUCGCCAUUAAUUUGCUCAAUAAUGAUGAAGAAAAACGCAACAUUGAAUUUGUUGAAAAGCCAAAAAGAAAAAACUAAAAACUAUAGAGGUAGAUCCUUCCAAUAUAUGUGAUUUGCUAAUAUAUAUAUAUAUAAUUGAGAAUUUUAAACUCUUUUUUAUAGCUUCUAAACCAUUCAUUUCUGAUUUAUAUUCAAUCUCAUUAUUUGUCUCUAUCUAAAAUGCUUAAUGCUGAUAUUAUGAAUAGUAGGUAUUAUCGGUGAAGAUUGUGUUAUCAAGGUAAGCUCGUGGAAAGAAAAUUUACAAAUUCUCUAUUGGUUUUAACCAAGCAUAAUUCGUAUAUCAUAUUUUAUUCAUUUUAUGUGAUAUUUAAUUCGUAUAUAUCCUAUUAUGAAUUAAUAUAAAUAUUCAUAAAAUAUAUUAUAUAUAUUGUGUAGUCAUUAUAUGCUAAUCAUAUUUUAAGAUUAAAUUGGCUGAAAAGAUAAUUUUUCUUUCAUUCCAUUCAUAUAUAUAAAUGAUCGAGCUUGAGACAAAAAUUUUCAUAUCGAGAAAGCAUUAUUUUAUAUUGGGAUAAUGUUAAAGCAAUAAAUAGAAAUAUGACUUGAAUUAGAGAUUUACUAAAUAUCUUUUGUACGUUGAAAUUUUAAAAAUCUAUAUUUAUAUAUUUUUUCUUGAUAUCACUAUAAUUCAAUUAUUUUAUAUAUAAAUUUGACAAUAACACAACAUGUAAAAGAAUUAAAAAUAUAGAAAAAAAAUAUUAUAUAGUUGUUUUUAUAAUGUUUUUUUUUUUUCAUAAAUAUUGGCUUUUGAUUUCUAUUGCACCAAAUAAAGACAAAUACCAACAAUCACUAGAGACUUCUAAAAGUGAGAGUAGCUUAUAUUUACAUCAGUAUAAUAUAUUGGUAUGUGAUUUAGGAGGCAUUGCUAGAGAUUGUGUGAUGUACAACUACUCCUAUAUUGUAUUUCCACUCAGUAUAAUAAAAUAUUUAUUUCAGUUAAGUAUUGAAAUAAACUCUAUAAAAUAAUGAGGAUUACCCUAACAAAUUUAAUUUAUUAAAUUAACACUUAAUAAUUAUACUCUAUUGUAGUUUCCGUCUUCAAAUUAUAUUGUAUCUAUUUAUUUUAUAACAAAUUUAAUUUAUUAAAUCGACACUUAAUAACUAUACUUUAUUAUAAUUUCAGCAUUUCAAUUUUUUUUUAUAUCUACUCAUUUGUAACUGUUUGUUUCUUUGAUAGANNNAGUUGCUAGGGAGUGACUUUUGUGUAUUAUGGACUGGGUUAAGGAGAGGGCUAAGUCUGGGUUUUGUGGCACUGGGAAUGUCCCUUUGUAGCAUCCUAAGCUACCACACAUGACACACCAUCUGCCCAAAUACUGGUUGGAGUGGGCAAAUAGGUCCAAGUCACUUUGGACUUUUAAGGAAUAGAUGCGUUCAUUUUCUUAGCCCAUUAGAGAUUCUAGCAAGUAAUUUUCUUGCCAGUAUCUUAUUAAUGUAGAUUAUAGAGAGUUGGCAUGUAACCACAUAGAGAGGAUGGACCCCAUAAAUGUGCAAAAUCUAAUUCAGUAGCCUAAUUUCAUCAAGAUAAUGGAAGAAAGAAAUAAAGAAAAAUAACACCAUUUUUUUUGUUUUUUUAUAAAAACUAUGGUGUAAAUUUUUUAGAAAAGAAUAUGAUUUUUUAAUUUAUUUUCUUAAAAUACGGUAUUGGUUGUUUUUUGAUAAAACAACAAAGAAAAACUAAAAAAUAAUCAAAAAACAACCACACCGUAAUUUUGAGAAAAAAAUUUACACAGUAAAAAGAAUAUUUUAUUAUUUUUUUAGAAUAUUUCUAAGAGGUUCCCAAGAAAUAACGAAAAAUUUGUUUUUGGUUGUUGAAGAAAGCCCGUUACAAAAUCUAAUUCAUUAGCCUUUCAAUGAUUCUGUUUUUGGUUGUUGAAAGAAUCAGAGCAUAUAUUGGGUCUGUUUUAGGUGAUUUUGUUCUAAAUAAAUUUGUCAUGAACUUAAUUGGAAACUUUGUUUUUUUGCCAAGAAAAACUCAGUUUAUCUAAAAUUUAGGCUGCUCUAAUCACUCAAUGCCCGUUUGGCACAGUUUUUAUUUUUUCUUCUUCUUUUUUGCCAAGGAGAAAAAGGCAGAAGCUGCUUUUAUGUUAAAGAAUCACUUCGACAGGCGAUUGGUAAACAUAAAACAAGUGAAAUAGUUUUUAUAAACUUUUAAAAAUACUUAAGAGUAAAAGUUGCUUUUAUGAUCUUUAUGAACAUAUGUAAAUAAAUUAGUUGGCGAACAAAAGUAUUUCUAUUUUUUAUUAAUUAAGGUUUGAUUUUUCUAAAAAUUUAUUUCUGGAUGUAUCAAAUUGAUGUGAAAAAUACAGUUUUAGAAUAUCCGCAAGAAAAAGAAUAGUAGAGUAAUAAUAAAAUAUUAAAUUUAAAUAAUUUUUAUCAAAUAAUAAAAAAAUAAUUUUUGCUUGGAGAAUAUUCAUGAAAUAACAAUUUUUAGAAACACAUUUUUAAGCUAACAUGGAAAGCAAUUUUCACAACGGCAGCCAAAUUGGCCCUCAGUAGUAAAUCGUGAGCUGCGCCCCCUAGGCCUCCCUGCACAGUUGUUGCCUGCAAUUAGUCAAGGGCAAGAGCUGAAAAGCAGGGACAGAGGCCCAAUUUGAACCAAGAUUUGGGAAUUACAGAAAACAAACUUAAUAAAUCACAAACUUGGGAGUCUUGACAAGAAUUGCGGUGGUGGUGGUGGCGGGACUUCCCCUACAAAGAAAGCUGGCCAGUGAAAGGGAGAGAAAAAGAAAAAAAAUUGGUCCACAAGGCUCCCUACCAGCAGAGAAGCCGCCCUCAAAAAUAAUAACAAGACUGCACCUUUACCAAACAAAACCUUGUCACAAGUCCCAAACCCACGUGCUUCUAGUGAAAAGUUGGCUCUUCCUUUGGUCCCAAACCACAUUCAUAUCAAAUUGUUUUGCUAUAAUGGAGCCACACUUACACAUUCAUUCAUUCCUAAACCCUAUCUGUGUGAUAAAUUAUAUUCUCAAUUCAUGUCUUUAAUCAUAAGGGUAUCAAGCACAUGGCUAACUCUCUGCAUCAUUAGAUAAAACAGUCACUUUACAACUAAAAGCAACCCAUGUAAUAUGUACCUCCACUACGAUUCUCUUCAUGGGUUGUUUUCUCUCUCUCUCUUUUUUCUUUUCUCCAGGAAAAAUGGAUAAUGAAAAACCAUGACUUUGUCCUUCCUUUUAUAUGAUUAAUACUGCCAUUUAAACUAUCAAGUCUGUCCAAGUAGUCUCUGGGUCAUGAUGGGUGUGCUUAGCUAGUUGCUAAUUACUAUUUAUAAAAAAAUUUGGAGGAUAAGUUAACAUAUAAAAGCUCUGGUUAGUUUAUUACCCUUGUUGAUAAAGUAGUUUGGCUAUGUAUAGUAUGCAAUUAUUCAUAUGUUGAUGUAUGUUAUAUCAAAAUCUUAUAUAGUGAUAUACUGGUUUAGAGUCACAUUUAUUGAAAAUUUUUUAUGAUUUUUUUGUACAUUGAUUUAAAUAAGAGUUAAUUUUUUUUAUCGAAUGUAGUAAAAAUUAAAAUUCUAAAUAAAAUCUGUCGAUAGUUAUAUUCUAUAUAGAAAUAAUUUUUAUAUAAUUAUAAAAAAAUUUAAUUUCAGUUUAAGCCAGUUAUAAAUAGAAUUAAAUUCUAUAUUAUCGUAAAUUAUAAAUUUUUUAAGUCACGUCUUAAAAAAUAUUUCUCUAUAUAAUAGUAUAUAUAUAUAUAUGUUACGCUAUAUCUUGUUUUAUUAUAUUAUUAUUUUUUCUCUUAAAUCUUAUUUAUAUAAUAUAGUAAGAUAUUAACGUAUUUCAUUUCUAGUUGCUAUCAUUUCACUAAUAAAAUUAAAUAUUAAGUUAAAAGGAAUUUAAUAUUCAAAUUCACAUUAAUUUAUAACAUCCUCAUAGUCUCAAGCAUAUGAAAAUAAAGAAAUUACUAUAAUUUGAAUGACUCAAAUAAUAAAUAUGAUCGAUUUUGAGUACCAUGAUAUUCAAAUAAAGGUUAACGAGCUUAGCAGCCAUAAAAUAUUAUUAUGCUAUGUUUGAUUGAAAUUCAUUAGAAAAUUCAUUUUAUUUGAAAAGAAAUAUAUAAAAGAGAAAGUAAAAUGAAAAUGAUAAAAUUAAAAAAAAGAUAUUUUAAUAUUAUAAAAUAUACUAACUUACUAAUGUAUAAUUCAUUUGAAAAUUUUAUAUAUUCUAUUAGAAUUUAGUUUAACUAUGUUCAAUUUCAUAAUAAAUUUGAUUAUUUAAAAUUUUAAAAGUCAAUUUUACUUCAUUUAGAAUCCAAAACACGUAAAUUUUAAAUUUACAAAUAAACUUCAUAGAUUUUAUAAAUCUCAACCAAAUACAAUUUAAAAUAAUAUCUAAUCUAACAAAAUUAGCUUUGAAAUAAAUUAAAAAUAUGAGGUAUUAUAUGACCAAUAGAUAUAAUAAUUAAAUCAAAAUCCUCUUCAAAACUAUAAGAUGUUAAAUUUAUGCUUCAGACUGAGGUGAUUAACCAAAACCAAAAUAUUGCCAAUUUCUAUUGUUUGAUGCCAUUUUGUGAUUGAAAAGGGUUAUCACUUUACUCCCCAGCAAACUUCGUGAAAUGGUUAUUUAUUUAUUAUUUUUUAAUACAAUAUUAAUGCGUACAUGUUUUGGUACACUUUAUUGUAUGUUUCUUUUGUUUAACUUUUAUUGGAUGUCUCAUCUGUACCAUUAAUGGUACGUACGGAAAUUUCUUCAAUUACAACUGCACACAACUUGGGUGCACAUAUGGUAAACACAAAUGCACAAUAAUUAUAUAUUAGGAAUUUAGCAUUAUAAGCCAAGGGCACGACUCAUUUCUUAAAUUACCUAUAUUUAAUCAAGAGCCAUGUGUCUCGAAGCUCUUGAUUUGCUAUGUGUUUUGGAUUUCCAUGCAUGUUACACCCUCAAUUUGCUUUCUUACAUGAAUUUUAAUUAUUUAAUUAUUUUAACGCAUUAUUUUUUAAUUUUAUCUAACAAAUAUUUAUAUUUUAUUUUUAACUUAACGGCUACUUUAAUUUUAUUAAGCGAUAAUAUAAAACACUUAUACUAUUGUAUGGGUGUUAUCGAUAACAGUCUGAGUGAAAUAUAAAAAAUUUAUAUUAAAAAGGAAAAAAAUAAAAGAAUAUAAUAGGACAAAUUUAAAGAGAUAUUUUAUAAUUAUUCUAAUAAUAAUGAUACAUGCAAAAGUACUUGUUGAUAGAGUUGUUGGGGAAGUGGGGCAAAAUGGGAAAGAAAAGAAGGAGAAGAGAAAUGGGUUUGUCAAACGAAUGAUGAUUCCACUGCGGACAGACACAUUCCUUUUCUUUAUUCAGGGCUGUCAAAAAUUCAUAUUCUUAAAGAUCAGAUGGCAGAGCCAAUCAGUGCAUAAAUAAAUAAAUCUAUAUAUUUUUAUAGUAAUAAUACUUAAUUAAUAAUUAGUAAUAAUAAUAAUAAAAUAAAUAAAUAAAAUUAAGGAAAAGAAAAGAGGGGCAUUUUUCCUUGUACUCCCGUUUAUUGUGGCGCCAAAUGGAGGGGUCGUGGGCAGUAGCAUCUGUCCAUGAGCUGUUCGUUACUUCCCAUUCAACCAUUUCUUUUAUUCUGUUUUUUUUUUUUUUAAUUUACUAUUUUGACCUUUUAAUUUUCCAAUUUAUAUUUAAUAAAUCAAUCAACUACAUAAUUCAAUUAAUAAACAAGUUUAAUUCAAAUAAAGGAGCAUUUAACUCAUUAAACUCAUAACUGGUUGAUUUACAAACUUGUAAGUUAGUGUUCAGUUAAGAAAUUAAUAGCUUGAUAUUUAACUAUAAAAGCUAUACUGAUUACAUAAACAUCUAUUUAAAUUGUUUAUUAGAAUAGUAUAAUAAAUUUUAAUUAAAUUAUGAAAAAUGAAUUCAGUUCAACAUAAAUAAAUUAAAUUAAAUUAGAACAAUCUCUUCAAUGAAAAUCACUAAAUCAAGUUUAAAAGAGAAAUACUAAAUGGAGAAAGGUACUCUCAAGUCUCCAGUCUCCACAUGAUGAUGAGAUUUUAUUAAUUGGAUGCUAAAGCAGAAGAAAAUAAACCUAUCCCUACAAAUUGCCACAGUCAGUAGCAUAAUAAUCAUUGACAUGUAUAGAGAAAAGAAAAAAUAAUAAUAAAAAAACAAAAAAGAUUAAGACAACCUAAGCCACCUAGUCCUCUGCUGUUUGUGUUGUGAUCUAAUCUAUUAGUAUCUAUCUAACCCAAUAAUUACAUCAUAAAAAGCAAAUUCCAAACACAUUUCUCAUUCCCAAAAACCCACUCAAUUCAAUAAUUUACCAUAUAUUAAUAGUAAAUUUAUUAUUAAAAGUAAGAGAAAUCAACAUAUGGAAGGUCCCUUUUCUGGUCAUUUUAUUCUCAUUCUUUCCUAACCAAAAAGCAAAUCUUUUGCUACUUGUAUCAUUAUUAUUAUUAUUCUCAAUUAUAUUUUUAUCAUAUUCUUUUGGGUUCUACAUUACACAAAUCCCAUCUUUCAAGAAUCAUAACUUCCUCUCUUGUUCAUAUCCUCCUCUGUUUCUUUCUCUGCUUCUGCACUUAAAACUUUCUUUGUCAACUAUUUAUCAGUUCUGCACUUUCUUGAUGAGUCUGCAUUUGGGUUAUUGCCAUUUCUGUCAAAGGUAUGUAAAGAUUGAUUCUUUUAAUCUUGUUUUAGUAUGUUGGGUAUUGCUUUGUGUAAAAAGUUGUACAGGAACAAGAAAAAGAAAUGAAUGAGAGUUUCACGAAACUUCUUUUUGUGUACAGUAGUUUCCUUUUGUUGAAACUGUGAAGAUAAUCAUUGAAAGUGACUGCAACUUAGCUAUUUCUGUUUUGUCAGAAUCAGACGUCAGUUCCUUCUUGUUUUCUGUAAAGAAAGAGUUCAGAAUUCUAUUUAGUUCAAUCAUUAUAUUUUUUUCUUAGAUUGCUCUGUUUUCUGAAGUUCUCUCAGCUUGCAUAAACAGAGCACUAAUGUCUGUCUGUUUUAUUCUCAAGGUUCUUUUUCUUUUCUUCUUUUUACGAGAUCAUGUCUCCAUAUCCGUUUUUGUGGCUGCUGAUGAGUUCAAAUUCUAUUUUAAUUAAAACUCGUUCAGUAAUAGAUCUUUUGAUUGUAUUUCUGUUCAUUCUGGAUCCUUAGAUAGUAUCCAAUUCUUCCAAUCUUUCCUGUAACUUCAAGAAUUCUGAUUGUAACUUGAACUCUGUAUCAAAAGGUUUACAUCUCUGGUUUGUUUUGUUAUUUUCCCCCUUAAAUUCCAAAUUUCUGAAAAACUAUCGCCAGAAUUUCUGAAGAUCAGAUUCAUUCUUAAGCUAAAAAGACUUCAUUAUCUUCAAGUUUCAUGGAGAACAUCUCUAUCAAAUGCUUUACAAGCAAAAGUCAAGUCUACACCUAAAGUGCAGACAAAAUUGAGGUAAUUAUUUGCAGCAAAAAAGAAUGAUUAGAAAAGCAUUUUCAUGCACUUCAUAAGUAUAAUCAAAGUUCUUAUUAAAUUUCGCCUUCAAUUACCCUUUUUCUAAAAUGUUAAGUGAGUUGAGUUUUUCUUUGGUACUUUAUACUUAUUGCCAUAACUUACUGGCUAGAAGUGAAAGAAACCUGAUAUAUCUGUCAUUAUUUUGUUGUCCAGGUCCAGGUCCAGGGCUCAGAAAUCUUGAAUACAUUGUAUUCUCUGUUAGUGAUAUCCUGAGAUAAAUUUGUUGGCCUUGCAGGUUGUAGAUGAAGUAUGCAGUUGUAAUACUAAUCUGAUACAUCAUUUUUCUUUAUUGGUUUUUUAAUGGGGUGAAGUAGAAUUGUUGCUGAAGAAAUGACAGCUUUUUGGUAGACCAAUUAGCUGCAUGGGAGGAUUAUUUAACCUCUUUGACUUUAAUCAGGGCAGCAUGGCUAGGAAAAUUCUUGCACUUAAGCGGCAUGCUAAUGGUAAGUACUGCCAAUUUGAAAUAUUUUUUCUUCUAUUAUUAUGAAUUUAAUCUCUCAAUUCUCAUUUAUAAGAGAUCAGGAUAAAGUAAGUUGAUUUUUGGGAAGAACUUGGACCAAAUGUGAUCUUUUAUAGUUUGUUGCUGAAAUUUAUAAUUUCAGUUUUUCAGAUUUUACCAAGUCUUUUCCUGCAGAAUCAAAAUUAAUGGGAAAGCUUAUAUGAUGCUUAAUGUUAAGAUGAUAAUUAAACAUUUAAAUGUAAGUGCUGGUUUGCUUUGCCUUGGCAGAAGUAGCCAUCCUCCUCCUUAAUUGCUUAACAGUUUUGGUGGGCUGUUUACUUGUUGCCUGAAAGCUAAGGCAGUUUGAUACUUAAUUGUUUGAAAAAAUAAGAAUUUCUUUUUCCUGUCUUAGCUUCAAAAAUGAAAAGUAAUGCACGUUCCACUGUGUGCUCUGCAGGAUUAGAAGCUCCUCGUAACAGUUUGGAGCUGCAAGUUGAAACUUCUCAGAGCUGCUGUGCUGCAGGGGAUGGGGUGGUAAUUGUUCUAAAUCACAUACCGUACUAAUGUUUAAUGUUACAUAUUGAUCUGUGUAAAUCCUGAGAGACUUAGGAUUUUCUUCUUCAAUGAUUAUCAUGAAGUUAAGGAUCGGAUAUUCUCUUAACAUUCAAGUGUUGUCUCUUGUAUAUGCAACUGCAAUCUUCAUUCUCAUCAUACUUAUAUGUUCUUCUACUUCCAACUUAAUUCACUGGGGCUAAUCUUACUGAUGAUUUUUUCUUUAAUAUUCUCUUGUUCUAUUUUUUGAAGAAUUCCCAGUCUUAAUUAUACGAACUUUCAUUACUUUUGUCAGGUUGAAGAAGAUUGGUCCGAAAAGAACUGUUACCCAAUCGAAGCUUCAAUAAAGAGGUUGAUUAAUGAGGAGACGUCCAAGCAAUCUAAUACAAGGAAAAAUUCACCUAGCAUUGUGGCCAGGCUGAUGGGCGUAGACAUGUUGCCAUUAGAUACAAAACCUGUUGUUCAGCCAGUUGCUAAAAAGAAUGGAAGCACGGUAAUUAAACAUCCGAAAAGGGACAAAAAUGAAAGGAGCUCAGUCAGUAAUAUCUCUGCCAACUUAAAGUCUUCCAGGCGGAUAGAAUUUGAUUCCUUUUACCAUAGCAAAGAAAGAGAUGAUGACAGAUGGGGUAAUGGUCAGAAGUUAGAAAAACCAAGGCCUCGAGAACAUCCUCAAGAAGAGGAGUUGCAGAAAUUCAAGAAGGAAUUUGAAGCAUGGCAAGCUGCCAGGUUUAGGGAAUGUUCAAAGGUUGUUGAACUUGGCAGAAAUCCCGAUCGCUUCCUUGCGCAUGAGAAUGGCAACAAGCAAAGAGUGGCACUCAAUGAAAAUCUUGGAAUGUCGCCAGGAAGUGAGAAGCCUGUAGAACAUAAAGCAUGGUCACGUGAAAAGGCUAGUUUACAUCAUAGACAUAAACUGGAAGUAUUCCCAGUUGAACGCAAGGAAUCAUUCUCUUCAAGAAACAAUAGUAUGAACAGAAACUAUGAGCAGACCUUGCUAAAUUGUGAUCAGCAACUGGAUAAAUCUUCUGCUCCGACAAAGAUUGUAAUCCUGAAGCCUGGUCCUGAUAGAUUUUGUGACCAUGAAGACUCUUGGACUAGUUCCUCAGAUUCUUUAGAAGAUCGAGGUAGUAUUGAAGAUUUCCUGGAGGAGGUGAAAGAACGGUUGAAAUGUGAGUUGCAAGGGAGAACUUUUAAAAGAGGUUCUGUAGUCAGAGGAAGUGGAAUUGAGACUCCUUUCAGUGAAAAGCCAUCAGAUCCAAAACAAAUUGCUCGGCAUAUAGCAAAACAUGUCAGAGAAAGUGUUACACGAGACCUUGGAAUGAAUCUGCUUCGAUCAGAAUCAACACGAUCAUAUAGAAGUGAUAUUCAGUUCAAUGGGCCAGGUUCUCCUGAGUUCAUCAACAGAGAUACUAGGAAAUUCUUGUCAGAGAGUCUAAGGAAUGUUGUCAAGAGAGAAACGCAUUCUUUAGAUGUUCCUUUAGUGGUAAGUGGCAGCUCUAGAUCAUCUCUCUUAGAUAAUGCGAAUAUCAGACUAAAAGAAGUAGGAGAUGCCUCACAAGUUGGAACUGUGCCGGGCUACUGGGAAGUUACGAAAGAUGAUCAAGAAAUGCAAACUAGAUCUUUCAGGCACCGCAGCGAUGAAGAAUUGCUUUAUAGAGAAAUGUCUCCCAGGAAUCUUGUUAGGUCUCUAUCAGCUCCUGUCUCAGGAACAUCAUUCGGAAAGCUUCUUCUCGAGGAUCGACAUAUUUUAACUGGUGCUCACAUCAGGAGGAAACAUGAAGCCCUUGGAAAUGUGACAAUGGAGUUAAAAAAACGGAAGAAAGAAAGAUUCAACAUCAAGGAAAAAGUUUCCAAUUUCAGAUACAGUCUCACUUUAAGGGGAAGGCUGUUUGGCAGAAAGCUUCACUCAAUGGUGGAACCCCAUGGUACUGAACAAGAUUUUAUCAAGGAUAUCAUGAGUGGACCAACAGUCAUUAGGAACCUCAGCGAGAGACAUGUAAUGGUACUAUUCAGUUCACAUUCUUAAUUACUUUUGUUUAAUAAAAGGCACAGCUGCAUCAGCUAUUAGCCUAGUAGUACAAUGGUUCAGUCACUGCCUUAUUCGGAGAUUCAAAUCUGGCCAUGAGGGGAGCUGCAUAUGUUUUUCAUGUUCUUUUAUUGUCUAAUUGACUUGUCUUUAAAUGUCUGGUCUUAGGAGAACUCGACUGAGGUGCCUCCAAGCCCUGCAUCUGUGUGCAGCAGUGCACAAGAAGAGUUCUGGAGGCCGGUGGAUUAUCUCAGUCCAGUGUCAACAUCUGAUGUCACUCCAGUGGAUGAUAGUGCCAUGCCACGAGUUUUUAAAGAGAUCAGCUCUAAUCUGAAUGGUACAGAAACUAUUGCUUUCUUCCUUUCAAUUCAUACACAAUGCGCAUCUCGUACGAAGUUCUUGUCAAAUUUGUUCAUAUCUUCAGCAGAAUGAGCAUCAACUUGGCAUAAAACCUGAAAUGUGAGAUUUUUUUCCCUGAUAGCCUUUCCUGUAUGUUUGAUCAUGCAGAGCUGCGCAGACAGCUAAGUCGACUAGAAUCCAACGAGCCUGACAACCCAACAACUGAACAAGAGCCGAACGGGUGCAUAAUGGUUGAGUUAGAGGAUAAGGUAGAAGCUUACAUAAGAGAUUUGCUUGUUGCUUCUGGUUUGUAUGACGGCUCAUGCAAUACAAUUCUGUCGAGAUGGGAUCCACUAGCAAAGCCCAUCAGCAACUCAGUGUUUGAAAAAGUAGAAGAAUCUUGCAGAAAACUGUCCAAGGAUGACAACCAAAGUAGUACUAAAGAUCACAGAAUAUUAUAUGACAUGCUGAAUGAAGCACUCACUGUUGUCCUCGGUCCGCCUGUGGCCAUGUCUAGAUUCAGAAGAAAGAUCAUUAGUUUCUCCAUGCUGCCACCAUUACGUGGAAAGAAAUUGCUGGACAGUGUGUGGCAGAUCAUCCGGGCAUACAUGUAUCCACCUGACGACAAAUCCUGUUACUCACUAGACAGUUUGGUGGCCAAGAAUCUAGGAUCCACCCCUUGGUCUGGCCUGAUAGAUGAUGAGGUAAAUGCAUUGGCAAAAGAGAUGGAAUUUCGGAUAAUUGGAGAUCUAAUUGAAGAAAUUGUGAAUGAUAUGAAUUUGUAACUGUGCUUGGAGAUACUAUGAUCAUUAUAAAGGUGAGCAGCUCCUUUGUUACAAAGGGGUUGGUGAGUUGUGGGAGUACAUAUGGGGCCCAAGAUAUACAAAAAAUGAUUCUACAUGGCUCUAUCUUAAGUGGGAACUUGCCACUGUUUUGUUCUUAUUACAGGUGAGUUCUGUGGAUUAGGAGAUUUGCAUGUUUAUGUGUACAUAUUUUUUUUGUGGGUGUUUGACACAGAAUUGAGUUCAUAUAUCUAUUAAUUUUUCUUUUCUCUGAAAUUGAUUUCUAAUAUUCCGAAAAUUAUAAUUGCAAGAGGAAAAUUAAAAGCAAUUGAUUCAGUGCCAUAUGACACCAGUAUCAUGUAUAUUUUAAACCAUUAGAUUUAUUAAAUUUAAUCAAUAACCGUUCGAUAAAAAAUUUACUAAUAGAAUAAUGGAUUACUUUUUUAAUGAUUACAUACAAUAUAAGUACAAAAUUUAAUAAUAUUUAUAUUUUAUUUUACCAGUUAUAUAAGUUUUUAAAAAGAAGUUAUCAAUUUUACUUUUAUUAAAGUGAUUACAUUUUUGAAUGUGGGUUGAUGCUUCCAAUAAGGAGAAGUUAAAAAAAAAAGAAAAAAGAAAAAAAGAAAAAUCCAGAAAGAAAAAUCCAGGAUUGUAUAUGCACAUUGAUUCUAAUAAAACCCACAAAAAUACUCAAGUAGAUAUCAAUCCACAUUGUUGCAUUGCAUGAUGAAUUGAUUAAGAAGACAAGUGAAACACACUAAACCUGGAACAAAAAAUAAAUAUCUAAACUCUAGAAAGGAAACCGGCUUCAUCAUUAAAAAAAAAAAAAAAUAGACAUUAAGUGUUAGGAUUCGAAGAUCACAAAGAGUGCCUAAGAAGAAUCCUAGAUAUAUGGAAUAAGUAGAUCUGCCAACGUAGACUUUUCUAUUGCCUAGUAUAUUUACUUUUGUUAUUUCCUUUUAUUAGAGCAGGUAGUAUUUCCUAAAAAUCCUUUAAUGGACGUUGAUGGAUAUGGCUGUUAAAGUCACGAUCUCUUUGUUAUCUUGUAUCCUAGAAAGUAGGCUAAGUUGUUAAUUCCUUCUGUAUUUAAACUUGUUGAAGUUAAUGGAAAAGGCAUGAUCAAACAACCAAAUAAACUUUGUGGUGCAUUCUUACCCUAAAAGAAUAUUGAAUUUUAUUGAGCUACUGACUGGGACCUAUCAUUGGUAUCAGAACUCGGACUACUAUGUCAACAAACAAAGAAAGAAUCGAGAGAGCAGAAGAAAGAAUUGAGCUCUUACAACAAGGGUUCGAUUCCAUGGAAAGCAGUCUUGGAGAGAGGAUGCAAAGGCUGGAGUCGACAAUCACUAAGCUGUCCAAUGUUAUAUUGGCAGAUAAGGGAGCUGAAUCGAAGGAUCCAAUGGGCUCUCCAAUGCGAAUCAAAAGAGAAGGAGUGAACGACGAGCACAAGCCAAUGUUUGAGUCUAGACCUGCUAAAUUGGAAUUUCCCAAAUUCCAGGGAAAUGAUCCAACAGUUUGGCACACUAGAGCUGAAUAAUACUUCGACUUCCAAAUGACAACUGAAUCCAAGAAAGUACCUUUGGCCUCUUAUCAUUUCGAAGGCGAAGCCAAUGAAUGGUGGCAAUGGCUUAAGAGAGCAUACAAGAAUGAAGGCAAGGUAGUAACAUGGGAAGCACUCGUGGAUGAGUUAUGGGCGAGGUUUAGCCGAGCAGAAGGAGAAAAUUUUGAUGAAGCUUUAUCAAAAAUAAGGCAGACAGGUUCAUUGCGUGAUUAUCAGAGGCAGUUUAAGCAAUUGGGGAACAGGGUUCACGGAUGGACACAAAAGGCUUUGGUAGGGACGUUCAUGGGAGGUCUCAAACCUGAGAUAGCAGAUGCAAUCCGAUUCUUUAAGCCAAAAACUCUCAAAGAUGCCAUUGAAUAUGCAAGGAUGAAGGAUCAGCAGUUGCAAAAACGACAACGAUUCUACAAACCAUACAACCAAGCGUCCUAUGAGACUCCACCACCUAAGAAAGAGGCAACCACACCAACCAAGCACCUCACAUUCGAAGAAAUGCAGAAAAGGAGGGCACGAGGCUUAUGCUUCAAUUGCGAUGACAGAUUCACUCCGGGCCAUCGUUGUCUAACUCCCAGGAUCUUGUUAUUAGAAGCAGAGGAAACUGAAGUUAUGAAUAAUGAAGAUUUGGAUCUUCAGGAGAGAAUUCCAGAAAUUUCAUUACAUGCGUUAUCAGGGUGUUCGAGAUACAUAACUAUGAGAGUCAAGGCAAGAAUUGGAUCACACAUGUUGAAUGUACUCAUUGACAGUGGGUCAACACACAAUUUCAUCAAUGAUAAAAUAGCUCAACUCCUGCACUUACCCAUCCAAGCUACACAUCCCUUUGGGGUAAAAAUUGCCAACGGAAACAAUCUGGAGUGUCAAGGCAGAUUUGACAAUGUGGAGAUCACUAUACAAGGUAUCCCAUUUGCUGUUACUCUUUAUGCUUUACCUCUAAUGGGUUUGGACAUGGUUCUAGGAGUACACUAGUUAGAGCUAUUGGGGAAAGUGACAUGUGAUUAGAAAAAGAUGACCAUGGAUUUUACACGGGAUGCUAAACAAUUUUAGCUUCGAGGAUUGGGCAACUCUCCACUCGACGUGUCUACUGCCAAGUCAGUGCUAAAAUAUUCAAAAAAUAGGUGUUCUGUCUAUGCCAUCAGCAUACAAACAAUAUGUGUCAAUGAGGGGUUUGAGGGCGAGCCAAUGGCCACUGAUAUGCAGAAAUUAUUGGAAGCAUAUGGGGAUAUUUUUUCAGAACCAAACAAGUUGCCGCCUCAAAGGGAAAUUGAGCACAAAAUUACUCUUAAGGAAGGCGUCGAGCCCGUCAAUGUGCGCCCAUACAGGUAUGCCUAUUUUUAAAAAUCAGAAAUUGAAAAACAAGUUCAUGAUAUGCUACAAUUAGGGCUAAUUCGUCCUAGUACAAGUCCUUUUUCAUCUCCCGUCUUACUAGUUAAAAAAAAAGGAUGGUUCUUGGCGUUUCUGCACCGACUAUAGAGCUUUAAAUGCUGUUACGGUUAAAGAUCGUUUUCCUAUUCCCACAAUUGAUGACAUGUUAGAUGAGCUCCAUGGAGCAUCAUAUUUUACCAAACUUGAUUUAUGGGCAGGUUUUAACCAGGUACGGGUACAUCCUCUUGAUAUUGCUAAAACUGCAUUUAGAACCCACAAUGGCCAUUAUGAAUAUCUAGUCAUGCCAUUUGGCUUAUGUAAUGCACCUUCAACUUUCUAAGCUCUCAUGAAUUCAAUUUUUUUUUCCGUAUUUAAGAAAACUCAUACUUGUCUUCUUUGACGACAUUCUUAUUUAUAGCCCUAAUUGGUCUCAGCAUAUUGAACAUGUUCAAAAGGUUUUUGAAAUUUUAAGGCAUAAUGAACUGUAUGUGAAACUGAAGAAGUGUACUUUCGGGCAACAAAAAAUUGAGUAUCUUGGCCAUAUUGUCACUUCCCAUGGGGUUAUGGUAGAUGAAACAAAAAUUCAAUCGAUGGUGAAGUGGCCUUGUCCUACUAAUGUUUUAGAAUUGCGUGGAUUUUUAGGCCUCACAGGUUACUACAGAAAGUUCGUGCAAAACUAUGGCAUCAUUGUUCGACCGUUAACCAAUUUGUUUAAGAAAGGGAAGUUUACAUGGAGCCAAGAAGCUGAUCAAGCUUUUCUGGAAUUAAAAAAGGCAAUGACCAGCACGCCCACAUUAGCAAUGCCUGAUUUUGAACAGCCUUUUACCGUUGAGAUGGACGCAUCACACGGAGGCAUUGGGGCAGUCCUUAUGCAGCAAUCACAGUCAAUCGCUUACAUGAGUCGAGCCUUGGGGAUUACAAAACAAUCCUGGUCUAUCUAUGCCAAAGAGAUGUUGGCAAUCCUGGAAGCUGUUCAAACAUGGUGCCCUUACUUACUUGGAAGGAAGUUCAUUAUCUAUACAGAUCAGUGAGCAUUAAGAUUUCUAUUGGAGCAGCGAAUGGCAACACCGGAACAACAUAAAUGGGUGGCAAAAUUAUUAGGAUAUGACUAUGAAAUAAGAUACAAGCCCGGGACAGAAAAUAAAGCCGCUGAUGCACUACCACGAAUGAUUGGAAGUGCGUGCUUGCACAAUUUGUCUAUACCAAUGGCAUCUCUAUGGGACAUGUUGAAGAAAGAAGUGGAGACAAAUCCGUAUAUGGUAGCUAUUACGAAGCGGGCACAUGACAAACCUGAAGCACCAUAUGUGUGGCGGAAUGGCCUAGUUUAUUAUAAAAAUCGUGUUGUCAUCCCACCUAAGUCUGUACUUGUAGACCUUUUGCUGAAAGAAUUCCAUGACUCACCUUUGGGGGGGCAUUCAGGCACAUUGCGAACGUACAAGCGAAUGGCAUGUCAGUUCUAUUGGCCAUCCAUGCAUCAAAGCAUAAAAAAAUACAUUACCUCUUGUGAAACUUGCCAAAGAAACAAAGUUCUUACCCAGCACCCUGCCGGCCUAUUACAACCUUUACCUAUUCCUUGUCAAGUGUGGGAAGACAUUGCCAUGGAUUUCAUUGAAGGCUUACCUCCUUCCCAUGGUUACAAUACAAUUCUAGUGGUCAUUGAUCGCCUUACCAAAUACAACCACUUCAUCCCAAUAUCCCACCCUUAUACAGCUAAGGUCAUUUCUACAAAGUUCGUUGAGAAUGUGGUCAAAUCACAUGGUCUACCACGUUCAAUUGUUAGUGAUCGUGAUCCCACUUUUACAAGUAAAUUCUGGCGGGAAUUCUUCAAUUUGUCCGGCACCAACCUGAAUAUGAGCUCUUCUUACCAUCCCCAAACCGACGGCCAAACUGAGGUAACAAAUCGAUGUCUGGAACAGUACCUUAGAUGUUUCACUGCUCAACAACCUCACAAGUAGGCCACCUUCCUUCCAUGGGCAGAAUAUUGGUACAAUACUUCUUUUCAUACUUCCACUAAGAUGACGCCAUUUCAAGCCUUAUACGGACGCUUACCUCCAGUUAUACGAUCUUACGAACUUGGCUCUUCGAAUGUGGAUGAGGUUGAUCACAUGUUAGCCAAUCGAGAUGCGAUUCUUCAGCAACUGAAAAUGAACUUACAUAAUGCUCAAAAUCAGAUGAAACAGCAGGCUGAUUUAAAGCGUAGAGACAUUGAAUUCCAAGCUGGCGAGUAUGUGUUUUUGAAGUUACAGCCUUUUCACCAAACUUCAGUCUAUAAACGAGCUUGUCACAAAUUAGCAAGUAUUUAUUAUGGACCGUUCCAGAUUGAAGAAAAAAUUGGAACUGUCGCAUACCGACUCAAGCUGCCUGCAGGAUCCCGCAUCCACAAUGUUUUUUAUGUGUCAUUGCUUCGGAAAUUUGUCGGUGAUCAUAUGCCAACUAGCCCAAUAAUUCCAAAGAUGACAGUGGAAGGAGAAAUAAUGCCCGAGCCUGCAACAAUCAUUAAAACGCGUUAGAAGGGGAGCGAAACAGCUAUUAUAGAGGAAAGCCUUGUACAAUGAAGAGGGUUACCUGUAGAAGAGGCCACUUGGGAAAAUACCCAGGAAUUACUUGACAAAUUUGCUGCUACCAACCUUGAGGACAAGGUUGCUCUUCAUGGGGAGGGUAAUGUUAGGAUUCGAAGAUCACAAAGAGUGCUUAAGAAGAAUCCUAGAUAUAUGGAAUAAGUCGAUAUGCCAACGUAGACUUUUCUAUUGCCUAGUAUAUUUACUUUUGUUAUUUCCUUUUAUUAGAGCAGGUAGUAUUUCCUAAAAAUCCUCUAGUGGACAUUGAUGGAUAUGGCUGUUAAAGUUAUGAUCUCUUUGUUAUCUUGUAUCCUAGAAAGUAGACUAAGUUGUUAAUUCCUUCUGUAUUUAAACUUGUUGAAGUUAAUGGAAAAGGCAUGAUCAAACAACCAAAUAAACUUUGUGGUGUAUUCUUACCCUAAAAGAAUAUUGAAUUUUAUUGAGCUACUGACUGGGACCUAUCAUUAAGCUGACAUAAAAAACUUGAGUCGUUUAAGAUCAUUAAUAAAAAUAAAAAUAGAAAUAGAAAUAACUAGUUUUUAUAUGUUAUAUGAUUUAGUAUAAAAGAUAAUUAAAUUUUAUUUAUAGUUUUUCAAGAAUAAUAAGACCCAAUUAUUUUAAAAAAUAAUAUUUAAUUUAUUUUUAUAAUAUACAACAAAUAUAUAAACUAUUUAUAAUUGAUUUAAAUUGAGUUUUACGAAAAUUCAUUCCCUAAGAAAAAGGAGAAAUGAAACGUGGAAAUCUCAUUCACAUUUCCGAUUAAGCUUCGACUAACCACCCACCAAUAAUAUAAAUCGCUCAUUCUUAUUUUAUUUUUCAUGAACAAAACAACCCCUAAGUUAGGAUCAGUAUAAUUAGCAUCCAUCUCUUCUUCCCAAUUGUGUCCCACGAUCAUUAUCUUACUAUUGAAUUAGCUUGUUAGCAGAUAACAGUGGUGGCGAGUUGUUGAGUCCGGCGAGUUGUAAGGAGCAAGGGGAGAGGCAGUUGGCUCUUCUUCUUCCUCCGCCUUCAUUGUGUAGAAAGAAAGGCGAAGGUCUUCUUACCCCUUUUCUUUUAUUUGUAUAUUCGUACCCUCUUUCUUUUCUUUUUCUCCUUUCCCCUUCUACUUUAGAAAAUUGUGUUUUUAGAUCCACAAAGAAGAAAUCACACCUCUCUCACAAUUUUAAUUUUGCACUUCUCAUUUGUUAAUACUAUAUAGAUAUAAUAAUAUACUAUUACUCUAUAAGAUAUACUCAUUGACGAAGUAAACCAUGUGGUAGUCUUUUGUCAUAAAAUAAACUUCAAGACUGUUUUUGUCAAUAAGUAGAAUCACGGAAUAAGCUUUUAUACUUUUUUCAUUUCUCUUUUGAAUUAAAAAAUUUAAUUUAAAACUCAUUUGGUUGGAGAAUUAAAAUCGGAAUUGGACCCUUUAUAUCAAACCCUAUAUAUCUGUGAUCUUUCAGAUUAUUAAAGAUAAUGAGCUCGUUCUGGUGGGGAUCGACUAGUAGUGAUGGUAAUCAAGGGUGUCAAAUGAGCUUCAUGGGAUAAAUCCUGUGUUCCAAAGAAGCAUAGUGGUAGGAGCUUUUCAUUUACUAUAUAUAUGAACUUAAUAUUGCUAUGCUCAGGAAUGGGGGGGACCAUAAUCUCUUGUUAGCUGUAUGUAUAUAAGGCCUCAGUGCUAUAUUACUUAGUGAUGAAAAUGGUCAAGUUGUAACCUUGUAUUUCCAAAUAUUUUUGCCUUUGCUAAUUUCAGUUUAAUUGUUGUUAACAUAAAAUAUUAAUGGGCAUGCCUCCAAUUACCGCAAGAAUACCACUUUUCUUCUUAGCACAAACAAGACCUUUAAUUUGUUUAUGUUUGGAACGCAAAAUUUAGCAAACAGUAGUGUUUUUAAAUUUUAGCACUAUAUUAUAAUAUUUGAUUUCAAUUUUAGCUUUUAUUAAAAUUAAUUAAUCAAAUUUGCUAAUAUAAUAUAAAUUCCCGUGACAAUAAAAGGAAACUGAGUAAAUAUUAAAGUUGUUGAUUCAUUUCAUUACUAAAAUAUUAUUAUUUAAACACAUAAAGUUUUUUUUCUUAAUUUUGAUAUUUCAUUAAUCUCAUGUGCUUAAAUAAUAAUAACUCAGUAAUGAAAAUGUUGACUCAGACCAUCCCUUUUUCUAUCGUUAAAGUUCAUGCCAUGUUAACAAAUUUGAUUGAUAAUUUUACUAAAGGGUAAAAUUGAAAUCAAACUUAAAAUAUAAUGCUAAAAUUUUAAAAAUUAAAAACUAUAUGCUAAAUCUAAUAACAAAUAUAAAAUUCAGAAUUUUUAAUAAUUUAAAAACCCUAAAAUUCAUUAUCUUCUCACAUCCAAUUAAAAACCCUACUUUUUAAUCUUAAACAAAGAAUCUAAGAAAGAUCUAAAAGAAAAACAGAAGGAAUCCAAGAGAGCCAAUCUAUUUCAAUAUCCAAUCAUCAAACAUAUAAAGAGUGCAACUUACCGCAACAAGAGAAAAUUGAAAUUACUUGUGGUGGUAGAUGGAUCCCACUUCCCACAUUAUGCUAGCUAGUGAAGAAAAUAUUGCUUCCCAAAAACUUGUUUUCUUUGAUCAUAUGAUAAGAUUACAAGCAUAUACCAAAUUCAUAUAAUAAAUCACAUACUGAUUGACACUAAUAAUACAUGUAUCAGUUAUCCAAUACUAAAAUAUAAAAUAUUCAUACAAUAUCAUUUUUCUAUUAGCUGCGGUUUAUAGAUAAUAAUUUUUUAUAAAUUUAUAGUUUAUUUCUCAGAUGAAAUAAAAUAUUUACGUUUUUAAUUCAUUAUUAUUAUUUUAAUCUUGAUUGAAAGACCCACAUCAGAAUAUCAUGUAUCUGGGGGCAGAUUCAUGCACCUAUGAUUGUUUUGUUUUUCUUGGGGGCUGAUUAUUCCGUUUUCUAUCAUACGUAUGAAACUGACAACAUUGUCAAUGAGUAAAGAAGUGAAAGAGGAUUUAAUUUGUCUUAAAUAUUUUGGAUUUCUUAUUUACAAAAAGAUAAUUUUGACUUUUUUUUUUUUUUUAUAUUUAUACUAUGGCUUUUAAGAAAGAAUAUAUAUGGACAUUAUGAUCAUUUUCUAGAUUAAAAUAAAAGAAUAAGGUGAUCUUUUUAUUGGGAUCAUGAGUUUUUCUUUUAUUAAAAGUAAAAGUAUAUCUUAAUCAAUUAUUAAAAUAAAAGUAAAUAGAACUAAUAAGUCAUAUAAAUAGUUUAGAAUUCAUGCCCAUAUUUAUCAAUCAAAUCAAUACAGAUUUUUUAAUUUAUAAUUCAAAGGCUAAUAUAUUUCACUUUAGUGAUUAUUUUCAAUCAUUACUCUUUAGUCAUUUAAUAAAUUUAAUUCUGACCCCAUAAAUAAAAAUUUGAGGCUAUUACUAGUUCAGCUAAAUACUAAAUUUUAUAGUAUCUCUAUAAAGAAAUAACAAAAACUCCAUAAAAAUAUUCAAGAAACCCAUAGAAAAUAAAACUAUUGAAAAUUUUGUAAAAUCCAUGAAAAAUUCAAGAAACCUAUAAGAAGUAAACUAUUGAAAAAUUGUAUUUAUUGAGCUAAAUUAAUAUAAAAGAAGAAAAUGAGAGCAGCAUUAAUUUAGAAAAAGAGUAUAUAGUUGGCAUGGAUCAAAAUAAAAAUAAAAAUUUUUAAUAAAAGAACGAGUUAAAAGAAUAAUUCAUCAUUUCAAUUUUGACUAUUUAAUUAUUUUUAUAUUUUAGCUUUCGAUAUAAUUUGAUGGAUACUUAAUUUGUAUUUUUAUGAUAUUAAAUAUUUUUUAACAUAUUUUUUUAUCUAAUAUGUUCACGUGUAUUAUAUAUAUUUAUUUUAAUAUUAUCAUAAUACAUAAUUCAAGUUUUUAUUAAAUUAAAUAAAAAUUUAAAAAAAUUAAAAAAUUAUUAAAAUAGAAUUUAGAUAUUUAUUAGGUUAAAAACACGGUUAAAGUCAACGUGGGUAACUAUGCAUUUUGCCUAAAAGAAGAAGAAGAAGAAGAUGUGGUACAUUAGCAGUCGAACAACUUCUCCUGAUGGGAUUGAAACUUCAUUUUCCAUGGUUGAAUAGAGCUAACACUUAUUUAGAUUACACAAAGAAACUCACCUAAUAGAACCCAUGACUGCUUCCAUUGUAACAGAGAAGAAAUCCCUUUUUAUGGGGGAAAAAAAAGGCCCGCAAAGACUAACUAUUAACUUGAUGCCUAAGUUUACACCAACUGCCACAAUUAGUGGCUUCAUUGAUUUAUUAACUUCUAAGUUUUCUUAAAAUGAUUUCCCUAACUUUUUUUUUUUUGUUUUGAUUUCUUUUUUAUGCGUAUAGAAAUCUUGUAAUAGAAUAUUAGAGUUUGAUCAGCUGCAUUUCUAUUCUAUUCUCUUUUAUUGUUCUUUCCCUGUAUCUUUUUUUUUUUUUCACCACCGUCGGUCAUUUUUUAGAUCGAAAAUAAUUUUUUUUUAUUUUAUUUAUAUCAUUCUAUUUUGAUUAAUAAAUACAUAUCUAAAAGUUCUAUAUGUUUUUAUCUGUAUUAUUAUUAGGAUUUCUUGAUUUCUUCUUUUAUGGAGCUUUUUUUUUUAUUUCAUAUGCUGUGAAAAUUUUGAUUCCCUGUACGGAGUUUUUGAUUAUAUCAUUUAUAGAAUUUGAAUCUUUUUUCAUGGAGCUGCAAUGAUGAUGUAAGAAUUUUUUUAUUGAUAUUCUCACAAUUAAACUUAUUUAAAAACCAAAGAAUCAUUUUGUAGUUUAAAAUAAUCAGUAAGUAAGUAGAACGCAUGGAUGGCCGAGUUAUAAAUUUAAAUAACUCCGUCAACAUUAUUGAAGGAUAUGAAUAUAUAGAUUUUUAUUAUUUAUAUGAGAUUUUUCUUUUGUACUUCUUGACAAUAGUGGUUGUUAUUUUUAUUAUUAAUUAAAUUAUAUUUUUAUUUUUCAAUAAAUGAAAGAUUGAUAUUUUUAUUAUUAAUUAAAUUAUACUUUAUUUUCCAAUAAAUGAAACAUCAAUGAUUUCUACCAAAAACAAAUAUUAGAAUUAGAGAUGAAGACUGUUAAAUAGAAAAUUAUGAGACUAAUAAAAUCAUUGAAAUGAAAGAGGGACGAAAUUGGUGAAGUUGUACAUGGCCAUGCCCUCUUCAACACUAUUUAAUAGAUUAACCAUAAUAACUUAUUUAUUUCUUUUUCUUAUUUUCUUUGCUUUUCUUGAAUAUUCGCAGUUCAAAAUCAUCUUGCAGUCAUUACAGAUUCAUCUUCAUUUUCAUCUUAAUGGAAUUAACAAUAAUGAGAUUAGAUUUUAAGAAGAAAAAAAAAAGAAAUUAAAGGAGAUGAGAAUUAGCUAAUAUUAAGUAGGUUUAUUCCCGUCUUGUAUUAUUAUUAUAUUAAUUCUGAAUUAUUAUAGAAUGAAAUUUUUAUACUAAAAAAAAUGAAUUUCUUUUGUACGCCAUUGAUGAUUUGUCUUUAAUUAGAUUAAUAAGACGAACCAAAUAAGAUACAUAAAAGUUACUUUAUGAUAAUUCAAGUGGACUACUUCAAUUUGGUAAAAAAAUGUCCUUUCUUUUUUCCCAUCAAUGGUGAAAUACAAACUUCACGCGAAUCAUUUUAAAAAUUUUAUUUUUGAAUAAUAUCAGACUAAUGUGAAGGAAUGCAAACUGCACUAAUUUGACACACUAAAAAAUCUAAUCUUACGAUAAAUAUAUAUUAUGAUAUAAAUAAAAUUUUGGAUUCGAUUUUUUUAUUAUUAUUUUGAAAUAAAGAAAAAAGAAAAACAUUGAGGAUUGAGACAAGAAAUAAAAUGGGGAAAGUAGGUCAUUAGUGAGAGUUUUGAGGGUGUAGACAAACACCAUAAGUCAUAUGCUUCAUAUGUAUGUAUUCGUAUUUGUAUUUAUGGUACACAUGGGAUCACAUGCAUGCAAUUUAAGGACAAUUUUCUUAAUUUUUGAGAAGAAGAAGAAGACAAGCUCAUGCUACACAGAUGGAAAAAAAAAAUUAAAAACAUUUUCCAUGCAUGAUCGUUGGAUUCUAUGACAAUUUUAAAGUCAAACUAGAUUUUUAAAAAUUAAUUUUUGUAAAAAAAGAAGAUAAAUAAUUAAAAGGGCAUUUUGAAAAAUAAAAAAAAGAAAAAUUAUGUGAAACUGGGUCUCUAUCGUUAGCCAUCUUAGUGGGAUUAUUGGUGUUGACUGACUGAAUAAAAUUGGCAAAAAAAGGGUUUGUAUUGUAUGAGGUUGUUGGAUGCCGACCAGACGUGGACUUGUGCAAUCAGAAAAGGGCAAGUGGAAAUUUGAUGAAAAUCACCCAAACCAGAUGCCUGUGUCUGCUUUUAGUCGCACAACUGCCUAUACAAACAUAUUAUUAUGAUUGGUCAUUUGAUUUUGACAAAAGCGGUGGUUGUAUCUUCAACUUUAUUUUUCUUAAUAUUUGAUGGGGAAUUGUUUUCUAAUAAGUUUUUAUACUUUUAUUUUUAUUAUUUUUAAGAUAUUAUGUUAGGAGCGUAAUCUAGCAAAGUCUCGCUUAAAUUCAAAAAUUUCGUCCAAAAUCAAAAUAACUCGAUCUUAAAACGGUUAAAGUUUAAAAAUAAUCCGAACUCGAUAAUAACAAAGUCUGAGAUUCGAUAAAAUUUAAAUUUAUAAUCACUACCGAUUCAAAAUCUAAAAUAACUCUAAAUAUAAAUUUUAAUAAAUUAAAAAUAGUAUUUUGGUGACAUCUAAUUAUCAUAUAUAGCUAAUUUUGAUGCUUGAUUUUUUAAAAUAUUUUAUUUUCAAUUAGAAUUUUAAGAAAUAUUUUUUGUAAUAACUUUUCUAAAUUUUUUAUUUCUAAAAUAAUUAGUUUAUAAAUUUUUAGUCAAUAGUAAAAUAACUAACUUGAAUUUAUAUAUAUAAUAUCAAAAAACAGAAAAAAAUUACAAAACAAUCAAAUAAAUAAUUAAAGUUAGAAAUUUUGUAAUUUAUUUUAAUUUCUACUCAAAUUUUUUAGUAACUGAAGAAAAGAAAUAAAACUAUUUUAUGUUAUACCAUGAGAAAAAUAUUUAAGAUUGAUAAUAAAAUUAUACUUUAAGUAAAAUUAAAUUAAUAAUUAUAUAUUAUUUUUCAUAAAAAUCAACAAACUUAAUUGAUAAUGAAUAAAUUAACUAAACAAAAUUUUGAUAUUGAUACUAUUUUAAAUUCAAUCUUUUUAAUUUAUAACUCUUUCGUAAGUAAAAUAAAUAAUUAAGUUAAUUAUGUCUAAAAUAAAUAAAACCUAUAUUUUUUAUUUUUCUUUAAAUUUUAAAAAAACUUCAAAAUAAACAAAAACGAUAGUACAACAAUAGAUAUAUAAGGUAUAAAAUAGUCCACUAUAAUAUAAAAAUUUGAAUUUCGAUCUUCAACUAAAAUUUUUUUAAAAGAUUAAAUAUAUAAAAUAUUAAAUUCAUGAAAUUAAAAAAUAAAAUCAGAUAAAUUAAUCAUAGAAUUUAACCCGAACCAAUAAAUUAAUCCGCAGCCCACCUCGAGAUUUGAGGCAACUCGAACUAAAUUUUAUCUAAAUUUGAUUCGAACCGAACUAAUAAUAAUUUGAAUUUGAAAAAGAAUUAAGGCUAGAAAAACCCGAACUGGACCAACCCGAUCCUAAAACUAACAAAAACUAACAUCAUCGAAACUAAAAUUCUCUAAACCAAAAAAGGCCUAAACUUAAAAUGGCUAUUCAAAAUUUUUUUAUUCGAAUCCGACUCAGACCGCCUAUUUAUUAUCCUUAAGCAUAUACACAACAACUGUUAUUGUGGGUGAGUAAAAAAUUAUGUCAACAAGAUAUUAAUAUUUUUAAUUUUAGUUUAUUGGGCCUUAAAUUUCUUUUUAUUAUUCUAAAGAAUUUCUUAAUUUUUUAAUUUUAAUUCAUUAGAUCAAAAAUUUAUAUAAUGUAUUGCUAUAUUUUUUACAUUCAAAUAUUACUUGGGCUUUAAUUUUUUAUAUGUCAUUAGAUUUAAUAUUAAAAAUUCUUAAGCUUAAAUAAAAGAGUUGUUGUGCAUUUAUUAUUUUGUCUAUUUUUAUUUAAUGUAAAAAAGUAAUUUUCUUGAAAUUUCAAUAUGAGAUGAUUUAUUAAGUUUAUAUUUUAUUAUUUUAAAUUUUUUUGUUUUAAUGCAUCAUAAAAAUAUUAUGAAAAUUUAAAUUUAAUUAGUAUUAAAUUAGAAAAUGGUAACUUUCUUUUUAUUUUGUAAGCUAAUUUUUCUUAAUAGAUAUAAUUCUCAUAACAAUUCAUUAAAUGUUUAUGCAUUUUUUGAAAAUAUAGAUUUUAUUAAUUGAGUUUGUAAAUAUAUCCAAUCUCAAUUUCUCGACUCCAGCACUUAAAAUAUAUUUUAAGUGAAUACAUCUCCCAUAAUGCAUUAUAUUUUAUUAAUUGAGUGUGAACUUAUCCAAUCUCGAUUUUUUGACUUCAAUCCUUUUUUCUAUUAAUUUCACUUUUUACUUCAUUUAUAUUUUUUAUUUAUUAUUUAUUUUUAAAGCAUUUUUUUGGGAAGAGACUCUCAAAAUUAAUGAAUGUUUAUAUAAAGAUAUAGAAAAUAAAAAAUAUUUAAAGAUAUUUGAAAACAAAAUAAAAUUUUAGAGACUUAAUAAACUAAAAUUAAAUAUUUUUCUAACAUAUUUAAUAAUGUUUAUAUGCACAUUCUUAAUAGAAAAAAUUAAAGACAACAAAAGAAAAGUAUAUGAAUUCAUUAAAAUGCAUAUGAUCAUCAUAAAGACUAAAUAAAAUAAAUUCAAAAAGUACAAAGACUCAUAUAUAUGACUUACUUUUAAUUUAAUGGUAAAAUACAUUUUUAGACUUUAAAAUUUUUUAAUUUUAUUUUUCUCGAGCACCUUAAUCUCUAUUUUAUUUGGUUGAAUUUUCAUAUUUAUAUUUUUUUUGAUAAUAGUUUUCAAUCAAAUAAAAAACAGAAGUAUAAUGAUAAAAUAAAAAAUAAUUCUUAAUUUAUAUAAAAAUAAAAAUAUAAGAAACUAAUAAAAGAAUUAAAAACUUAGUAAAAAUAAUCAUAAAAUAUUUAAAAUUUAGUAACGAACUUUAUUUAAUUUAGUUAAAAGUUAAUUUAGAGGAAUAUGUGAUUAUAUAUAUAUAUAUAAUGUAAAUAAGGAGAAAUUUCUAGAAUUUCAAUUUGCCAUAUAAAAUUAUAAAUUUAUUGCAUUUGAUAGAAUUAUUAUAUUUAUAAUAUUUAGUAUAUAAUUAUUAUUAAUUAAUUCAAUUAAAAAAUUAACUAAUAUAAAUACAAUACCUCAUAAAAUAUGCUAUGUUAUGUGAUAUAAUUAUAAUGAUAAAUAUAUAAUUUUAUAUGAUGAACAGAUUUCACUUAAUAUGAAAAGUAAUUAUUUAAUUGUUCAGCAAGUUCUAAUCCACCUGGUGGCACUUCAUAAACUGAUGAAAGUGACAUUUUUAAUUUUCACAAUUAAGUUAAUUAAACUACACAUUAAAUUAAUCUAUGCCUAAACAAAAUUCUUCUUUUCUUUCAAAUUUAUUUCCUAAAGUACUUUUAAUAUUAUUAACAUUCUAAUUUUAAAAAAUGAAUUUAAUUUAGAAUGAAAAAUGAGAAAUAUUUUAAUGAAAUUUUUUGGCAAAAAUAUAAUUAAUUAUUUUAAAAAUUUAAAAAACUGCUUUCGAAUCAAUUAAUUACUUUUUCCAAAAGUAAUAUAUAAAUUAAAUUAAAAUGUUUUUAAAAUAUAUAUUCUAAUUAAAGUAGGACAAUGAAAAGUAUAUUUCAAAAAAGAGAGGCUAACUCGUACCGGUUUAAAUAAACAUUGACUUAGCUCAAGAAAAUAAGAAAAAAGACCUUUGACCUAAAGCCACAAACUAAGCCAUAAUAUACGGUGUGUCGUAUUUAGGAUGCAAAGAAUAUUAUACAUUAACCCCUUUGAAUGGCAAAGAAUAUAAUAAAACAAAAUAAAUCUAUUCACACAAUUAUCGGUUGGCUAAUUUAUCGUUAACAGAGAAAAUGAAUCGAAAAACAUGCACGAGAUGCACAUAUUAUGCUAAAAUACGCCAAGGAGAAGGAUAACAUAUAAAAUAUUUAGAAAAAAAAAAACAAAAUAUUUUUGCACUUACUAACCAAACCAAAGACCACAAAAAUUCACUUUCUUCGUCUGUUUCUUUUCUCUUUUCUCUUUGCAAUCAUUCUUUACUGUUCAUUACUGACUUUCUUUCUUUUUCUUUACUAUUCGCUGUUUGUUUUGUUUGAUAGAGAGACCUAAAGAGAGGAGAGCUGUUAAUGUUAUGUAUGUUAAUGUUAUGAGUUGUUGUUGUUCUUGAAGAAGGAUUGAUGGAGUGGGAUAAUAACAAUCAAGAAAAUCAGAAUCAAAGAGAAACUAGAAAUGGGAAUAUCAUAAACACUGGUAGCAGUGUUAAUGGGAAUGGGAAUGUAAAUGGAAACGGAAUGUUGUAUGUUAAAGUUAUGACAGAUGAGCAACUUGAAACUCUUAGGAAGCAAAUUGCUGUUUAUGCUACUAUUUGUGAACAGCUUGUUGAGAUGCAUAAAACCCUCUCUGCCCAGCAAGAUCUUGCAGGUCUAACUUUCCCUCUCUCUUUCUGAUAUGUUUGGUAAAUGACAAGCUUGUGUUGUGUGUUUUUUUUACCCUCUGAUGGAGAAUUUAAAGUCGAUCAGCUUUUUAUUGGUAUAUUUAUGGGUGUUCUAUGCAAUGGCUUUCUGCUGUACUUUUUUGUCAUUUUCUACUGAUUGUUUUUAGGGUUUUAUUUCAUCUUUACUUUUGUGCUUUCUGCCCUUCUCUUCUUCAAAUUGCAUAUCUGCCUAUAAUUUGUAACUGUUUUAACUACUAUUAAGAUAUUCUGCUUCAAGUGUACCUAUGUAUCUUGUACAAUUUGGUUCAAGUGGGGACAUAAACAUUGGCAAAAGGUCCUAAUUCUUGUUGGAUUUGUUAUCAACUUAGCUAGAAGUGACCCCAAGUUGCUAUGAUAUUCUGAUUUGAACUUAUCACUUAUGAAGGUAGUAGGACUGCACUGUCAACAUUGAAGUGCAGAGUGCACUCUAAUUGAGUCAUGUCAGACAAGAUUAGAUCAUAUUUUUGUGGCUGAUUUUUGCUUAAGAGUUCUUAGUCUUCCAUUCACGUUAUUUCUUUUUUCAUCUGUCCAACCUCAUUUUACCAAAAUGUCAUGUGUUACAUAGGAUUUCAAGCAAGUUAACGUGGUUUCAGUAUCAGUUGGUCAUCUCAAACUUAUAAAAAAAUUUUAAACCAGAUGAAGGACAUAAGGGAUCUUAGUUUGCAGUGUGCCUAGAUGCUUUAUAUCAUUAAUAACGAUGUGGAAAGAUCUCAACAUAUUAUGACUCUUUGCUAAUUUGAUUUAGUAGAAGAUACACUUGACUAGAACUUCUUCGCUGAACAAAAUCACCUCUUUUACUAUUGCAGGAGGUAGGUUGGGAAAUCUCUACUGUGAUCCAUUAAUGACUUCUGGUGGACAUAAAAUUACUGCAAGACAGCGGUGGACUCCAACACCAGUGCAGCUUCAAGUUCUGGAGCGCAUCUUUGAUCAGGGAAAUGGAACUCCAAGCAAACAAAAAAUUAAAGAGAUAACGUCUGAGCUCAGCCAGCAUGGACAAAUUUCUGAAACAAAUGUGUACAAUUGGUUCCAAAACAGGCGUGCACGAUCGAAAAGAAAACAAUUGGUUGCUUCAUCUAACACUGAAUCAGAAGUAGAAACAGAAGUCGACUCACUGAAUGAAAACAAAACAAAACCAGAAAUAUUUCACUCCCAACAGAACCAUCCACGGGCUGAAGAUCUAUGCUUCCAGAGCCCCGAGAUAAGCUCUGAACUGCAUUUCUUGGGUGUGUUACCAAAUCAAAGUAUGUAGAUUAUAUUGGAUCAUUCAUUUUAUUUGCAGACUAAUCAUAAAGCCUAUAAGCCUUACAUUCUUAAUCAGUAUAAGCUAGACAUGGGCAUGGAGAUAGAUGAAACAUACUGCAAAGUUCUUUAACAAAUUAUUUGUGAUUUUGAGAGUUUCUUAAAUGCAUUAGAUUUUCUCCUAUCCAUGUUUUUCUUAUAUUGUUCUACUUAUAAUGAAAGGUACUUUAAAGAAAAAAGAUUCUAGUUUUUUAUUCGUGUAUGACUGGCUGAUAUAGGUGGGCAUAGGUGGAUUUUCUGCAACAGUAUCCUGCUUUCAUUGAAUAUACUCUCUGCUCAAAGCCACGGAUAGCAUGUUCUACACAGGCUCAACCUUUUGUGAGGGGCCUUUAUCAUAUUGCUUUUACACUGUUCUCUUACUCCAUAUCUUGCCUGGUAGUAACUUGUCAGCAAAGUAAUUCUGCUCGUGCUCACAGUUAGACUAUGUUUAGAUGGUGGUUUUCUUUUUAUUUGUAAAAGUAUUCAGAAAUUUUGAUAUGUUGGAGUAAGAUACUUGUGCUUUCACUGCUUGUUCCUUUGACUUUGUGUAGAUUUGAAACAUGACAGCCAUAAAUUAUGAAUGUAGGUGCUCUUAUUGUUUUCUUACAAAUUAAUUAAUGCAGGAGAUGGAGCUCCAGGAAGCUAUAAUCUUUAUGAUCAAGCAGAGGACUAUGGCAUGGCAGGUUGACAUCUAUUUUACCCUGCCUUCAUCUUGUUGAUGCUAAUUUGUUUGAUGAACCUAUAUCCUGACUAGAAGUCCUGGCUUCCCAAGAUGGUGUUCUCGAAAUGACGAGGAGAAACAAUGAUUGACUCUCUCUGAGAGAUUAUACCAUAUCCAGUGUAACAGAGUUGGUUAUAAUUUUGUUGAUGAUUGUAAGUUGGAGAACGGAUACACCUGUACUGCUAGUCUGCUUUAUGAUCUCAAUUGGUUUGUGUUUGAUAGAUUUGUCAUUACCACCUUUCUGAUUUAUUAGUAAAAAUGAGUUUCAAAUAUGCUUAUAACCAGUAAUACAAACUUGCAGCAGUUAGGGUUUAUUUUGCUACUGCAAGGGCAAGAUCUUUUUCCUAGAGCAGCAAAGUGAAGUCCAUUCCUAUCCUGUUCUUUCAUUGCAGCAACAGAUGGACCUAACAAUAAUUUUCAAAUUGGAGUUUGGAGCUCAACAUGAUUUUGCUCUUCUACCUUUCCUUGGGACAUUAGAGAAUGUAGCAUAUUUUAACCCUUUAAUUCUAUAAAAUGACAAUCUGUCUAAAGGCUCGAGGAGAUUUCCAAAGAAGUUAAUUGUGCAAAGAAGAGGGAUUUAAUAGUCCUGGAGGAUAGAGGAGGUUUCCAAACAAGUCAAUUGUGCAAAGAAGAGGGAUUUAACAGUCCUGGAGGGGACUGGUAACUGCAUUACUUCAUUUUAUGCAAGGAUAACUCUUGAAGGGCUCAAAAUAGUCAAAUUUGUGGAGAUGUGUUUGGGCUCUUUUUCCCACAUCUAAAACUUUCUGAAAGGGCUUCAUGCAGGAAAAACAAGGAAAAAGGCCAUUUUAGGUUUGGAUAAUACAUGCUAUACAGGGCCUGCAGAAUAUACACAUUAUAACUUUCCUGAUCCUGUCUAUCAAAGAGAAUGUUGUAAAAUUUGUAGAGAGAGAUUCAGGCAACCAGGUCAGUACCAUCCAUGACUGGUAAUACUGAUGGCACUGUGACAAUAUUAUGGCUUUGAACAAAAUAGACUGAAAGAGAAAACAAUGAGAAACAGAAGUGGAGUUUAUGACAUGUGAAAGCAUAUUACAAAGCAUAAUUUCUCAAGACGAAGUAGUGGGGUCUGCCGACAUUAUUGCAGUUGAAUGAUCAUAACAACUAAGCUACAAAAACCUAAUUAGAAGAGAACUGAAUUUUUGAAUUUGUUGGUCCCAAUCGUGACCAGUAAUUAUUACGAAGCAAUGUGACGAUGACCAAGAUAAAUUAAAGAAAAAAGAGCUAAAAAGAAAGAAAAAAAAGCCCCACCUCCUCGCCCAUCUCAAGAAUGAAAAAGCAAAAGAAAAAAUAAAAUAAUUUAAAGAAACAUAAAAUAAAAUAACAAAAGAUAAAGAGAUUUAAAGAAAAGAAACAGAUUUUGGGUGCAAAUGUGCAAUUGAUGAAAUCAUCAUUAUCCACGUACCAUAGUGGGUAUGCCCAUUAAUUUGCUAAUUAUUUAGGAUUGAGCUAAACACUGGUUAACAAUGAACGACUAUAUAAAGGAUGCAUCCAAAUUUGGCAGCAAUAAUGCUUCUGCAAAAGCAGUUAUGGCCUCCUCAUCAACCCUAACUUCUAGCAGAGCGUAAACGCUGUGCGGCACGUUCAAAACUGAGUUCCUGUCGUCGUAACCCGUGCCAUAACUCACCAGAACCACCAUCUAGAACCCCAACUUUAACUAUCUGCUUUUGAAGCUCCACCAAGUCAACAAGGGGCACAGUAGUUGGUCGCCCAUGAGCACACUGCAUUAAAGGAGAAAAAAAAAACAGAGAGAAAAAGAAUUUGUCAUUUCAACCCCCGUGUUUCCUUCCUCAUCAGAAUAAGCGCGCACAUAGACAAUCAUUACAAUCUCAAACUGAAUAUUACUUGAAAACAAAGUGAAGUCUUCUUUAGCUCUUCAACGAUGAGUGCGCAUUCUGACCGUAGCAAAGAAUCUCCAAACAUGAUAGCACCUGAAUAUUUAAAUUACAGGAAAAGGAGGUUCCGCCAAAUGACAGUUUCCUCGAAAGUCAGAAAUGUUGGCAGUAGAAAAAAAAGAAAAGAAAAGUUUCCAGCAAGAUGAAGCAUUUACCCCUGCAUGCUUUAAAAUUUAGGACACGAAGAACAGAUUGAGGCAUUGUAGAAGAACCAUCUGUAUCUGCAAGCUGAUUGCAAUACAAACAUGAGUGACAAAGAUAACGACUUGGUUUGAAAGGGAAGAGAAAAGAAGGAGGGUGGAGGAUUAUAAAAUGCAGGAAGUUGACAUUACCUGCUGAAGGAAUUCUAAUAGGUCUCCAUCAGAUAAAUUAACAUCUAAAAUGCAGGGCACCUGCAUGCCAUUCAAAUGAAAUAACUAAAAAAUGUGCUACAACAGGAGUGGAACCUCAAAUAAACAAAUUUAAAUAUUUCAAAGUCCAAGAAAUAAGGGAAUGGAUUUCUUCCAACAUGCUUUCAGCAGGGAAAAUAAUAAAAGAAAUGUGAAAGUUGAACAGAAAAAAAAAUCCAUGAUUCACCGCAAGAAGAGUGACCACAGUAGGCUCCUGGUGGAGAAUGUUCAAAUUCCUACAGGAAGAGAAGCUAAAAUCAGAUAGAACAGCCCUUGAACGUUUUAAGAUAAUAAAUGCAUCAUCAGGAGGUAAAGCCAGUGAAAUGGCCGUCAUCAUUUAGCAUCUUUAACAGCUUAAAUAUGUAGAGAGGUGCCAGGUUCAUAUUCAACCAAAUAAUGAGUCUUAGUUUAAUCUGCAUGAAAUGGGAGGAUUCAUUCUUUUACAUAUUAGUAUAAAUUGGACGCUAGAGAGACAUUGACAGUACUUCUUAAAGCUUCCAGAAUGAGCCUGAAUAUUGCAGAUCCACCCCCAAUCUCUUAUUUGCGCAGCAUAGUUUUGAAGCAGCUGAUACCCUAUCUCUGGAAGGAUCUGUUGUUAUAAUAUUCAUACUUAGUUACCUCAAAGUUGACUGAACCCACUGACACCAAAGCAUAGCAGAAACUCACACAAUGUGGAGGAAAAAGAAGCAUACCAGCUCUUUUUCAACAUCCAGAUAGGUAACUGUUCUUGCCUCCCCACAUAAUACCUAAGCAUUAAGGUUGUCCAUAAGUUGUCUUCUAUAAAACCCAUGAAAAUCAGAACUUAAAAUACUCUUUACCUUUUGGCGGAGUUCUUCUAAUCGAAUUCUUUCAUCUGCAGCAUGCUGUAAAUUAGGGUCAUCAAAGCGAUUAAUACUGCCAAAUACCUCACAGAAUUUUCCUCUGUGAUUGUGUGAAUAUGAAGAGUUGCGAAUCAAACUUGUGUGUUCAUAAAGGAAAAUUAAAAAAAAAUUUAAAAAUGGUGCACACAUGGCUUGUUAAAAAGUCACUUGUUAAGAAUUUCCAGACUAACAAAAAAAAAAAAGGCUAACAUGAAAGGUAAAUAAGAAACAGUAAAUGGACUCGGCCUAUAACAGAAUCCACCUGGUCUAUAAUAGCAAGUGUCCCAUUCGCCACAAUUGGGAUGAAUUUGUUGUCCACUUGUUGAAGAACUUUGGCAUCCUCAAGGCAAUUCUUAUGUAAAGAUUCUGGUACUAACGAAUUGCCAGCAAAAUACAAGAAUCCUGAAGAGAUGUCAAGUAUAUCGUGCUGAUAAUCAAUUUUGCUUGAUGUAUUGUUGUUCUGCAUAAGAACAAAAGAAUUUAAAUCAUUGGCUAGACUUAGAUCUAUACAAUGAAAAAGGACAUAAAGGAAAAUCUCAAUGAAGAGAGACAUGACAGGAAAACCUCAAAGGUGGAAAAUACUCAACUGCAAUUUGUUGACAGCCAUUCUGCCACUUGGAUCCAUAAUCUGUAGAUUUGUGAAUUUCCUUCAGAUGUAGACCUAAAAAGAAAAGUUAGUGUCAAAUGGAAGCUACUCAUCCACACACUUCUGCACAAACACUCAUACAAUUGAACAUAAUGUAUAUGUGCAUAUAUGCUUUUAAUUAUGGAUAGCAAAUAUACAUGCAUGCACAGAUUUGCAUAAACAGAUCAAGAAAUGAUCAUAUAUAUUAUUAUAUGGUGAUUAUGUAUGUAUGUGAUUAAUAUUGAUUAUGUAGAAUAUAUAUUAUGUAAAUACUUGAUCAGACAAGAUUGGUUUCUAUGUCUUCAUCAAUGACCAGUAUAAGAGAAAAUCCACAUUCUGUUUGUGAUGGUAUGAAUAGUUAUAAGACAUUGUAACUACAUAUCAGUAAGACAAUUGCUAAAGCUCUAUGCUUUUCUAUAAUCUCAUCAUUACAAUAUACCAACCUUUUCUUUAAAAGUUGAAUGAAUGUCAAUUCAUGCUAGGCCCUUACGUCAACAGGCAACAAUAAUAACUCUUUCUCUAAGAAGACAAGUUACCUUUAACUGGAGAAUCAUCGACCCAGGUAUUCUGCAAGUAUUUCAAGCUUUCACCUUCUUUAGUUUCUUUCAUGCCCAUCAUACUUUCUUGUCUGUUCUUCACAUCGGAUCUGAAAGUAAAGAGUAAGAAAUAGAUUUCGUUAUAUCUGCGGCAUCAAGCAAGCUAGUUUAAUGGGAAAAUUAUUUGUCUACCUGAUGCAGAACAUUAAAUCCUCUGCAUAAUUUGGCUGAAAAUAUAGAUGCUUCGAAACAUCAGUUUCUGCAAAGAGUACAGGUGCAUUAGGUUACAAAAAUCAGUAUUCAAAGAUAUUGAAUGCAGUUUCACUAAGAGUACCUGUAGAAAUAUGGAUAUCAUGAGCAUUUCCCUCUUUGAUCAUAGAAUGAUGAUUCAAGGAAACAAACCUUCUCUUGUGUUUGUAAAAUGGUGGAGCUGAUUGGCUUCUUCUGGAGCGUUCUUUAGGAAAAUUAUCUUGUUCCUGAUCUUGAAAUUUAAAAUGGCUUUCUCUGAGUUCAUAGUCAUGAUGACUCUUAUGACCUCUAGAAUGGAAACGUAAAGGUAAACAUCCAGUCUCUGGAAGUGAUAUGUUAGGAUGUUCUAGAGAUAAUACAUCAUGUGCAUUGCAUCUUUGGGAGAAAAAUGUGUUGAUAUCUUUAUUAGUAACAGCACAGUCAUCAAAAUCUAAUGCAGAGCUAGUAUCAGCAUAAUCCUUAAAAUCCAAAGCAGCACUUGUACAACUUGAGAUGAGAUUAUCUUGGUUAGAGCACUUUGACCUAACACGGUGGCUACAGCUGCCAUUCCUUCCUUGAUUAUCUGCAAAACGACCGUGACUUGCAUUUUUACCCGGUAUGUCGAUCCCUUCAUAUCCACUAUCAUCUAGGAAAUGAUCAAUACCCCAAGACGAGGCCCGAAAUAAGGCCUCAGAAGUUAGAGAACACCAUUCAGAAUUCAGGGACUGGCAGCUUGAGCCAGAAGUAUCCAUAUGUACCAGUGAACCAGAUCCAAAACCUUUCUCCUCAACACAAAGCUCCCCACAAAAUGAGAUUGACUUUGCUGAAGCUCCUGAUAGACUAUCAAAAUCUGCAAGCAUGUCAACUGCCAAGCUAUGUGCAGAAAACUUCUGAGAGGAUGUUGCAUGCUGCUGUGAAGUCCCAGGAAGCAUAUUAAAUCUGUAAUUUUUGCCAUCAAGCUUUAGGAUGUCAAAAUUUUCAUCAGGGCAAACACGCCUUCUUUUGGUUUUGAAGCCAUCAACUGGAAAUUCAAGACCAUCCUCACUUGAAAACAAAGACCCAUCAAGUGGCAGGUUUCCUCGUGAGGAGCAACUUCGUAAGAAAGGCUUUUCAUUCAUCUUGGUAACCUCUAGUUCAUCAUCAAAUUUAUGAUAAUCCAUUGACACUGCCUUCUCUGAAGAUUCAUCCAUUUCAAGAGAUCUAAGUUCAAUGGAGCCAUUUUGCCAAUCUAAGUCCAAGAUAUGGUUUUCCACAUGAUCACUGGAUCUUUGUGUACUAUCUUCCAAGAAAUAAUCGUCUGGCAAAAAGGAAUUGGCAUCAAAUGUGAAGAGAUGGCUGUCACUCUUAUGAGGUCACAAUGGGGCAGCAGCUAUGCCCAUAAAUAUGCAGUGUUUAGACAUUAUUUUUCAUUAAAUAAUAUUGCUUGUUUCCCUCAAGUUUUGUGUUAAAGUUUCUGUUGAAGCUUUUUGUUAUUUUACCUGCUACAUCAUUUUGAGCUAGCAUCUUGAAUUGGGGAGAAGGAAGAUAAUUACAGGGCUUGUGUUUUUUUAUCUCAUGCUUAUCUCUUGCAAAUUCAUUAUUCUCUAUCAAAUCUGCAUCAAGCAAAUCUAGCAAUUAGAAAUCUUUAAAGGGGAGGACCUGCAUUACUCCCUCGUAAUUAUGAAGCAUGAGAGAUAAAUAACAUUUUCUGAGAAAUGGAAUACAUUAUUAUUAACAGCACGAUGAAGUAUGAAAGCUGAUAUGCAUGAAUGUUGAUAUAAUUACUACCUUCCUUCCAGAUUCCACCUUUCCUGCGUAAAUCAUUUUCACAACCUAACGACUCCCCUAGAGACAUGUACAUGGUUAAAAGAAAAAAAAAUCAGAAACCAAAAGAUGAAUACAAGUCAUGCACAGCAAUACACAGAUGAGAGAGCAUACCAUAAGUCAUACUUCCCGUCCAAAGGUAUUGAACGGAAUUCUCGAUGAAAUUAAGUAUAGGUAUCCAUUCCUGGAAAAAGUGGGGUGGGAAGUUCAGCCUUGAAAGACAUUCAUACAACAAUUGUGACUUCCAGGUAACAACUCAAACCAUAGGACCUAGUUAUGCUUUUAGCAGCAUUUUAAAACUUAAAAUACCUAUGUAACUAUAAAGCAAUAGAUGAACUUUUAGCAGGCAUUUGAACAUUUAACGUGUAGCAAAGUUUUAUUCUGAAUUGCAUAAGGGGAAAUCAACUAUUACUAUUUUAAAUGCAGAGCAGGGAGAAAAAUAAACAAAAAACCAAAAGUUCUGAAUGCAAUUUGCAUGCACUGCUCAACAGUAUUGAUCAUUAAAAAAACAUACUCUCUCGCACAAUUAUAUGCUCAAAAAAAGUUCUGCCCAUUUUAUUAACCUUUGGAUUAAAUCAUAAACUAAGAUAUUGUAUGGACCUAGGGAAGAAUGUCAGCAUCAUAUUCCAUGUAAAGGUUCUACAGGAGCUGCUUCUUGCUCAAGCAAGCGAUAAUUACAGGAAGAGACAGGUGCAUACUAUUGCUCCCCCAAAAGGCAAAUAAUUUGCAUAAAUCCUGAAUGUACCUUGGAAAAUCAUUCAGCAAAAAGGAAAGCCUUGAAAGUUUUGAACAUAAAUAAUCAUUUCAGGAUCUCAGAUUAGGAAUUCUAUCUUCAGCAGUUAAAACCAUAGAAACCCAUAUGGCAAAUCCCACAGAGUAAAGGUAGAUUUGGAAUUACCUUAAAUUCAACAUGUGUCUUUGAUGGCUCAAAGGUUAAAUCAUAGAGAGCCAGAGGACAACUUAGAUUUAGAAUAUAUGCUGGACAAACUUGAGGCCUACAUCUCUUUCCUUUUUGAGGUAUGCUAUUAGCUUUCCAAGGAUCCAGACUCUCAAACUUAGUGGCCAAGUGAUUUAGCAAUUUAUGUAUUGGACCUUUGCAGACAAACCGUGAGUUGAUGUCUGCAGCUGUCAAGGUAUAAAACAUACUCACAACAUUACUUAAAAGAAAACAUUAAAGGAAAACCCAAAAAAUAAUGGUUACACAACAAAAGGAUACAAACAUAUUGGAAAGCCUGCAAAAGAAGAGCAUCCUCCAGUAAGAAACAGAAGACUACACGAAGGAUAAAAAGACAGCAGAUCUGUGACUACAUUGGAAUAAAUUUCACCUUGAUGGUCAAACUAUUGCAAGGACCAGAUAUAUAUCCGGAAAGCUUCAAUACGCCAUUGCUAACAUCUAAUUCAUGAAAAAAGUUGAGAUCCUCAAUCCCAAAGCUACUCAUUAAUAAUGACAAUGCAGAAGAAGGACGUGUAUAGAGAAGCUCAUCCUCACUACAUCAGAAGAACAGCUAAGGUCAAAUAAUAAAUACCAACCAUAGAAACUCCAAAUUGCUAAAGCGACCAGAACACACCUUUCAAUGUCGAUGACUUUGAAGGAAACCUUUGAAUGCACAAAAGCAAUUCGAAGUAUGCAUUUUUUGACAGAGUCCAAGACCUUCUUGAGGCUUCAAAUUUAGAAUUAAAAAAAAAAGGAUCAAGUGAAUGCAAAGCAGAAGAGCAUUAAAUUCAGUCAUCACUCCCAACUGUCAAAAUAAAAAAGAAGCAAAGUGCCAAAAAAGAAAACCUUGAUUGCAUACACUUUCUGCGAACAGGUUGGUUGUAAAACAGAUCACGAACCACAACUGCCAAAGUGCAUAAAAAUGUUGGACAAGAGAGGUUUAAAUCAAUAAAUUUUAAACGGAUUGAUAUGCAGAGAAGUAAUCCAUGAAUGCUAAACACAAUACUGCCUAGAAGAACAUCCUACCUGUUGUGCCAACAUCUUUUCUAUCAUCAUUUACUCCUAAAUACAAACAUUUUGAGCCCUGUAAUGGUUAAAUUACUUUGAUACAUAGAGCAGCAACAAGAAAUUUACCCUGAGAAUAAAAAACAUGAAAGCAGUGAAAUAAAGAAAAGAAGUGCUGAAUUGCACCGACCUUCAGGACUUUUCGAUAUCCAUUUGGCCUCCCACGAGCUUUUGUUAUAAUUUCUAACAAAGAGACAUCAGAUAUAGAAGCCAAUGCUUCUCCUCGGAAGCCAAAGCUCUCAUUAGCAGCAUCCAUAUCAGCGAAAUGAUGAAGCUUCGAUGUCACUGUUCACGUAUUACAGAUACCCUAGCAUUAUCACAUGGCUAACUAAUAGAAUAAGGUUCACAGAAAUAGCAAAAAGGUUAUUACUCUAUGUUUCUUACAGUAAGCAUGUGCCUUUCAUGUUUACCUUUUAAAGAAAUUAAAAUCAGCACCUAAUUUCAUUUACUUGAGAGACAAGGUUUCAUCAUUCCACUUUAUUUUUACAUCAAAAGGAUUGCUUCAGUCUUUCCAUAUCCCUUUUCUUUAAUUGGAUAGAGCCUACUAGAUGGAUCAAUUAUAUCAUUCUUCUUUAUGUUACACGCUUUUCAUGAAAGGGACCAACAUUCACUUGACAGUUUCAACCGAGACUCGGGUUAAUUCUUGUUAAAUAAAAUAAAAUAAAAAUCAAAGAUAUACUAGAGAAAACAAUACGCAUCUCUUGCAGAAUUCUUAGAAAUUACCGUAUCUUUGUCCCAAUAAUACCAAUCCAUCCCGAGAGAUACCACAUCCUGCAAAAUUCGCCAAUAAUACGCUCUUUCAGACCCCUCACUCUCCGGUAUUCAUCUUCACAUCACGUAAUUCAUAACAUUCAACAACCAAACAAAUCAUAUAUAAUUUGAAAUACAAUACCCUACUAACCAUCAUCCACUACUUUAACAUAGCAUGUCCCAGCACCUACAUACACCCAAACCUGCAAAUUGCCAAAACAAUUUUAAGAAAAAAUAAAUAAAUAAUAAAUAAUAAAUAUCUCAGAAAAGGCAAAUGGUGCCCAAUACUACCUUAGAAGCACCAGCAUCCAAGCUAUUAAAAACCAGCUCCUCGACGACACGUGUCAAGUCGAACAAUAUAAUCCCAGAACGCAUCGAAUUACGAACUGAUUCGGGCAAUCGCUUAAUAGUCCCCAUUUUAGGGACAACUUGCUCUAAAUUUAAGCACUUCACCAAUCAAUUGAAUACUAAUUUGCUUACUGAAACCGCGAGUUUGGUUAGGGUUUGGAGAUUAGAAGAGACUUACUUCACUUNNNNNNNNNNNNNNNNNNNNNNNNNNNNNNNNNNNNNNNNNNNNNNNNNNNNNNNNNNNNNNNNNNNNNNNNNNNNNNNNNNNNNNNNNNNNNNNNNNNNNNNNNNNNNNNNNNNNNNNNNNNNNNNNNNNNNNNNNNNNNNNNNNNNNNNNNNNNNNNNNNNNNNNNNNNNNNNNNNNNNNNNNNNNNNNNNNNNNNNNNNNNNNNNNNNNNNNNNNNNNNNNNNNNNNNNNNNNNNNNNNNNNNNNNNNNNNNNNNNNNNNNNNNNNNNNNNNNNNNNNNNNNNNNNNNNNNNNNNNNNNNNNNNNNNNNNNNNNNNNNNNNNNNNNNNNNNNNNNNNNNNNNNNNNNNNNNNNNNNNNNNNNNNNNNNNNNNNNNNNNNNNNNNNNNNNNNNNNNNNNNNNNNNNNNNNNNNNNNNNNNNNNNNNNNNNNNNNNNNNNNNNNNNNNNNNNNNNNNNNNNNNNNNNNNNNNNNNNNNNNNNNNNNNNNNNNNNNNNNNNNNNNNNNNNNNNNACAAUUAAAUUUAAUUACUCAUACAUUGUAUAACUGUUGUAAUUGUUUUAAUUACAAAUAAUAUAAAAUAAAUAAAUUUAUAUAUAAUUUUUAAUUAUUUAUAAAAUUUUAGAAAAUAAUUAUAAAUCAUAUUAUUUUUUAAAUAUUUUUAAUCACUUUAAGCUUUUAGUUAAUGUAAUAAUAUAAAAUUUAUUUUAAAAUAUUUAUAAAUUUCCUUUCAGUAAAUAUAUAAAAUAAUAUCAUGAAAAUAAUUAAUAUUAUUAUUUUUUGAAAUUAGAAUUUUUCUAUGAUUAGAAAAUUUUAGUUAAUAAAAAUAUAUUUUCUAAAAUUAGAAUCAACAGAUUAUUUAAGAAUUAGUCUUUUUAGUUAAUAUAAUACUAAAAAUAUAAUUAAAAUAUUAUUCUCUAAUAUUAAGGUUUUUAUUUAAUUAAAAAUAUAAAAUAUAGCGCUUUGAAAAAAAUUCUCUUUUUCUUUUUAAAAUAUUUAGUAAAUAUUAUAAAAAAAUAAUAUUAUAUAUAAAUUUAAUUUUAUAUAUCAAAAAUAAAUAUCAAUAUUAAAAUAAAAAUUCUAUAAGUUAAAAUAUGGUUACGUAUGCAGAAUGUGGCACUUAUUAAAGAAGGUUUUUUUCUUUUCUAAAAUGCUUAAUAAAUUAAUAGAAAUAUAAUAAAAUUUUAUAUAAAUUUAAAUUUUAUAUAUCAAAAAUAAAUACUAAUUAUAAAAUAAAAAUUUUAUAUAUCAAAAUAUAAUUAUAUAUAUCGAAAAGCUUUUAUGUCUCAAAAUCUAAUAUAUAUUAUAAAUUUUUUAACACCUUACAUACAAAUAUUGAUAUAAUCACAUUAACUAAGAGUUAAGAGAAUUUGUGUAUAAUAAUACUACAUCCUACGUUACUUAAGAGUCAAAAUAAUUUAAAUUUUAUAAUUUUUCUCUUUAAACUUUAAUUGUGAGACCGUAAAUUGCAAAAAAAAAUAACUUUAAAGAGUUAAUAGGCGAAUAUUGUGAUAUUUAAAUAUCAAAUUUUGUGAAUUUUUUUUUUUUUUUUUAAAAAGAAAAGUGUACGGGUUGUUAAUAUUUAGGGAUUUGUAUCUCUCCCACAUUGCUAAGUUAUUAAUUUUGAGGAGUAUUUUUCCCACAUUGCUAAGUUAACAAUCUUGAGGUACCUUCCAAGCCUAUAUAAUAGAGGCCUCACUUUGUUAUUCAUUCAUUCCAAAAAUAAGAGAAAAAUAUUAGAGAGUUAAGCAAUCAUUUUUCUCCUAUUAUAAAGAGAGAAUUUUAAUGUUUUUUCCUUUAUAAAUAGAGAGAUUGUAACUCCUAUUAUUUUCUUAUAGUGAAAUUUUUCUAUUCUUGCCUGUGGUUUUUACCCUAAUUUGUUUAGGGGUUUUUCACGUAAAUCUGUAUAUUCUAUUGGUGUAUUUUAUUUUUCCUUUACCUUUAUUUUCUCAAAUUAUUAGUUAAGAUUUUGCUCUAUCAGGUUCAUAUUUUUCUACAAUUGGUAUCAGAGCUUGGUUGUCAAGAAAUUCCUUAAAAUUCUGUGGUUGCAGCUCAGUCUGAUCUUUCACAUCAGAAAAGGAUUUUGAGGUUUCUUUGGUGCAAAAGAACUUGUGUGGAGUAGUAAGAAUACUUACAAUUUAAGGAAGGUUCUGUCUAAGGAGAUUGGUAUUUAAGAGGUCCGCUUGUGACCCUCCAGUCUUUCCUGGGAACUUACCUAGUGAGUUGUGUUCAUUACUGCCAUUCAUUUUACAAGCUAAAAGGCACCGUUUGUGAUAAAAGCAAUGGCGACAAAAUUUGAGAUUGAAAAGUUCAAAGGGAGUAAUUUCUCACUGUGGAAAUUAAAGGUAAAGGCUGUAUUGAGAAAAGACAAUUUGUCUUGCGGCUAUCAGUGAACGACCGACAACACUCACAGAUGAUAAUAAGUGGAACGAGAUGGAUGGGAAUGCUAUUGCAAACCUUUAUCUGGCACUUGCAGAUGGGAUCUUGUCCAGUAUAGAAGAAAAGAAAACGACAAAAGAGAUUUGGAACCACCUCACUAGACUGUACGAAGCCAAGUCAUUACAUAACAAAAAAUUUCUUAAGAGAAAACUUUACACAUUAAGAAUGUCAGAAUCUACUUCAGUGAUAGAGCACCUUAAUGUUUUGAAUACUCUAUUUUCUCAACUCACAUUUUUGGGCUAUAAAAUAGAGUCACAAGAACGUGCAGAACUUCUACUCCAAAGUCUACCUGAUUCAUAUGAUCAACUCAUCAUGAGUUUGACAAAUAAUGUUGUUACCGAAAUUCUAGUCUUUGAUGAUAUAGCAGCCGCUAUUCUUGAAGAAGAAAAUCGGCGAAGGAACAAGAAAGACAAGCAGGCAGGUUCACAAUAGGUGGAAGCCUUGAUGGUGAUGAGAGGGAGAUCAACAGAACGUGGUCCAAAUGGGAGUCACAAUCAUGGUAGAUCAAAAUCAAAAAGUAAGAAGAAUUAUAAAUGCUACAAUUGUGGUAAGAAAGGUCACCUAAAGAAGGAUUGUUGGAGUCUGAAGAAUUCCAAUCCUCACGGGAAUGUGGCAUGCACUUCGGAUGAUGGGAAUGUAUUGUGCUGUGAAGAAGCAAUAUCAACUGAGAGCAGGAAGAGAUUUGCUGAUGUAUGGCUUCUUGACUCAGGAGCAACUUAUCACAUGACCUCUCGAAGAGAAUGGUUCCAUCAUUAUGAACCUAUCUUAGGAGGAUCUGUGUAUAGUUGUGAAGAUAAUGCCUUAAAAAUCAUAGGCAUUGGAAUCAUCAGGUUGAAGAUGCACGACGGUACAGUCCGCACUAUUUAAGGAGUUCGACAUGUGGAAGGUCUGAAGAAGAAUUUGUUAUCUCUGGGACAACUGGAUGAUCUUAAUUGCAUCAUCAAAGUUCAGAAAGGAAUCAUGAAGAUUAGCCGAGGAGCGCUUAUAAUUAUGAAAGGAGAAAAAAUUGAUGCUAAUUUGUAUAUGUUUUUAGGAGAGAUUGUGCAUGAAGUAGAAGCAUCUGUUGCUUCAAGUAGUUCGAGCGAGAGAUCUGCAAUGGUGUGGCAUCAGAAGCUUGGACAUAUGUUUGAACAAGGCAUGAAGGUUCUUGCUGAGAAAAAUCUACUUUCUAGUCUCACAAAGGUGUCAUUACCCUUUUGUGAGCAUUGCAUAACAAGCAAGCAGCAUCGACUACAGUUCAAAACAUCCAAUUCUAGAAGCAAGGAUGUUCUAAAAUUAGUUCACUCUGAUGUAUGGCAAGCACCAGUUUCAUCACUAGGAGGAGCUAAGUACUUUGUGUCCUUCAUCGAUGAUUACUCCAGGAGAUGUUGGGUGUAUCCUAUCAAGAGCAAGGGAGAUGUAUUUGCAGUUUUCAAAACUUACAAAGUGCGGGUUGAACUUGAUUUAGGUAAUAAGAUCAUGUGUUUGAGGACAAAUAAUGGAAGAGAAUACACAGGUAAUGAAUUUGAUAGCUUUUGUAAGCAAGAAGGCAUCAAGAGGCAGUUCACUACGGCAUAUACUUCUUAACAAAAUGGAGUGGCAGAGCGGAUGAACAGAACUCUGUUAGAAAGAACUAGAGCAAUGUUGGGAGCUACAGGCCUGAAUAAGGCAUUUUGGGCUGAGGCAGUUAACACCGCCUGUUAUGUGAUUAACCGGUCUCCAUCUACAGCAAUUGAUCAAAAUACACCGAUGGAGAUAUGGACUGGGAAGCCAGUUGAUUAUUCAAAUCUUCAUAUAUUUAGAAGUCAUGUGUAUGUGAUAAAUAAUACCCAAGAAACUACAAAGCUGGAUCUAAAAUCCAGGAAGUGUUUGUUCUUGGGAUAUGUUGAUGGUGUGAAGGGGUAUCGCUCGUGGGAUCCCACUGCCCACAAGGUUAUAAUCAGCAGGGAUGUAAUCUUCUUAGAAGAUAAAUUGAAGGGAGAAGAUGAUAGCACUUCAAAAGAAAAUUCAGAGACUACAACUAUACAUGUGGAAAGAAAGUCUACAGAAGAAGAUUCUUCUGAAGCAGCACCAGAGCACGAAGAGGAAGAACCAGUCGAGUUUGAAAAGUCAGAACUUGAAAAGGGAAAACGUAUAAAAUUUACACCAACCUGGCAGAAAGAUUAUGAUAUAGGAAGCAAUGUCGCAUACUGUCUUCUAACUGAGGAAGGGGAGCCAUCAACUCUCUAAGAAGCAAUGAGCAGUUCAGAUGCAUCUCAGUGGAUGGCAGCAAUGUAAGAAGAGAUGGAAGCUCUGCAUAAGAACAAGACUUGGGAGCUUGUGCCACUACCACAAGAAAGAAAGGCCAUUAGCAAUAAAUGGGUCUUUAAGAUCAAAAGAAAUAGUGAUGAUCAAGUGGAGCAGUUUCGUGCAAGAAUGGUGGUGAAAGAAUAUGCUUAAAAGGAGGGGAUUGACUUCAACGAAAUAUUUUCUCAUGUGGUUCGAUUAACAACUGUUCGAGUAGUCUUGGCAAUAUGUGCUACAUUUGACUUACAUCUAGAGCAGCUAGAUGUGAAAACAACUUUUCUUCAUGGAGAUCUUGAGGAAGAAAUUUAUAUGCUCCAGCCAGAAGGUUUGAAGAAAAAGAAAAGCGGAACUUGGUUUGUAGGUUGAACAAAUCUCUAUACAGUUUAAAGCAGGGGCCGAGGUGUUGGUAUAAGAGAUUUGAUUCAUUCAUCAUGAGCCUUGGAUACAACAGACUUAAUGCAGACCCUUGUGCAUAUUUCAAGAGAUUUGGUAAAAGUGAUUUUGUUAUCUUACUGUUGUAUGUAGAUGACAUGUUGGUAGCAGGCCCCAACAAAGAUCAUAUUGAAGAACUAAAGGCACAGUUGGCUAGGGAAUUUGAAAUGAAGGACUUGGGACCAGCAAACAAGAUUCUAGGGAUGUAAAUUCACCGAGACAGAAACAAUAGGAAGAUUUGGCUUUCUCAGAAAAAUUAUUUGAAGAAGGUCUUGCGACGCUUCAAUAUGCAAGAUUGUAAGUCAAUUUCUACCCCACUUCCUGUUAGUUUCAAAUUAUCCUCCAGUAUGAGUCCUAGCAGUGAAGAAGGAAGGAUGGAAAUGUCUCGAGUACCGUAUGCAUCAGUAGUGGGAAGUUUAAUGUUCGCGAUGAUUUGUACACGACCAGACAUUGCACAUGCAGUGGGAGUAGUAAGUCGGUACAUGGCGAAUCCUGGCAGAGAGCAUUGGAAUGUUGUAAAGAGGAUCCUAAGCUAUGUUAGGGGAACCUCAGAUGUUGCAUUAUGUUAUGGAGGAUCAGACUUUAUUAUCAGAGGAUAUGUUGACUCAGAUUAUGCAGGUGAUCUUGAUAAAAGUAAAUCUAUUACAGGGUAUGUGUUCACACUUACUAGCGGAGCUGUGAGCUGGGUAUCAAAAUUGCAGUUAGUUGUGGCGACAUCAACAACAGAAGCAGAAUAUGUAGCAGCUACACAAGCUAGUAAGGAAGCAGUAUGGUUGAAAAUGAUGAUGGAAGAACUCGGGUACGAACAAGAGCAUAUUCCUAUGUUCUGUGACAGUCAUAGUGCCUUGCAUCUCGCAGGAUCCAGCUUUCAUCAAUUCAAGCACAUACGAGUCUAGUAUCAUUCGUCGUNNNAGCAUAGCAGCAUGAAAGCAGAGAAGAAAAGUGUGAAGAUCUGACUGAUCCGCAAUCAAAUCUUCAAGUGGGAGAUUGUUAAUAUUUAGGGAUUUGUAUCUCUCCCACAUUGCUAAGUUAUUAAUUUUGAGGAGUAUUUUUUCCACAUUGCUAAGUUAACAAUCCUGAGGUACCUUCCAAGCCUAUAUAAUAGAGGCCUCACUUUGUUAUUCAUUCAUUCCAAAAAUAAGAGAAAAAUAUUAGAGAGUUAAGCAAUCAUUUUUCUCCUAUUAUAAAGAGAGAAUUUUAAUGUUUUCUCCUUUAUAAUAGAGAGAUUGUAACUCCUAUUAUUUUCUUAUAGUGGUUUUUACCCUAAUUUAUUUAGGAGUUUUCCACAUAAAUCUGUGUGUUCUAUUGUUAUAUUUUAUUUUUUCCUUUAUCUUUAUUUUCUCAAAUCAUUAAUUGUGAUUUUGCUCUAUCAGAUUCAUAUUUUUCUACACAGGUAACUUUCCAAGAGCCAGUAAAUAUUAUAAUAUUUAAAUGUCAAAAAUUAUGAAAAAUACAUUUCUUUAGAAAAAGAAAAUAACUUGUUUGAGAUCAUUAUCCACUUUUUUGUCUUUGUGAUGCAGGUCAGUUUGGAUUUAAUUUUGCAAUAUUACCCUUUUAAAAAAAUAAAAAAUAAAACUCCUCAUGUUAAAAAUGUUGAUUAAAUAAGCAACUGAAUAUACUUUAUAAGAAACAUUAUUAAUAUAUAAACCAUUAGAAAUAUAAUCAAGUUGAGCCAAGGCAAGCAUUGUUUGACUUAAAUCUAAAUUUAACAAAAAAUAUUAAAACCAAAAUUCCACAUAAUUCAGCUUUAACAUUAAAAUAAUAUAGAAUUUAUUUUCCUCUUUAUUAAUUUAUAAUGUCUUAUUUAGUAUUUUUACUUAUUUGUAUAAAAUUUAUUUAUUAUAUAAACAAAACACUUUAGUAUAAUAUUCUAUAUUUAACAUAUAGAGAUGACAUGUUUAACUGAUUAAAUUAUUAAAAAUAAGACAACACUAACAAUUGAAGUUAGUAUCAAUUUAAUAAUUCGAAUGAGAUGGGGAAAUUAAGUAAGUUCUACAAUCUUACUGAAAAUAGUUAUUUUGAAAGAAAAAAGAAAAGAAAAGGAAGUGACGAAAACUUACCAAAAGAGAAGCAUUUUGUAAUAGAGAAAUAAAGAAAUAAAAGAAGUAUAAAAAACAACAGGAAUAAUUAUAAGAUUAUUUGUGUGAGUUAUGAUUUAAUAAUUAAAUAUUGUGUUAAAUUGAUAUUUAUUAAUAUAUAAAUAUUUAUAAUUGUAUUACAUAGAAAAAAAUGAAUAACUGUUAAAAUGAAUAAUGAGUUUAUUAAAAUCUAACAACGAAGUGUUUAAAUUUUUAUAAUUAUUGUUUAGUAUGUAGAUUUUGUAGAUAUUUAAAUGUGCGUGGCAGAUCAAACGUUUGUCAAUGUAAAAAAUAAAAUUUAGAUUAUUGUCUUUUGCAACUCGUCACAAAAAUUAAAGAUAAAUUAAUAUUAUUAUUAAUACUUUUAUUUAUAACUUGUAAAAUAUUUUUUUUUAAUCUUUGUUAUGUAGGUUUAUGAUUUUUAGUGUAUAAAUAAAAAAUUUAUCUCUUUAAAUACAGAGAUUUUUUUGCGCCAAUAAUAUAAUAAAACUGGUUUAAUAUUUGCGUUUCGCAUGAAAUUUUUAAUUAAAAAUUUUAUUAGUAAAUUAUAUAUAUUUUAUUUAUAAAUUAAUUUUAUAUUUAUAGCUUAUAGCUAAAUUUAUUAUAUCUUAUAUAACAAUAAUUUUAUCAAAUUUUUAUUUAAAUUAUUACAAUUUCUAGCAUAAACUACAUAAUUAAUAGAUCAUAUAUAUUAAAUAUUUCGUAUUGAGAUUAAUUUUUAUGUCAAAUAUAAAAAUAAUAACUAUCCUAGCAUAUAUAAAAGUAGAUGUUAUAGCAAUGGAGUCGGUUGAUUCCAUUUUACAGUUAUGAUUUUAGCUAGUUCUAAUUAAUUUUUUAAAAAUAAAAAAAAUUAAUCAAAAUAUAGUUUAUUUUAUGAGUAGAAAUUGGAAUUGAUAAUCUGAUUCUAGUUAAAGAAAGUUGAUCUUCAGAUUCUGAGCCGAUUUUAGUUUGUUUUGACCAAUUCGGUUUUAUUUACCAAUUUCUAAAUUAUUGACUUGAAUAUUAAAAAUUAAAAUACAUAAAUCAUAAUCUAUGAAAUGUAAGAAAAAUAAAAAAAUCAUACUUAAAAUAUAAUUUGAUUAAUAAUAUAUAUAUAUAUAUAUAUAUAUAUAUAUAUAUAUAUAAAGAAAUAUAAUUUAUUAUUCAAUACUAAUUAAAUUCCAGUAAUAUAAGAUAAAAUAAAAUAAAAAUAAAAGACAAAAUUAAAGUAUAAAAGAAGAAAAAAAAGUUUAUUCGAUUUUAAAUAAAAACUUAAAUGAUUUCAUUAGUAUAAAAUAAUUUAAAUAUUUGCAUAUAGAAAUCACAAAAUAUGAUAAAUUUAUAUAUAAUAUAUAUAUAUAUAGUUAAUAAAUAAAUUAAAAAAUAUUAAUGAAAGUAAUUAAAUUUUAAAAAAUAUAAAAUUUAUUAAUGAAUUUAAAUUAGUAAAUAAAAAAUAAAAAUAAAUAUAAUUAACUUCAAUAUAGUAAAAAAUAUUAUAUACGNNNAAAUUAAAAAUUAUUUGAAAAAAUUUAAAAUUUAAAGAAUUAAUGGUAUAAAAAAUAAUAAAUAUUAUAUUUUAGUAAUUAUAUAUAUAUAUAUAUAUUUUAACUAGAUUCAAUUUAGUUAUAUUAGUUUUAAUUACAAAUGAUUGUUUUAUAUACACAAUAUAAUAAUUUUUAUUUUACAUAUUAGAUUAUAAUUUCUAAAAAUAUAAAAAUAUUAAUUAUUACAUCUUAAUAGAUUUAUAUUGUAAUUUAUAUUAUUAUUUAUGGAAAAGCAUAUAUGUACGAGUUGUAGCUAUUAUUAUCUAUUAUACAUCAAAUAUAAAUUUUAUAAAUUUAUAUAUUAAUUUGUGAUAAUUUCGAAUACUUAAUUAUUAAAUUGUAAAGAUUGAAAAGAUGUUGUAUUAAAUGGGUGGGCAAGAGAUUAGAACAAGAGGCAAUCGAAAAUGGCCAUCAGACGUUUUAUAAAUUUUACAUAAUUAUUAUUUAAUUAUUUAUAAUAUUGGUGAAUAAUAUAAAGAAAAAAAUGAACAAUCUUUCUUUCUGAUUUUCCUCUCUACAUGGAUGGUUUCUUCUUCCUCUUUCUUCAACCUAAACACAACAACAACAUUAACAACAACAGCAACAACAAAAGAAACCCUAAUUUCAAGUCGCCGUUUCUUUAAUCAAACCUUAAAAAGAUAUAAACUGAUCAGGUACUUUUCAAUUCAAUUCAAUUCAAUUCAAUUCAUUUCAACCCAGUUCAAUUCAAAUCGACCUCUCUGUUUAUUUUAUGCAUGCUGCAGACAAAUUCAAUCCCCACGUAAAUUGCUUUGUUUGAUUUGUAUAAUUCAAUUGAAUCAAGCUUCAAUCAUUUCUAAUUCAUCCUUCUUUUUUAUUCUGAUUUUUUUUUGUUUUUUGUUUUUAUCGAAAUUGAGCUUAUGUGAUUACAAAGGUGUAUUCUUUUUCUCUAAUUUGCAUGUUUUCUUGGUUAAUUGAAUUUUAAUCAUAACUCUGUUUGGUUCAUGAGAAAGACCAGAAUUGUGGUUUUAUUAUAUCCAGGUCUUUUGCAUUUGAUAGUUUUGUUUUAUUUGAUCGAGUAGAAUAAUUGUCUACUUAGCUGAUUGUUAUGUGUUAGAUUUAGUUUCGAUAAUGAACUGAAAUUGGAACAAUUCACAUUAGGGUUUAGGUGAGAUUCAAUUUCUUUGAUCAUUUCUGAAUGAGAAACAAAUUAUCUAAGUUAAUGAAUUAUGAUCUGAUUUAGAAAAGUGGCUAGGCUGAUUUUCUUUGGUUAUUGAAAUUGACCAGCGUUGGUUUUGAUUUUGUACAGUUUUUUUAU